rnacentral:lncRNA from 1 species
CCUUAUCCGUUGAUCAUGUACGAUACAGCUGUACAGAAAUGUACUCGCGCGGGUUACUUUUAUAGGACAACUGCGAGUUAUGAAGUAGGAACAGACAGUCCUUGUAACAUAGGUGGUGUGCUUUAGUGAUCACUGAUGCUCAGUUUCGCGUGUUUGUAGUUGUUGUAUUGAUGUCUAGUAGGAUAUGGUUGUGUUGGGACAUGUCCUUGCAAGUUUUUCUGUGUGUGGAAGGAGCCAUGUCCUUGCAAGUUUGUUUCCCCAAUGUAUGUACAUUGAGCUAAAAUGAUGUAAUGAAUGGAGUUAUCCAGCAGUUACCUUUAAAAGUUGCAAAAUAGCUUCAGCCAUCUCACGAUGACUACUCAGGUUAGUGAAGAUGUGGUAUGAUAAGGGCAUCUUCAAGGUGGACCCGCAAACCUUCCGUAACCUUCCGGACUGCGAUGUCGGUCCGGACUGCGGAAGCCAUUCAACGACGAUCUGUAUCGGUUCGUGGAGCGGUCCGGAAGCGAUUUCUCGAACUGUUCCCAAGUCUGCUUCUGACUACCCUGACCCAUCAAAAAAACCCUCCCUCCUCUCCGUGUGCUCCCACCCGGCGCCACCUGUCUGCAUUCAUGCUGCUGUAGAGCGUGCCGCUCCGGAUAGAGGAGGGCCGGUGCGACCUCUCAUUGCCUGUGCCAUUGAAGCGGAGUGCUGGCUGCACGCCCGGCUGAACACGCCUCCUCGUCGCAUUCAUACACCCUCAUUAAUCCCGCGUGGAAGUCGAGAAACAUACUUCGUUCCACACGUCCGUUCAUGGGCGGGUCGGCAUUAAAUGCAACGCCGGUCGAGCUCCUACCGUCUGCUGUCUAUUUAAAUGAGGGUAGACGUCGGGCAAGAACCAUACCCCUCCGCCUCCUCCCAAUCUCCUCCACCACUCUUCUGAUGACUUUGGAAGAUCAGUUCUUCGACGCACAAGCCAGCUGGGUGGCCCGCCGAGCCGACCGGAUACGAGCGAGGCAGCUCGCUACUCCACCUCCCGAGCCUCACUUGACGGAGCAAGUUGUCGCCCCAAGCCGCCGCGUGGUUCAGCAACUCGCCGCUCUAGGCCCACUCGAUGAGGAGUGGCUAGUUGCUCGACGCCGUCACAGCGGGGAGCACAGCGGCACGAGCAUCAUCGCUGCCGUCGACGACCGCGCCUCCCACAUCUGCGGCCGCGCCUCCCGUGCCUGCGACCGCGCCAUGCAGGUAGAGGCAGAAGCCGGGUGCACGGAGAGCGACGAAUGGGAGGCCAACGCCUCCACGUCCGUCGCUAUCAUCGAGGAGAAGUAGAACACGGGAGUCUGCCGCCGCUUGGGUCCCACGAAGGACACCGGCGUACACAGCCAAUGUCUUGCCCGGUUCUUCUCUUUCGAGGACCUUCGUCGAUCCCACAUGGGCUUCACGGAAGCACAUGCACCGCCUUCCCCUCCCGCUGAAGCAUCAGCCGGGGGUUCCACUCCGAUGGCUGGUGGGGAAGCGAGCCGUCCUUUGCGCUAAAGCAUAUACCUCCAGGGGUCCCGACAAUCCGGUGAUCGGGCUGCCGGACAUUAGGAAGACAAAUGGAUCCGCGGACGGUGAUUUAGAUUAGGUAUUAAUUAUACCUUCAGAGCUGGAUAUAACACCCUCGAUGCGACUAUAUCUCCCACGCGUCGAGACACGACUUAGAGGCAUAAUCGCAUUGAAGGCAUAUGUCGCAAGUUAGGAAAUCUUCACAACAUCCCAUGUAAUAUAAAUCAUAAGGGGGAGAUAACAUAGUUGGCUUACACUCGCCAUGUCAAUCAAGUACAUAAAUAACAUUACAUCAUCCAAACACUCAUGGCCCGACUACGGCGCCAAAACAAAAGAGAACCCAACAUGCGACACGGUCCCAAUCACCCCCAACUGGGCACCACUACUGAUCAUCGGGAAAGGAAACAUAGUAACGUUGAGAGUCCUCGUCGAACUCCCACUUGAGCUCAAGUGCGUCUCCUGGAGCGGAAUCAUCAGGCCCUACAUCUGAUGUAAUAGUAAUCUGUGAGCCACAAGGACUCAACAAUCUCGCACCCUCGCGAUCAAGACUAUUUAAGCUUAUAGGUAAGGCAAGGUAAAAAUAUGUGGAGCUGCAGCAAGCGACUAGCAAGUAUGGUGGCUAAUCUUAUUCGCAAAAGAGAGCGAGAAGAGGAGGCAAAGCGCGAGCGAGAAACUAGAGAACAACCUGCGCAAGCAUUACUCCAACACCGUGUCCACUUCUCGGACUCCGCCGAGAAGAGGCCAUCACUUUAACACACUCAGUUGAUUCAUUUUAAUUAAGUUAAGGUUCAAGUUAUCUACAACCGGACAUUAACAAAUUCCCAUCUGCCCAUAACCGCGGGCACGGCUUUCGAAAGUUCAAAUCCCUGCAGGGGAGUCCCAACUUAGCCCAUGACAAGCUCUCACGGUCAACGAAGGAAUAGACCUCCUCCCAAUACGUUCCGAUCAGACUCGGUAUCUCGGUAAUUCAAGACACUUCGACAGGUUAAAACAAGACCAGCAUCACCGCCCGAAUGUGUCGACAAAUCCCGAUAGGAGCUGCACAUAUCUCGUUCUCAGGGCACACUCAGAUAGGUCAAGCUACGAGUAAAACCAACCCUCAAGUUUCCCCGAGGUGGCCCCGCAGGCUGCCCGGUUCGGACCAACACUCAGAGGGAGCACUGGCCCGGGGGGGGGUUCAAAAUAAGAUGACCCUCGGGCUCCGGAAACCCAAGGGAAAAAGAGGCUACGUGGCAAAUGGUAAAACCAAUGUUGGGCAUUGCUGGAAAAGCUUUAAUCAAGGCGAACUAUCAAGGGGUUCCCAUUAUAACCCAACCGCGUAAGGAACGCAAAAUCCGGGAACAUAACACCGAUAUGACGGAAACUAGGGCGGCAAGAGUGGAACAAAACACUAGGUGAGAGGCCGAGCCUUCCACCCUUUACCAAGUAUAUAGAUGCAUUAAGAUAACAUAGCAAUAUAAUGAUAUCCCAACAAGUAAAUAAAUGUUCCAACAAGGAACGGCCUCCAAUCUUCACCUGCAACUAGCAACGCUAUAAGAGGGGCUGAGCAAAGCGGUAACAUAGCCAAUCAACGGUUUGCUAGGACAUGGUGGGUUAGAUGUUUGACAUGGCAAUUUGGGAGGCUUGAAAGCAAGUGGUAGGCAUCGUAGCAUUGGCAUAGCAAAAGAGCGAGCAAACUAGCAUAGCAAAGAUAGUAGUGAUUUCGAGGGUAUGAUCAUCUUGCCUGCACAGUUGUCAGAGUUGACUGGAUCCUCGAAAGCAAACUCAACGGGCUCCUCGUUAGCGAACUCGUCUCCCGGCUCUACCCAAACAAGACAAACAAGCAACAAGGAUACAAUCAACCACGUGCAAGGAUCAAGCAAUAUGAUGCAAUGAUGAUAUUCUAUGCGGGAUGCAAUGCGGGAUGCAAAAUGCAAGAUAUGACAGGAAAUGCAUGAACCUGGCCUCAACUUGGAAAUAAAAGUAUGCCACUGGAAAGAUGAGAUGAAAUCGCUUGAAAACGAUAUAAAGAACGUCAGAAUCGGAGUUACGGUUUGGAAAUGGCAAGCGAUUCAAAUAUGACACUGGUCUGCGAUUUACAGCAAGUAGCCAACUAAAUGCAACGAAAUAAACAUGCUACAACACCCAAACAUGACAACAAAAUACAUGGCAGGGAUGCCUACAAGAUGCUUAACAAAAGUCUAGCACUGAGUUACGGCCUAAUCAUCCAUUAACAGGUUCAAACAAGCAUGGCAAAAAUGCAUAUGGCAAACAGAUCUCAGACUUAGUGAAAUUAUCACUUGUCUGGAAUUUCAGAUCAGGUUGCACUCUUCGGAGCAACAAAACUACAUGCUACAGGACCUGAACAUGGCAAAGUAAAGCAUGGCAUGGAGCUACUCAAAGAGCUUAACAAAAGUCCCUUAGUGACCUUGAGCUAAAAGGGAUCAGAAAAUACAAUUGCAAGCAUGUGAACAUAGCAAAAACAUAAUCAGUUUUCAGGCUUAGUGAAAAACUGGCACAUGCUGAAAACAUAACUCAAGUAGGCAUGUUUACGAGCUCGAUGCACUCACCACAGUGCAAGUCAUGGCAAGACAAGUAUACACCCAUCAAGAAGGCACAAAAUGCAAGCUAGACAUGGCAAGAACAAUAGCAUAGCAUGCACGGAUCAACUACAACAUCAUCGGCAAAAUUGCAAACAAAUUGACAAUCUGCCCAGAUUCACAAAGUAGCAAAAGUAGAGCUCGAUUGACUCAAGCUAGGGUGCUCCAUAAUUGCAAACAAAGACAUGAAUGGAUAGAGCACUACAAUAUUAACAAAACAUCCUUACUGAUCAUCCUCAAAAGAGGCACGGAUCACUAGGAAACAACAUGAACAUAUGGCAACAUGAGAUAAACAGCUCAAGGAAUUAGUGGAAAUGCUAAGUCCCUGAAAACAGAAUUAACAAGUGCACCACUUUACAAGCUUGCACUAGUCAUCACAUACAUCACAAAAAUACAUGGGUUGCACCUCUGGAAAGAUGACAAAACCCUUAACAAAACAUAUGUAGAGCAUCAGGGCAUAUCAUGCACACAUUAGUCAUGGCAAAAAUGACAAAAACCUAAACGGAUUAGCAGACCUGACAAUUAUCUCAAGUAGCCCUCUUCUAACAGCAUUUCGGGCAUCAAGAUGAACUCAAAUGAAAAUAAUGCAAUGGAAUGAAAUGAUGUACUCUCUGAGAUGAACAUUUUGAUAUGCUAUAUGCAUGAGUCGGAGCUACGGAUGCGAAGUUACGGAGUUACGAACAAGGGCAUAUGGAUCUGCAAUUUCGGGACUUAGAAGAAAAAAACAACCUCUAGCGUUACUGUUCACGGAUCUCAGAUCUGCACGCAAAACGAGGUCGGCCGGGUCCCUCGCCGGAGUUCGUCGCCGGAGAAGAGGGAGGGGCCGGGCCGGAGCUUGGGGGCGACGCCGGCGAGCUCCGGCGGCUCGGGGCGGCGAGGCGGCGGGGUNNNNNNNNNNNNNNNNNNNNNNNNNNNNNNNNNNNNNNNNNNNNNNNNNNNNNNNNNNNNNNNNNNNNNNNNNNNNNNNNNNNNNNNNNNNNNNNNNNNNNNNNNNNNNNNNNNNNNNNNNNNNNNNNNNNNNNNNNNNNNNNNNNNNNNNNNNNNNNNNNNNNNNNNNNNNNNNNNNNNNNNNNNNNNNNNNNNNNNNNNNNNNNNNNNNNNNNNNNNNNNNNNNNNNNNNNNNNNNNNNNNNNNNNNNNNNNNNNNNNNNNNNNNNNNNNNNNNNNNNNNNNNNNNNNNNNNNNNNNNNNNNNNNNNNNCUGGCGGCGGAGGCGAACGGCGGCGCCACGUGGCACGCCCGGAGUGGCUGCGGGCGGGCGGCGCGCAGGUCGGACAUGUCCGGUCCGGCGUGGACAUUGUCCGGCGGCGCGAGGAGCGGAUCUAGGGUUUUUGGACGAGGGGAUCCAGAUUUUUCGGGGAGGGGAUAUAAAUAGGCAUAGGAGGAGCUAGGAGAGUCCAAAUGAGGUGCGGUUUUAGGCCACGCGAUCGUGAUCGAAUGCUCUAGAUGAUGGAACAGAGUUAGGUGGGUUUUGGGCCAAAUUGGAGGGGUGUUGGGCUGCAACACACACGAGGCCUUUUCGGUCCCUCGGUUAACCGUUGGAGUAUCAAACGAAGUCCAAAUGAUACGAAACUUGACAGGCGGUCUACCGGUAGUAAACCAAGGCCGCUUGUCAAGUCUCAGUACAAUCCAGAAAUGUUUAAUCCCUACACACGAAAGAAAGCUAGAAAAGACCACCGGAGGAGAACGAAGCGCCGGAAUGCAAAACGAACAACGGUGAAAAUGCUCGAAUGCAAGAGAUGAACACGUAUGCAAAUGCAAUGCACAUGAUGCCAUGAUAUGAGAUGCAUGACAAUGACAACAACACACGGAGACAAAGACCCGAACCCGAGGAAAUAAAUUAACUUAACGCCGGAAACGGCAAGAGUUGGAGUACAAAUUGGGAAAGUUACAUCCGGAGUGUUACACUGGACUAGCACUGUUAAUGUACUGAAAUCCGGCAUAUUUAUAUGAAAAUCCGGCUUUUUAUAUGAAAUCCAUCAUGUUUGCGUGAAAGCCGGCCGUGUUUGCACGAAUUUCGUCAGGUUCUUGAGUUGUUGUGAAAAUGUAUGUGGCUAGCGUUGGAUGACUGCCCUGUGCAUCCGUGUCUGCGGACUGGUCCUUCCCAGUCUGCGGAUGAAUGCGGGAGAUUUUUUGCGGGUUACCACUAAAGAUGCCCUCAAUAAAGAGUGUUAUAAGUUCUGAUGUACGUUCCACCGAACACUUGAGGUCUUAAAAAUGCGUCAAUUUUGCUGAAAGGUGAGCCACUUUCUUUGGUCUGCCCUUAUUCUUUCUUUCAUUCCAUAAUAUAGAAGUGUCUUUAACACUAGUUGAAGGGCGUAAUUAUUGAAGCAUAUUUUGACUGGUUAACACAAGACGAAGUAGUGUGUUCGCGUCCUUUAGAUGUUAAAAGUUACAUUUUCCCGAGGCUUUUGUAACACAAAGCUCUUGGGGCCUGCUCCAAGUAGUAAGCCAGUAAUGUGUCGACACGUUGCAGGAGUAGAAACUUGGUGACGGCUGGACUCUNNNNNNNNNNNNNNNNNNNNNNNNNNNNNNNNNNNNNNNNNNNNNNNNNNNNNNNNNNNNNNNNNNNNNNNNNNNNNNNNNNNNNNNNNNNNNNNNNNNNNNNNNNNNNNNNNNNNNNNNNNNNNNNNNNNNNNNNNNNNNNNNNNNNNNNNNNNNNNNNNNNNNNNNNNNNNNNNNNNNNNNNNNNNNNNNNNNNNNNNNNNNNNNNNNNNNNNNNNNNNNNNNNNNNNNACAAAAACAGGCGUGGCACCAAGUCGAGCUACAACCCAGCAAACUUUCACCGUUGUCACCCUGGAUUUUUUGUCGAAAAGGAUCACCUUCUCGAUGGAAUAGACAAAAAAGACCCCUUUUGAAUAAAAUUGACAGAAAAGACCCCCUGAGCCGUGGCGGCAGGUGCGCCAGCUGACACGUGGCACCUGCCGCCACGGCGCGAGGCGGCAGCCCCUGCCGCCAGCCGGUCAGGCGGCAGGCUGCCCAUAACAGUGAGCGGCAAAUCGCUACGGAACGGAGGCUGGUGGUUGGCCCUGCCACCUCGUCCGGUGGUGGACUGUUUCUGCUGCUCACGGGCUACGGAACCAAAACGCAUGCAUGCAUGUGGUAGCAGGGCUAAUGAUCGUUGCAUGUGCUAGUACAUCGUGGCAGUUAGCUUGCUACCCCUGAAAAUGAAAAGUCAACUAACCGAUCAACUUGUGUACGCACAAUAUGAGCCUGUGUAUUUCUCUUCUUUUAUUGAAUGAGCCUUUGUAUUUCUAAAACACGUGCGCGUAUAACCUGCAUUUAAAAUCAAUGAAGAUCCAAAAUAAGCUCUACUACUUCUCUAAAACAAAACUUCCUCUCUCAUAUGAUACUGCCGAAUCAUCACCGCAAAUAGGGAGCGCCAUGCAAAAAAACGCCAUGUACACACCGGUGUAGAGGCUGGAAGGCGCAGAGGAGAAAUAGUAGGGAGCAUCACCAUCGUCACAUCGGCCAGAAAAUCGGGGAACGGAUCUCUGAUCCGUACCUGCUUGAGUCGUCGCCGGCCACCGCCGAUCCCGAGCCCGUCGUUGAUGCCACCGCGUUGGAUAAGCCCCAAUCGCCCAACUCCUUGCGCCGCCGCGUCCCGCCCUCGCAAAUCCAGCCGCUCACACUCCCAGCCACACAAGCCCACGCUGCUGUGGGAUGAAACACUCUUCUAUUAUUCAGUUGUCUUGAAACAAGAGGUGAGUUGCAGGAAACGGACGUGCCUCCAGCGGACGCGGGAGUGCUCUCGGCCGUCUGAUAAAACACAGAUCAGACGGCCACAAAGCCGGCGGACAGGCGCGCGCGAUCAGCCGGCAGAAGGUAAGCUUUUCUCAUAUUCUUUUAGGGUAUUUUCAUCCCGUCACUCUCUUAAUUAUCUGAUCCACGGACAAUUGGAUAUCUACCCUUCUCAACUUAGGGCAUCUCUUUCCCCUUAAAAAAAACUUAGGGCAUCUCACAGAACUCAAACCUCCCGCAAUCGUCUGGAUCGAUCUGUUUCGAUGCUCUCAUUUAUUUAUUUAUUCACCUCACAUUGCAUAUUUUGGAUCUUCGAUGGUUUUAAGUGCAGGUUAUACCCGCACGUAUUUUAAAAAUACAAGGGCUUGUAUUGUGCAUACACUAGUGCGAUGCAUGCAUGGCAAAGCUAGCUGUCCAGAGGCCACGACGUACUAGCACAUGCAUGCAUCAGGUCUUGCUGCAGCUAGCAGCAGUCCUGCCGCCACCGGACGAGGCGGCAGUGCCCACCACCGGCCUCCGUUCCGUAGCGAUUAGCCGCUCGCUGUUAUGGGCAGCCUGCCGCCUGGCUGGCUGGCGGCAGGGGCUGCCGUCUUUCCCGGUGGCGGCAGGUGCCGCGUGCCGGCCGCCGCGCCUGCCGCCACGGUUCAGGGGUCUUUUUUGCCAAUUUUAUUCAGAGGAGGUCUUUUUUGGCAAUUCUGUUGAGAAGGAGGUCUUUUUUGACAAAAAAUCGUCACCCUGCCCCGCACCCUCCCAUUCCCCGCUGGUUGAUUUUGGCCGCCGGCUGGUCGGCCAUCCUGAGCCCCGCCGCUCGGGGCCAUCUACUGCAACCUCCAAGACAGCCGUCGCCACUUGGUCACGCUGAUCUCCUCCCUUCACGCACCCUCCUCCCCCCUUCCCCCCUCCGGUUUUCCGAGCUAUGGCGCCGUGCCGGUCAGAGCCCGCAUCCUCGCCAUCGGGUCCGCAUCCCGAUAGCCCGACAUAAUCGUUCCCUGAGUUCCGCUGUCGCCACCUCCCGCUUCGGCCGACGCGCGACGAUUCCGCCCGAUUCAGGCCUCCCACCGACAUCUUUAUGUUCCAUGUGGUUCUGGAAAUGUGGGUAUCAAUUUUAGGUAUAUAUGUUGUAAAAGCAGAAUCUUUUUGCCUACCCAAAUCUUCACUCAUGUACCUAGAAAAUGAAUUGAGGUACUCAAAAUUUAUGCAUCGCUGUCCCUUCUUCUAGGACAUCCCAUAAAAAAAUAUACUACUACUCACUUGCUCACUUGCUCAGCGCCCCCUCCCCGUCUCCCCCAUUUGGACAUUUCGGCCUUUCGCCUCCUCGAUCACGUGAUCAUCUCCUCUGCUCUGCCCCCCGCCCGGCCACAGCGCCGUACACUACACAGCAAGGCGGCGGCUCGCCUCACCCAGCGCCGCCGCGGACCGCAAGGUGAGCCCGGACCCUCCCUCGCCCAUCGUUCGUGGUCCGUCUCCUCCCCGCCCCUUCCUUUGAGCGACAUUGGACUGAUCCUCUCGGGGCCUUAAAACCUAGGUUGGUUGUGGCGGCGUCUGCCAGCGGCGGCCAUCCAUGGAUUCCGGCGAUGCGCCUGAACGGUACGUGAUGCCCAACCCCUCCUCUUUCCGUCUGUUGAGAUCUCGCUCUACGCCCUGCGAAAUCAAGGAACGCGCCAGCUGCCUGCAAUUUAGCGCCUUUCUUUUCCGAUUUUGGCAGGAUUCGCGAGGAAACGGGUUCUAGGAGCAGAGACGGCCUGCCUCAGCGUGACGCGACUGGAGCAGGUCCAGAUGCUAAUCGCCAUGGGGGAGACCGCGUCCUUACCAAGCGCCUGAAGGAUGAAUCGCCUGACACAUCGGAGCCACCGCCGUCACGGCUGAAGAAGGCUGUGGAGCUGGAGCCUCACCCCGUUCAGAACAGAGACGAGCAGUUCGUCCUUACCAAGUGCCUGAAGGAUGAAUCGCCUGACACAUCGGAGCCACCGCCGUCACGGCUGAAGAAGGCUGUGGAGCUGGAGCCCCACUCCGCUCAGAACAGAGACGAGCAGUUCGUCUGGCCCUGGAUGGGAGUGUUGGUCAAUGUGCCUACUGAGUGGAAAGGAGGGCGCCAGGUCGGGGAAAGUGGGAACCGCCUGAAGGAGCAGCUCUUGGCCUUUUGCCCGCACAAGGUCAUUCCUUUGUGGAACUAUAGAGGCCACACCGGGAACGCCAUCGUUGAGUUUGGAAAAGACUAUGCUUCUUUCUGCAAUGCCUUCAAGUUUGAGAACCACUUUGAGGCAGAAGGACAUGGCAAGCGGGACUGGGAGCAGCGCAAGUAUCAAGGGCGCGAGAUGUUUGGAUGGGUUGCAAGGGCUGAUGAUCAGAGAGCCCCGGGACCGAUCGGGGAGCAUCUGCAGAAAAAUGGUGAUCUGAAAACCGUUGCAGAACUUGAGAAUGAAGGAACGCGCAAAACCGACAAGCUGGUAGCUAAUUUAGCCAGCGCAAUUGAGGUAAAGACCAAGCAUGCCCAAGAACUUGAAUGCAAGUACAAUGAGACAACCACCUCACUUGACAAGGUGAUGGAAGAAAAGGAGCUGGUCCUCCAGAGAUACAAUGAUGGUUGGUCUGCAAUCUUUUGCUGUUUAUAUGUUCUGUUAUGGUAGAACAGCAUAUGUGCAUUUAUCUCCUUUGAGCAUUGGGGCCUUUCCCUUUCAGUUAUCUAAUUAUGCAUUUUGAACUUGCAUUAUCACCAGAAAUCCGCAAGAUGCAGCAACUUGCUCGUAGGCAUUCUCAGAUGAUCCUUAAUGAGAAUCAGAAGCUUCGUUCGGAACUGGAGGCGAAGAUGCAGGAUCUUGAAUUCAAAUCCAGGCAGCUUGAUGAGCUUGCUGUGCGAAGUGACUCGGAUAGAAGGAACCUUGAGAAAGAGAAGGAGAAGGUGCGUGUCCAUUGUCACCGAUAAAGAAUUAUGGAAGUUAGUUUUUUGUGUCCUCUCCUUUUGUUUGUUUUCAAGUAUGGUUGAUUGUUUCUGUGCUUCUUUUAAAUAGCAUCUUUCUGUUUACUAGUAACUAGCUGGAUGACCUGUGCAUAUGCGCGGCUAGAAUUACUACAUGGCAUUAAUAUUGGAAUUUUCUUCUCCUUCCUAUUUGUAAAUGAAUGAUCCACGAUUUAAUUCAUGCCACAUUCAUUAAUAUUUGUAUGUCUUUCUAAUAUAGAAAAUAACGGUAGCCACUAGCGAGUGUAUUUUAUUUAACAAAGGAAGACUGUUAGCAUUGAGAUCCGUGGCCCACUAUAUACAGAACAAUAGACUUUCUUACUAACCUCUAAUUUUACCUCAUCCACUCUUGUUUAUCUCAUGUUCCCUAUCUUACUGAGAAUAUAUUUUUUCCGUAUUCUCCAGCAUGAAUUAAAUUCAAACGUGGGGCACCAGUACUUAAACAUCGUGUUCUGGUUUUUUAGUUGUCCUUUUAUCUAAUGCAAAUAUCAUGCCUUCUGAUGCUUCCAUGCAUCCUCUAUUGCUCUAGUUGUUUCUGUCAUCUACCCAUCUAAGGCAUGUCAUUAUCUGGGCAUAUUUAUUCAAAAUUGCUACAAUAUUUUCUCUUGUGGUAGUUUCUUCUCCUGUUGUACACAUGCUGUAUUGCAUAGGCUUAUAUUUUUCAGCACGGCUGAAACUACAUACUAGAUACUCACGUGAUUUGUUGCGUCCCAUAUUUACUUUGACAACAAUGACACCAUUUUGCAUUUUAUAUACUAUGUAUUUUCGCUUACACACAAUGCAUUACCAUCGACCAUUCUUACCUGAUGGCAUGCAUGCUCUGUAUGUGGUCCUUAUGCAUGCUUAGACUUAUGAUCCUUUCCAAUCUACCACUUCUCUCUGUCUUUUUUAGUUGCUGUAAACUUUUGACCGCCAAUCCAUAUGUGCAUGCAUGGUUAUAGAACUAUGCACCCGAUGCAUGUACUUAGAUCCAUGGCAUGUUACACUAAAAUUGCUGGCCUUAUUUUACACAAUUUCAUAGUAAUCUACACCGUUGCGAUCUGAUAUUACCAAAAUAAAUGCUUUAAGUAGAUACUUUCUUCUAGUGCAUAAACACCGUUAUAGUACAUUCAUCAAAAUAACCUUCGUAGCGUUUCCUAUUACUCUGAAAUACAUCAAAAUAUGUGAUGUAGAUAUUCUAUUUUUUUAUAGAAGCAAUCAAAGAUGUUAUCAUGUUGGCCAUUAGAAGUAAAUGCUGUGAACCUUUCUUUCUUAACGCUUUGCGUACUAGUAUCGCUAUUGAAUCUGCAGAAAGUAUUUCUAUAUUGUUCAGUCGAGAUCUACUGACAGUUUUUGUUGCACUUUUCUUGCGUUUGACAUGUAGUUUUGAGAUGCGCGGGUUUUUAUAUUUUCCAGAACUUGAUCAGUUCGACAUUACUAUUCAUUUGCACUUUGCUCAAAUUUCUAAGAGUAGUAGCCUGAACUCUGAAGUUGACGCGUAGUACAAAUUGGGAUGCAUGACGUUUCGUAAUUUGACUCCUAAGCUGAUUCAAGUGUGCGGGCUCUGAUUUUUCACGAGGAGUAUGCCUUAAUUGAGAUGCAUUGGUGACUUUCCCUAUUCGAUUCCUAAGCUGAUUUAAGCGUACAUGCUCUUAUUUUGAGAGGAGCACACGUAUGGGAUUCUGAUUCAGAUGUACAUAAAUUCUUUCCUAGUUUUAUCUUACAGUUCUAUACCAAGCACUAUUGUCAGUUGAAAUUGGUCUAUGGUUUUGUGCGCGUGCGUCCAUCUGAACGUCUUAGUUUUUGUUGUUAAGUUGAUCUUGAUGAAUCUCUACUGUCCGAUUUUUCUAACCUUAAAUUGGUGAAUCUUCACCUUUCAUUUCAUGUUGGUUUAACAAUAUAAUAAAUAGAUUCAUAUCAUUGCAUUUUUCUUAUUUUUGUCGUCACUCGAAAUUCCACUCUUGGACGGCAAUAGAUUGCAGAGAGGUUUAACAGUAGGACAAUUUCAGCAAAAUGCACGUAAUUUGUUUUUUACUUCUAGAGAGGGCAUGACGGUAGGCGUGAAAUGUAGAUGCCACUCUUGGACGUAAUGCUGUGAACCUUUCUUUCUUAACGCUGUGCGUACUAGUAUCGCUAUUGAAUCUGCAGAAAGUAUUUCUAUAUUGUUCAGUCGAGAUCUACUGACAGUUUUUGUUAGACUUUUCUUGCGUUUGACAUGUAGUUUUGAGAUGCGUGGGUUUUUAUAUUUUCCAGAACUUGAUCAGUUCGACAUUACUAUUCAUUUGCACUUUGCUCAAAUUUCUAAGAGUAGUAGCCUGAACUCUGAAGUUGACGUGUAGUACAAAUUGGGAUGCAUGACGUUUCGUAAUUUGACUCCUAAGCUGAUUCAAGUGUGCGGGCUCUGAUUUUUCACGAGGAGUAUGCCUUAAUUGAGAUGCAUUGGUGACUUUCCCUAUUCGAUUCCUAAGCUGAUUUAAGCGUACAUGCUCUUAUUUUGAGAGGAGCACGCGUAUGGGAUUCUGAUUCAGAUGUACAUAAGUUCUUUCCUAGUUUUAUCUUACAGUUCUAUACCAAGCACUAUUGUCAGUUGAAAUUGGUCUAUGGUUUUGUGCGCGUGCGUCCAUCUGAACGUCUUAGUUUUUGUUGUUAAGUUGAUCUUGAUGAAUCUCUACUGUCCAAUUUUUCUAACCUUAAAUUGGUGAAUCUUCACCUUUCAUUUCAUGUUGGUUUAACAAUAUAAUAAAUAGAUUCCUAUAAUUGCAUUUUUCUUAUUUUUGUCGUCACUCGAAAUUCCACUCUUGGACGGCAAUAGAUUGCAGAGAGGUUUAACAGUAGGACAAUUUCAACAAAAUGCACGUAAUUUGUUUUUUUACUUCUAGAGAGGGCAUGACAGUAGGCGUGAAAUGUAGAUGCCNNNNNNNNNNNNNNNNNNNNNNNNNNNNNNNNNNNNNNNNNNNNNNNNNNNNNNNNNNNNNNNNNNNNNNNNNNNNNNNNNNNNNNNNNNNNNNNNNNNNNNNNNNNNNNNNNNNNNNNNNNNNNNNNNNNNNNNNNNNNNNNNNNNNNNNNNNNNNNNNNNNNNNNNNNNNNNNNNNNNNNNNNNNNNNNNNNNNNNNNNNNNNNNNNNNNNNNNNNNNNNNNNNNNNNNNNNNNNNNNNNNNNNNNNNNNNNNNNNNNNNNNNNNNNNNNNNNNNNNNNNNNNNNNNNNNNNNNNNNNNNNNNNNNNNNNNNNNNNNNNNNNNNNNNNNNNNNNNNNNNNNNNNNNNNNNNNNNNNNNNNNNNNNNNNNNNNNNNNNNNNNNNNNNNNNNNNNNNNNAAUACAGAAUGAGAUCAAAGCAAAGUAUCUUAAGAUGGCAACGUCGGAGCAACAGAGGGCAGAUGAAAAUGUGCUGAAGCUUGUGGCAAAACACAAGGUUUGUGCCUUACUAUAUAUUGUUUUACUUGAGGUUUUGAGAUACUAAUAUCUAUGACUGUCUUCCUGUGCUGAAAAUGGCAAACUGCAGAGGGAGAAAAAGGCUGCUCUAGAUGAGAUUAUCAAGUUAGAGCAGAAACUGGAUGCCAAACAGAAGCUUGAGCUAGAAAUAAAACAGUUGCAGGGAAAAUUGGAAGUGAUGAAGCAUAUGCCAGGUGAAGAAGACUCUGAAUCAAAGAGGAAAAUAGAUGAACUUAGUGCCGAGCUUCAGGACAAGUAUGAUGAAAUGGAUGCAGUGGAAGCACUCCACCACACUCUGCUUAUGAAGGAAAGGAUAAGCAACGAUGAGUUGCAAGAUGCUCGGAAGAAGCUAAUAGAUGUAAGUUAUCUCAUCGAUUGAGUACUUGGAUUUGUCUAGUAUUAUGUUUGAAUUACAUUUCAAAGCUAUCUAUUGCAUAUGCUGCAGGGUCUGCGGGAUGUUACAACUGCCCGAGCAACUAUAGGCGUUAAAAGAAUGGGUGAUCUUGACCUGAAAUCAUUUGCUAAGGCUUGCAAAGGUAAAAUGUCAGAAGAAGAUGCAGAAGUAACUGCUUCCAUUCUUUGUUCAAAGUGGGAAGAGGAGAUUAAAAAUCCAGAAUGGCACCCUUUUAAAGUUAUCAUGGUCGAGGGCAGAGAGAAGGUAGUAAUAUCUUCGCUCUUGCUUUUAUACACUUGAUGUUCUCUAAUAGCUUGUAACUCGAGUUAUCAAUUUCACAUUGAAUUUCCUGUUCUGCAAACAUUAACUCGGUUCAUCUAUUCAUAAGUAAAUUGUGGUGAGAGCUGAAAAUUGGAGACACAAAGUUUAAUUUACUGCCCUGCAUAUUCUUACAUUAAUCUAAAGGGACAAAAGUAGCAGAAAUUCUCACAUUAAUAAUGGAAAGGGAAAAUACUUAAUCUGUUGAUCAAAAGUAUUAUCAACCAUAGAUAGCGAGAGAAAGAACAUUCCAUAAUACAAACAUUGGACUUACUGAGUUAAGGGCUCCGGAUAGUGUUAUCAUUUCUGAAUCUUGCUGUGUUUGAGCCUGACCCAGAAACAUUUGUUACAUUACUAAUCAGGUCCUUUCUGUUUCCUCCAUCUGUUACUUCCUUGGUCCUUCAUUACAUGCAAAUAAGAGUGGAGGAAACAAGAAAACGUCAGCCACCAAUUGUAACCAGCCAAGGGGCUAUAUUCUUGUGUAAUUUUUAAUCUAGUUUUUUCAUGGGAGUUAUAAAUAUCUUGUUUUUCAUGGCAUAGUGUCAACUGUGGAUGUAAGCUACCGCACGAUAUCUUUUACAGCUAACCAAUUAGAAAGUCAAUUAGGCUAUGCCAUAAAUAAUUUUCUUUUGUGCAAUAGCAAAUAUUGGAUUCUUGAUGAAGGAAUCUGAAAAAUUAGCCAUAUGUAUCUAUGCUUGUUGUGAAUGUUAGAUAAGUUUCAUUUACUUGAUUUAGCAGCUUGUGGAGAGCUUGGUCAUAUGCAUAUAUUUGUGCAACUUCAAUGCUAGGAAGCUAGAUUUUUGAGUUCCUGUGUGCAAAACCUUAUGUUGAUGUUAGCUGCUCUUGAUUGAGAUAUAUAGCAUCUAAUUAAAUAAAUGGUGACUUGUAUCUAUUCAAGACUCUCUUUCUUCCAUUUAUUGUUUUUCUUUGAAGCUGAUGGUCAGUUCUAUACCAGUUAAGUUAUAUUUAAUUCGCAAGCUUUUUGGAAAGAUAGUACAUCUAGCAUUUGCUCAUGGAGUAACCAAACUUCUUACUGAUAAAAAGCUUGCCACUCAGUAUCCACAUUGCCGGAUGCUAAUAACUCCCCCUCUCCUAGAAGUUUAUGAUAGGGACGCUUUUAUGAUAUUCCUUAGUCAAUUAAAAGUUGGUUCUCAGUUCCUAGCUUGGUUAAGCUGGACACAACAUGUCUUGGCUGUUGGAAUUUGACAUGAUACUUGAUACAUGGAGCUCAAAGCCCUCCUGUCAUCUGCAAACAAUGUUUGCCCCCUGAACUUUUUGUAGCAUGCUUGUUCCACAUGCAUGGAAAGGUCAUUGUGUAUGUAUAUUUGAUAUACUGGUUUAUUAAUGCAGUCAUGCAUUACUAUGUAAUGAAGCAGGCGUGUCUUACAUUAUUUCACACACAUAAAUUAUUUUUGUUCAUCCAUGUUUUGUUAUACUGUGGCAGCAUUUAGACACUACAUAGCUCCUAUAUGAAUACUUUGCUAAAUUCACAGCACAAGAUCGUUGAUCACUGUCUGUCUUAGGCAUAUUUGUGGAGCGCACGAAGUUUUGAAGCUUUUGGUGCCUGUUUUAUCUUACAUGUUUAAAAUGGAGUAGUAUGUUUAUCUAAUGGUGUGUGCGUUGAUGUUAGGAAAUUCUCCGUGAGGAUGACGAGAAGCUGCAGGAACUGAAAGAAGAGCAUGGUGAGGAAGUCUAUGGGUUGGUGACAAAGGCUUUGCUUGAAGUGAAUGAGUACAACCCUAGCGGCCGCUAUUCCGUGCCGGAGCUGUGGAACUACAAAGAGAAUAGGAAGGCAACCCUGAAAGAAGUGGUCCAGUACGUGCUGAGGCAGUGGCGCACACAGAAGCGGAAGCGCUGAGCCCAAGUACCUAGGUUCCUGAAGCAGUGAAGUAGUGAAGUAGAAGUGUAUUGAUCUUAUAUUGUAAUGAACUCGUGAAUGUUGGUGAUUGGUUUAGCUGUGGAUCAUUCAGCCUUGACCCUGGCCCUGGUUGGUAUAGCAUUGACAUGAAUGCUGGUAAUUGGAGAUUGUGAACUGUCCUGUUAGGAUAAUGUAUUCUGUACCAAGCUAUGAAGUAACUGUCACUGAUUUCAGCGACAGUUAAAUCCGAAGUGAGUAUUAGUUAGUUAUAUAGCACGAGAAACUUUCAGCGAUGUGUCGGCGCUACAACUACAGUUUUCCGCAAUGUGCUGUUGUCUAGAUUGGCGCCUGAUCGUUCAUGCCCAGAUUUCCGCGAUGACUGCGCGCCCAAGUCGAAGCAGGUCACCGCUUGAUCAUGUUUUAUAACCCACCACCGAAGGCAAGGAUUCCUUGAAUUAUCUCUCGUCACAGAGCAACUAGGUACAUCCACGGUUGGAACAAGCCACACUCACAUCAAGCACACCUCAUCCUCAUGCAAACACAGAGUAGCAACUUGAGGUAAACAUUACAGCACUCACUACAGAACCAUCAGAGAUAUUCAGGUUAGCUCUCCAAAAACGUGUGCCUGCCUGCAUUCAUGCGCCGCGCGUGUGUGUUGACUGUUGAAGACCUCAGUUGCGAGCGCCUAUAAUUGAUGUAACAACAAAAUACAGCCUGAUUAGAACAAGUGAAGAUGUAGUCCAAUAGUAACACAUAGCAACAGUCAGAGUGUAGUAAUAAAAUCAGGCUGUACAUUUCAUUCAAGCGAUUAAGUUCUUAAAGCUGAGCCACACUACAUAACAGUAUAUAAGAUGGCUUACUGGAUUCACUAAGCAAGGUAGAUUAUUCAGCUAGUGUUGUCGGACUGAAAUGCCAUACAUAGUGUGCUAAUAGCCUCACCAGGAGUUGACUCCCGGUAGCCUGAACUAAACGCCUGUGCGGGAUCUUCUUAUAUCAAUUAACAGAAGGUGUGCACACGACAUGAAGCAAGCUGGUUACAGAAGCCAUCUAAUACGAGGCUAGAUUCAUCAAUACCAGCAAGUAUGGUAUUGGCAGGCGCUAACUAAGGAUCUGUCAAUGAUCUUCAGAAAUGAAACGCAAAACACAGAAAGUAGGCCACUUUAAGACGAUGGAUUGCUCGAUCUAGAAGUACUGUAGCUAGGGUUCUUAGCCAGCCAAGAGAUGGAUCUCACCGACCCCGAAUGGUGCUUAAAUAGCAAGGGAAAGUAGCUAAAAAGUAAUAAAGCAGAAAAGCAGCGAUGCAUAAAGUUUGGUAACAAGUGGGCCAGAUUAUGUAACAAUAUAUAUGAUGAGUUAGUGGGUUCACUAAGCAAGGUAUAUUAUUCAGCUACUGUAGUGGGUACGCUAACAGCAUCACUAGAAGUUAACUUGUAGAAGCCUGAAAUAAACAAUGGUGUGGGAUCUUAUAUUAGUAGAUAGACAAGGUGUGUACACAACAUGUAGCAACUUGGUACAGCAGCAGCCACAAGGAACAUAACUAGACAUAACAGGGUGCUUGAAAACUGUGACAAAACAGAGUAAUGCGCAGAAAAUAUGAACAUACAAGAAGCAGAGCAAUCAUUCAACAAAAUGUGUAGUAGCUUUGUGCAAAGUGAAAACUGAGAAACAUGCAACCCCUAGUAUUCUGAAUGUCAAGGCUCACAGUUGGUCAACCAUAUCUAGUUGUCAUGCAGUUGAAACUUUGAAGAUAUAGCAUCUCCAGAAUUCAUGCUAAUAACUCAAUCAACUCUCUCGAAACAGGCUUUCACCCCCGCUUUUAUAUAUAAAGCAACAACCGAACAAAGUACACGGCCGAAUGAUACAAGGUGGAGAGGUAGUCCUCUUACAAAGCCGAUCCCAGAAUAAACGGAUCACCAAUGGUACCGACGAAAAAGCACAGGAGGACCGAGUACAACGCCAUGCUACGCCCUAUACACCUAAGCUCCACGACAACGCCCUCAGAGGGAUGCCGGCGCCAAGCGUCGCCGCUGUCGAGUCCACAAUGGACAAAGGUUUUCACCUGGAACCCGGACACGGAUGGGAACACCACGACGACGUCUUCAAGAAGAGAGCGGCACCCUUGAGCGUCACCAUCGUCGGCGCCAGAGCGCAGAGCUUUCGGCCGGUAGUUCUCGCGUGUCACCACAAGGUCUUCAGAAGAAGCAUGACAAGCUCAAGUCCCCAGAUCCGGAUCGAGACGCCCCCACGGAGACCGAGAGCGCGCCCGAGCUACCUUGCGCCAAGCCUCUCGCCGCCCACACGACCAAGAGACAAUGCCACCACCGCCGCCAUGAUGCCUGCCGGAGAGCCAACCAUGCGGACCACCUUCCAGGGCCGCCGCCCCGGCAUCCAUGCCACGCGACAAAGCCAACCGUCCGCUUCACCGUGCACAAACCGUGGUUAGAGAAGCCCGGCAUCAGCCCCCAGGGCAGGGUCAGCGCCACCACCAUAGGGGCACCCACGCCUGAAGUCCCCUCCUANNNNNNNNNNNNNNNNNNNNNNNNNNNNNNNNNNNNNNNNNNNNNNNNNNNNNNNNNNNNNNNNNNNNNNNNNNNNNNNNNNNNNNNNNNNNNNNNNNNNNNNNNNNNNNNNNNNNNNNNNNNNNNNNNNNNNNNNNNNNNNNNNNNNNNNNNNNNNNNNNNNNNNNNNNNNNNNNNNNNNNNNNNNNNNNNNNNNNNNNNNNNNNNNNNNNNNNNNNNNNNNNNNNNGUGGCUACCGACGGCCAUCGUCGAGCCAUCAACUCAGAGGAUGCCAAAUCCGUGGCCUACGACAUAGAUCUGACUGCUGGCACAACACUGUCCUGACCACCACCACCACGGUCCUUCAUCAACGCCAUAACGAGAAGACGCCCCCCAAUUGAACCACAAGCUCCCAUCUUGACCGGAACGGAGGCGGCCCAGAGCCGUGCACCGACUCCAGGGCGACCGAACGUUGGACGCCGCGCAAGGAGCGACGAGCCCCGGGUAGGAGGACCGCGUCAAACUCUCGCACCGGAUGCCAGUCCGCGUUGCCGGCCAACUACCAGCCAACGCAUCCGGGGAUCUGGGCAUACCGGAUCCAGAUGAGAGGCCGCCAAGGCAGCCGGCAGUCCGGCCGCCGAGCAGCCGCAUCCACGGUGCCAGCCCCGCGCCCCCUCGGCUCUCCACGCAUCGUCCUGCCACCGCCGCCCGAGGCCAAGGCGUCCACCGUCCACCCGCUGACCAGCCUCCACCCGCCCGUGAGAAGAGCCGCCGGCUACCUUGCUGCCAACAGCCGCCGUCCGACGCCCAGGAAGCGCCAGGCCGCGCCGCCCACAGCCCUCAUCGCAUCAGCCCCUCACACGCUAGAUCCACACCGCCAGAGCUCGCCCGACACGAUCCUCCACCGUCCAUGCCGCCACCACGCCAGCAGCCUCCAGCGCACCCGCGCGGCGUCGCGUCGCGGUGCCCGUGCCGCACCUCUGCCUAUGGGGGAUCGAGAGGGCCCCGCCGCCGCCGGCCCGGACGAGCUUUGCCCGGCCAAACCCUUUGGCGGCGACGGGAGAGGAUAGGGCUGGAAAAAAAGCUCGAAGCUCGUGAGCUAAAUGAGUAGCUCGUGACUCGGCUCGAAUCGACUCGAACUCGAAGAAUAACGAGUCGAGCCGAGCUUUAGUUUAAGAUCGUUUAUAGACCAAGUUAAACGAGCCAAUCUCACGAGUACUCGUGUAACUCGUUAGGCUUGGUACAAAAGAUCAGCUACUUCCAAUAUAAAAAAAGAACAGCCACUCAGCACCCUAUGUCCCAGGCGCACAACACAAGGCCUAGCCGUUGAAGGCCCAACCGCCUAGGAGACUCAUGUGUUACAAGGAAAUUACUAUUGUUUAGUGAUAUAUAUGUUUAAUAUAUACAUAAUAAUUUUUAUAAUGGUUUUAUGUUCAUAUCUUUAACGAGCUUAACAAGCUAAACGAGCCAGCUCGCGAGUUAUACGAGUCGAGCCAAUCUUGGAUUUGAGCUCGUUAAUGAUAACGAGUCGAGUCGAGCUAGCUCGUUAACGAAACGAGCUCUAGCGAGUCAAGCCGAGCUGGCUCGACUCGGCUCGAAUUCCAGCCCUAGGAGAGGAGGAGGGAGGGUGGGGAGCUCGGCAGCGGCCGCCUAGGGUUCCCUCCCCGCCGCCACGCGGGGGCGGCGCGGGAGGGAGAGGAGAGUACAAUCAAUCAGCCCUGUUGGUCUUGUCUCCUACGGUGAACUUAAUUACGCUACUCAAUCAACUAGAAGUUAGUAGUUUCCAUACCUGCACAUAAAGCUUCAUAUAUCAUAAUCGAAGAACUCGGGAAAACCACGGAGUGAAAUACACUGCUAGAUGGUCAUGACAAAUCAUGAUGACAAGCAUUACGCAACCAGCAAGCAAUAAAACAUGCUGCCAUAUGGUCAUGUUGUACAACACCACUAGUUACCACAACAAUUCAAGCUAAUCAUCCUACUAGAAUAUGAGAACUACCCAAUUUUCAGAACCACAUUAUGUAAAAGUAUAUAUGAUGACUUAGUGGGUUCGCUUAGUAAGGUAAAUUAUUCAGCUAUUGUAGUGGACUUAAAUGCCAUAGUACGCUAACAGCCUCACUAGAAGUUAACUUCUGGAAGUCUUAAAUAAACAAUGGUGUGGGAUCUUAUAUCAGUAGAUAGAACAUGAAGCGUGACUUUUUCUCAAAAUAAAAACAUAAAGCAACCUGGCAGAGCAGCCACAAGGUGCAUAACUAGAUAUAACAGGGUGCUUGAACACUACGAAAAAAACAGUAUAUCCGCAGAAAAUAUCAACAUACAAGAAGCAAAGCAAUCAAUCAAUGAAAUGUAUAGUAGAUAUGUGCAAACUUAAAACUGAGAAACAUGUCAAGCCUCACAGCUGGUCGACUAUGUUUGGUGGUCAUGCAGUUGCAACUUGAAAGAUAUAACAUCCCCAAAAUUCAUGCUAAAUCAAUAAACCUAGUUUCCAUAGGUGCACAUAGAGCUUCAAAUUUCAAACACCAGGAGAGUAAAAUGCACUGCUAGAUGGCCGUGACUCAUGAUCAAUCAUGAUGACAGGCAAUAUGCAACCAGCAACCAAUAAAAAUUAUGCUGCCAGAUGGUCACAUAUAUUGUACCACUAGUUACUUCAGCUAUUCAAGCUAAUCAUUCUAGUAUAAUCUGGGAACUACACAAUGUUCAGAUAACAUAUGCAGAACAAUUCUAAAGCAGUGCAGUACAUGUAGAUGCUGGAGAAUGAUACUAACCAUCUACAUUAGAGGAUUUCAACUGGUGCAAAAGGGUCAUCCUCAGAAAACUUUGCUCCCCGCUGAGAGGUCCAGCAUCUGCCUCCCUCAGUACCAGUACUCUCAUAGGCAGAAAUCUUACAUUCACUGGAUAGCAUCUCAUCCACAGACCUUGAAAUGAGUCUUGGAUUGGUCAUCAAACUGAAGAAUGGAAAGAUGGGAUCUGAGACACGUACCAUGGAGUAGAUUGGGCAUGGAUGCUGGUCAGUUGGUCGGCCGUUUCGUUUCGUCGAGCAGCUGGCGGGCAUGCUGCCAUUGGAGUUGGGAGGGGUGGGUGGGUAUGAGGGGGAGGAGGUCGUGGACGUCCGUGGCAGCGAGGAGACGGAGAAGAGCCAGCGCCGCGCCCUUGAGGUUACUCGCCGUCGCCGGUGCUGGUGGUUGAGCGGCGAGAAGCGAGGAUGCGAUGCGGUGAGGCAGUGAGCAGACCUUGAGCAACUUAGGGGUUACGGCUCGGUCGGUUCGGUCGGAACCGAAACGUGCCGGUCGGUUGCCCUAUUGGCACGCGGGGGUUUGGGAGCACUCCAUGGUCGCCGGCCGCCGGAGCUCGGAGAGGCAACCGGACAGGAUUAAAAAACAAAAUAGAAGAGAAGAAAAUGGUUGGGCUCAAUUAGCCCGGCCCAAGAGAAAAAAGGGCUCCUCGUGCGUGCCCAACCAGAGCGAGAGAGAGGGAAAAAAAAGGCCAGAGAGACGAGGAGGUGGCCGUUAAAUUCAGUUCGUCCCCGCCCUCCCCGCGUACUCGUCGCUCGAAACCUUCUUCCUCCUCCCACCUCCGUCCCAACUCCCAACGCCACCGCGCCGCACUGCGACUCCCCCCACCGGAAGCCAUCCACUGCACCGUACCCUCCUCCCCCUCCACCCCAAACCACCUCGUGCUCCCUCCGCAAGCCCGCAUCCUCUGCGAUGAAUCAAGUUGGCCAGCGGCCACCACCGCCGCCGCCGGGGAGCUUGAUCAGGAUCCUGCGCUCGGUGGCCUAUUCACUGGGCUUAUCUAUCCGCUCUCUCAUGAGGCUACUGUGGCGCGCAUGCCGCUUACCGGCGGGCCAAGACGAGGAGGAGCGCAAUGAUGCCAAGAACAAGAACAAGACAGGCGACCGAGACGAUGAGGAUCGCCAGAAGAUGACGGAGAUUGCCGCCAGGAAACGAGCAAGGAAGAAGGCCAAGAAAGCGGCCAGAAAGGAGGCCCAGGCGAAGGCCAAGAAGACCAAGAAGGAGGCCAAGGCGGAGGACAAGAAGAAGAAGCAGGAGGAGGAGGACAUGCAGAGGAAAGAAGAGGAGGAGGCGGCCAAGGAGGAGGCCAGGAUCAGGGAAGAAGAGCAGAAGGCAGCCAAGGAGAAGGCCAGGCAGAAGCUUGCCGAGGACAAGAAAAAGGCUGACCUGGAGGAGGCCAAGAGAAGGCAGCGGGAGGACGCCGCGCGGAGGAAGGAGGAGGCCCAGAUGGAGGAGGAGGACAGGCAAAGGAGGCGGGAGGAGGCCCAGAGGAGGAAGCAGGCGGACAAGAACAAGAAUGAGUAUGAGGUACGAUCGAUCAUGCGCUUGCUCGCUCCUUUUGCUAUGAGUUCAGUUUUCCUGUUCCUUUCUGCUCCUGACUGAAUUGGCAAAAUGAGGAUCAUCAGCGUUACUUUCUGUUCAUCAGCGUGUUUUGACCGAUCAUCAGCGUUUAGGCAGGUUUAGAUCUCUAAAAAAAAAACUGAUGUUUGCUGUCACUAUAAUGGUAGAUGUAGAAUAGUUGAUCACAAUUCUGCUACAUUACAAUUUAAAACCCCAAUCCCUUGCCAUGUUUUAGUUUCUACUGAAGAAAUGCCUGAAAAAUGCCCACCUCUGCUUAUGGAUGAUGCAGAGCGUGUUGAUUCUUUGUAUGGAAUUUUAGCUAGUGUUCGAUCUUGAUGAAGUGACCGUUCUAAGGAUAAAUCACCACCCCGAUCUCUAUAUCUAGUCAGGUUGCUCCUUUCCCCUUUGUUGUCAAGACUACAGCCAUCGCUAAGCCUACCUGGAAACAUUUGGUCAUUUGAAGUUGGGGAUUUAUCAGAUAGCUGUUUUGGUGAAGAAUGUGUAUCUUUCCUUAGUGUUUGAUCAUAUUUGACGAUGUAGAAAUUUCCAAUGGUAUGUCACGUGACUGGAGAUCAUCCUUUUGUUUGAGCCUUUCCGAAGACCAAUUGCCCAUUAUGUUUUACUAGUUUGCUGCAUUUUUGUUGCUCAUAAGCAUGAAAUUGACUGACUGAUUCUGAAAACUGUUUGACUGUUGUAGAUUGAGAGAGAUGCUCAUAGGAGCUUCAGGGAUAAGAAUCUUAGCAGCCUCAAGGAUAAUGGAAUGACCGUCUGUAUGAUCUGCUACUUUGAAAAAGAGGACUAUAAGUAUGGAUGUACUGACAAGCAGGUAGCGUUUUUCUCUCGACUUCCUAAUUGAGUGUGGUAAACUAAAUUCAGGGACUAAUCUUGGUUUUUGUUUGUUUGUUUCUUUUCAGAAGGAUCGCCGUAUCGGAAAUCGUCACAAAGCGGGAGUGGAACACUGCAAGAAGGCGGGUUGCUUUGUGAUUGCCAAGGACAAGAGCCAGCUAGGGAAGCACCACUACUAUUGUCAUGGCAUGAGCAAGUAAAACGGUAUAUCCUCUGCACUUCAUGAAGACUAUGCUCUGCUUAGCAUGAAGGGCUGCCCUUAUUAUAGCCUUUAGAAUUUGCAGGAAUCUCUUUUGAGAAUUUUGUACAAAUAUUGCGAACACUCUCUCAUAAUAAAUUUUAAGACUAAAUGCCAUCGAUUUUCCUUUCAGAUUGUUCAUCAUAUCAGCAGGGCGCGCAAGGGAGUUGGGAUUGAAAGUUGCAAGAAGAAGGGCUUCCUUGUUAUAGAAAAGGAGAGGAACAUCUAGCUCCAUAGUUUGAGCAAAUGAGCCCACUGUUUGGUUCUUCUGUAGCAAUUGAUAGCAUUAGUUUUUACUUUGUUUCACAAGAGGCUUCUGCAGCGAGUGCUAGCAUUAGUUUUUACUCUGUUUCUUUCACAUGAGAUGUGUGCACUAGGGUCUAGUGUGCUCAUUGGAGAAUUUUGUACAAAAAUCUUGUGAAUGGUCUUUUGUGAUGGAUGGAAAGGCUUUGGUGUCUUAGAUUCUAACGAAGACUGUUUAUACAGCAGAAUUUAGUACUGAUGUUUCCACUUCUAUUGAAUCCUUUACAUUCAGAAUACGAACAAUAGUGGCAAAUCAUACAAAUGAUAUUAUGCAGCAGCCGCAGACAAAAAGAAAAUGAGUGGCUGCUGGUAUACAAACAGAAAUAGAAAUAGAAAUAACACCCAGCCUCUGCAACAACGCAAUAUCGUAAAGAGAUUACGGACAUUGUCAUUGUGAUGGUUUCCUGGUUCGUGCGAUGAAGUACUGAUGAAAAUCUGCGUUAGUAAAAACUUCAUUGUACUUGGUCUGUUUUCAAGACAAACAAAAUACAGAUGCAGGGUUCGAAUGUAAAUUCAGAACCAGCCAGAAUGAUCUGGCCCUUACAUAAUGUCUCUCAACUAGACUUGACCUAUCAUAAGAACUAAAAAGCAUCCGUCUUCAAAUAAAAUCCCUCUUCUUGCCAGCCUUCGAUCGAACAGCAUUGGGCACAUGCAACUGACUACGCUUGCAGUUAGAAAAGACAUGCCAUUACUGGUAGUGGUAUCGACACGCCAUGCGAGUGUAUUCUCUUGAUUUCGCCAACAGCAUCAUCAAGAUCUAAGAGGUUGUUAUUCUGCUGAUGGUUGGUAUGCGUGUCUCUGUAUAAUUCAACUUCUUUCAUGCACCCGUAUCACCAAGGCAUAAGUGUUUUGGUAGAGCAAAUUCCCGCUGACGAGUGUUUCCAUCAUAGUUUUCAUCCAUCUUCGCAUAUGUGGCUUGAACUUGCACAAUGCUCCCAUAGCGUGUGUAAGUGGGAAUCGAUAAAAGAAAACUAUUUCGAUGAACAGCACAGCAUUCAAAUAUUUACUGGACAUCUAUCCAAUCUUUUGUAAGUGAUGAAAAUCUCUUGUUAGCCCAAGUAUAAGGAGGCUGUUUUACAAGAUGGCGGAAGAUAUGAAUUGUGUAAACCCACGUCAAAGCAACCACGAUGUUUCAUAAGCAAGGGAACUUUUUUCGCUAGCCUACAUUAUGACAUUCAGAUGUCCCAUACAAAAGUCAGGUCGAACCAAACCACCGUUCACGAGAAAAUGAUCAUUCAAAUCAUUAGUUGUGAUCCUGUAGAUUUCAAUUUUAAGAUGAAGAUUACCUACACUGCGAGGCAUGGGUUGACAAAAUGCGGCGGGCAAGAUACUGCAUGUUUGACUGUCGUGGCCCCUUGUUCAACCUCAACAUGAGAUCCGAUUCAUCGCUGCCUAUGCGCCUUGGAAUCUGUCGCCAACAUUUUGUUUCCUAUUUUUUUGGCAGACUGCGCUAACUUGAAAUUGUAGUGGAGUAUUGGAUCCCCAAUGAGCAUGAGAUGGCUUGAUUGCUGUCUCAGAAAAAACGCUAACACUACAUGUUUGCAUGAGCAUCCCAACAAAUAUGACGGCCACAGUAGCGUUCGGUGUAAAUUAAAGAUUCUAAGCUGUUUUGAGUGACAAUCUUCCUCCUUUUCAAUGUAACUCGCCGUAAUGCUUGCCAAAGCAUGAAAGAACCAUAUGAAGUAGCCCAGGAGCAAAAAGUGUAAUUACAUAUAGCGUUCAAAUAAAAUCUUCAAAGUUAUCUUCAAACAUGGUCAGGGAUUAGCAAUUGCACUGACAACAUGUGCCGAUAAUAUUUAGAAAAUGAUGUCAUGUCCAAUAGCUAGUUAAUGCAGAACAUCCCAAUUAAAUAAAUGAUUCAAGGACAAUGAAAGCAUCAGAAAGACUACCUCUGUAACUUUUUAUAAAACGUUUUUAUAGUCUAUGACAGUGUCAAAAAACGCCUUAUAUUAAGUUACAGAGGGAGUACAUAAUAUCUCAUACAGAAGAGAAUAAUAGACCAUUCUAACAGAUGGUUANNNNNNNNNNNNNNNNNNNNNNNNNNNNNNNNNNNNNNNNNNNNNNNNNNNNNNNNNNNNNNNNNNNNNNNNNNNNNNNNNNNNNNNNNNNNNNNNNNNNNNNNNNNNNNNNNNNNNNNNNNNNNNNNNNNNNNNNNNNNNNNNNNNNNNNNNNNNNNNNNNNNNNNNNNNNNNNNNNNNNNNNNNNNNNNNNNNNNNNNNNNNNNNNNNNNNNNNNNNNNNNNNNNNNNNCAAACAAGAACAGAAAACGGAAUAGUUGUAGAGCACCAUUUCCAUUCCUAAUAUUUAUUUUUCGGCCAUAGUUUCAUCAGAUACAGCAAACAAUAUACGAAAAAAGAGAUAGACUGAACAUGCUUCCGUUGUCAUAGCAUCUGCCCGCAAAAGAAUGGCAAACUUGGUCGACAGACCCCAUAAUCAAGGUACAUAAUUAAGAAAAGCUACCUAUUCGUACAAUGACAGAUUCAACACUGUAAGACUCGGUGUUAACCAUAUGGGACUUGGCCAGCUGGACCAAAGUGGGGACACAAUUUCCUCCCUACUGCCAUCUUCAAGGUUGAGAACACCUAUAUCCCGGGGAUUCGUCUUAUACAUCCAAUUAUAUUGCUCAGCAUCUGCGAAAUAGACACAAUUUGCCUUCAGUUGUGGAUAUUCUUCAGCACUAAGGCAUAUAGACUGGUUACGCCCAAGAAACAACACGUUAUGCUGCAAGCUAUUUAUUUCCACAAGCUCUUGUGCUUCCAUAUCGACUUUGUGUAAAAAGAUUUUAUUUGUUUUAACUAUGGGCUCCUCAUAGCCCGCAUCUAUGAGUUCAGCCUUCCUGCAAACUUGCAGCAGAUCACCCCAUGGAGCCUGAAGAAGGAAGAAUUCCCCCUUGUACUCAGAACUGUGAAUGGCAAUCUCAUCCGCAAUUAUAUUCCUCGUGGCGGUAGGACCAGUGAGGUCAAAAGCAUCCAUUUUUCCGGCUCUUGUGGAUGCAUACAAUAGACCAUCCAUGUAGAUGCAUUGAUCAUAGUCCCAAUCCGGCGUCAGCAAGGUCCACUUACAAUCUCCUACCCUUGCAAACGAAAGCUGACAUCCUGGACCAUGGAUGAGAACCACAAUGUAGCUUCCUGUGGACGGAUCCGGAAAGAUAAAUACCCUGAUGUAGACAUGGUCACGAAGCUUGUCAGGAGCAUGGGUUAUCAUUUCGGGACCAACCAUUUCAGGGUCUAAGUCCGGAUCGUACAGUUGCUCCCACAAUUCAUACAUAAUAACUGUGCCUGCAUUGUCAAAGAUUGGCUCUACAUAACCAAUGGUGACCACCGACGGGAGAGCAAUCUGUUGGCCAGUGACCGGAUUGAUAAGGUGUAGCUCAGACUUGUCAUCCGCAGUAACUAGCCAACCAUGCGAUGACCCAAUAAGAUACCUGCUGCGGAUGGGUGGAUCCGGGAGAGUUAAAAUGUAGACCCUCUUCUCUGCGAGGCUGUAGAGACAAGCUACAUUCUCACCAGCAGAUUCAGAGGUGUAGAGGAGGCAAGGCGUUUGAGGCCGUUUGUACAGCUUAAGCUGGCUGCAGAGGCUGGUAUACGUGGAGCGCCAGGAGGAGCUGACAGAGGCCGCACGCAUGAGGUCAGGUAUCUCCAGGAGUGAAAAUAUGUCCAUCAAUACAUCCUGCGGCAGCUCCGGCAAAUUUCUCACCACAGUUUCAGUUUCCAUGGGUGGUGAGACCUUUCUCAAUACAUCCUGCAGCAGCUCCGGCAGUUUUCUCAACACAGUUUCAGUUUCCAUCGCUGGUGAGACCUUUCUGAAUUUCCCCAAUGAACAGGGAGAAAGAGCCAGGAGCUUAGGCAAAACUUUCAGGCCAAAAUGAGCAAAGCUCGUUAUCCUGGCUACGCUACAGACCUCCAUUGGAGCAAUUGCAAAAGCAGGUCUUGUUGGAGAAGAGUUGCUUCAGCGGCAAACCAAUUGGACUUGGCUUGUAUCUAAUCUGAUGAGAAGAAGCACACCGAGGGCUGGCUGCACUUUAUAUCCAGUCGAGCCGAGGCCUCACCUGUGAUCCGAUUAGAAGAAGGGAGUCCGGAUCCAGCGAGGAUUGUUGCCGUAGAAACUCCGAAAAGAUCUGGAAUUCGAAUCCGAGCAAUUACCGCAAGGGCUCCCCAACGAUGGGAGAGGAAAACCAACUGAUUGCCCGCCGCAGUGUAGCCCGACGGCUCGGCCGUCCCAGGAUCCGCGAGAAGGCAGAAGGUAGCGCCGGCGAGCUUGGGCUUCGUCGGCGGCGGUAAAUGGGAUGCAGGAGGGGUGGUGAGAUUAGCAGUGGAAGGUAGCGGCGAGAAGGUGCUUGGCUCCGACGUCUUCGUCGCAGGCGGCGGCGUUGUGGGGGCAGGUUGCCUUUGCAGAGGUGAGCGGAGAGGCCGUCAGUUAUGCGACCGAGCACUGUGUGCUCCGCGCGAGCGAACGAUUCCUUUUUCAUUUUCUUUUUUAUUUGAAAACUUGCGCGCGAGCGAACGAUUCCUUCUCCUUUUUCUUUUUAUUAGAACUUCCGAGCCAGCGACCGAUUCAUUUUAAUCGUAUUGGAGUGCGCCGUUCAGUAGAUUUUUUUUUCUGUCUGACAAACUCCAGAAACGCUUCCACUCAACCGACCGAUUAUCUCGCUUCGUUCACUGCCUCUGUGAUCGUUAGAUUUGCCUUUCAUGUUACCACGACUAAAGCAGUGUUCUCCUAUUUCACGCCCAUUCUUGACUCCGCCAAGCCAUAACCGUUCACCAUCGACCUCACGGCGAUGCACGUUGGUCCCUUUGAACUCUCACUUCUAGAAGCUCCUUUUUUCCGAGGACGAGAUAUGGAUGGCCACCAAGCACUUUCCAAUGGGUCAAACACCGGGCCUGGAUGGUUUCGCCAUUGAGUUUAUGCAGAGUGCUUGAGAGGUGAUCAAGGAGGACAUUUGCGGCGUGUUCGGCGAGCUACAUUCGCUCAAUUUUCGAGGCUUUCGCAAGCUUAAUGAGGCACUCAUUACUCUACUUUCCAAGAAGGCGGACGCUGUGUCACUCUUCAACUACCGGCUAAUCAGUUUGAUCCACCUCAUAGUCAAGCUUUUUGUGAAGCCUCUCUCUCUCCGGCUCGCCUCGCAUCUCAGCAGUAUGGUUUCCACCAACCGAAGCGCGUUCAUCGCUAGCAGAAGCAUUCAUGAUAACUUUCUACUCGUGCAACAAAUGGCACGCCUUCUUCAUUAUCUUAAAGCUAAUAGGAUGCUUCUGAGGCUUGACAUCCCUGCGCAUUCGACUCGGUAUCCUGCUUUUUCCUCCUCGAGAUACUUCGACUGUUGGGGAACAUAGCAUGCAAUUUCAAAAAAAUUCCUACGAUCACGCAAAAUCUAUCUACGAGAUGCAUAGCAACGAGAGGGGAGAGUGUCUCCACGUACCCUCGUAGACCGAAAGCGGAAGCGUUAGGUUAACGCGGUUGAUGUAGUCGAACGUCUUCACAAUCCAACCGAUCUAGUACCGAACGUACGGCACCUCCGAGUUCAGCACACAUUCAACUCGAUGACGUCCCUCGAACUCUUUAUCCAGCAAAGGGUCGAGGGAGAGUUUCGUCAGCAGACGGCGUGGUGACGGUGAUGGUGAUGUGAUCCGCGCAGGGCUUUGCCUAAGCACUACGACGCUAUGACCGGAGGAGUAAACUGUGGAGGGGGGCAGUCCAGCCUGCGUUCCGGAUACUUCUAGAGUAAUCCUGAUGGUCGAAGGUGAUUGGUUUUAACAACCAUUGGCGAGACUCCUUUGGGAUAGGCCAUAUGGCGCGUAUCUCUGGUGGCGCCAUUCUGUUCGUCACGUGAAGUAAGUGUACUGUUUUGACUUCUUGUGGGAAAUCCUUUUAUUUCCUGGUGCUCUGCUUGUGGGGUUCGUCGUCGUCCUCACUUGGUGUGUCGAGCCCCUUGUGUUCGGCGUUGAGUUUGUCGGCUUGCUUGAAAACCCAACAAUCUCUGUGGGUAUGGUUCGCAGGCUUCCCGGGAGUACUGUGUAUUUGACAUAUCUUGUCCAAGAUUUUGUUUAAGUUGGAUAGCUCGUCCCUGUUAUCCUUGAGGGGCGGCUUUCUCUGAUUCUGCCGUGAGCUUUUGAAUCCGGCGUUGACCGCUGUGCUCUUUGGGCUGUUUCCCUUAUUCCGGCGCUGGUCCUUGCUGCGUCGGGGUUUUCCGUUUCCAUCCCUAACUUCGGAUGUACUUGGGUCGCUGGUGCUACAUCUUGCCAAUCAGCUGUCCUCUCCUGCGCAAAAGCGGGUCAUGAGGCUUGUUAAUGCGGCCAUUGUUCUUGGCUUUUCUUGGCCGAGGUGUCUGGCGAGCCAUUCGUCUCGAAUGUUGUGCUUAAAAGCUGCUAGGGCUUCGGCACCCGGAUAGUCGACUAUCUGAUUCAUUUUAGUAAGAAAUCUGUUCCAGAAUUUCCCGGCUGACUCUCCGGGCUGUUGAGGUAUGUGACUGAGAUCGUCUGCAUCCGGAGGGCGGACAUAGGUCCCUUGAAAAUUUGCCCGGAAAGCAUCCUCAAGCUCUUCCCAACUUCCAAUGGUGUUUUCGGGAAGACUUUUGAGCCAAUGCCGGGCUGGUCCUUUAAGCUUGAGGGGUAAGUAUUUUAUGGCGUGGAGGUCAUCUCCUCUGGCCAUGUGUAUGUGGAGGAUAUAAUCCUCGAUCCAGACCCCAGGGUCUAUUGUUCCGUCGUACGCCUCUAUGUUUACGGGCUUGAAUCCCGCUGGAAAUUCAUGGUCCAGCACCUCAUCGGUGAAACAUAGGGGGUGUGCGGCACCCCUGUAUUUGGGUGUGCCGUGAUGUUCGGAUAUUUGUUGUGUUGCAUUGCUUACUAGAGCUUGCUUUCUUGGCCCGUAUAUAGAUGUGGCUGGGCCGUCUUUUUGGUGCGGAUCCUUUGGUGGAUCGCAUGCCGGCUUGUGUGCGGCGCCGCUUGCCACUCCAUGCUGGCCAUGCGGUCAUCCAUCCGACCGGAUGGCUUUCCUAUUUUUUGACUGCGGGGGCUCUAAGGCUUCCUCGUCAAAUUCAGGCAGUAGCUUUCGCUUUGGAUAGCUUUUUGUGCGGCGACUGCCGACAUAUUUGUCUGCGGUGUUGCGUACUUUGCUCCAUCUGAUUCCGAGUGCAUCUUCCGUAGUUUUGAGCUUCCGCUUCUGCUUUUUCAGGCUAUGCGCAGUGGUGACGAGCCUUUUGUGGAGGUUCUUUUGCUCCAUGAGUUUAUCCGGCGUAAGGUCGUCCGGACUGUUGUUUUCGCCGGGGACGGGGUGUUCGAUUUGUUUAUCCAAGUUGCCCUGUUCGGAUGCUUGCUCGAAGGCAUGUUCGUCGUCCGCCGGCUCGUCCUGCUCUAUGGCUGGGUCUGUAUGGCUGCUGUCUCUAUCGAGGCGGGGCUCGGAGCGGCGCUUACGUCGCUGCUUUGAUUGCUUUUCGAGUGAACGAUCCCUCGUUGCAUCCCUGUGUUCCUCGUCGUCGCUUCCUUUGGGUGUGUCCACCAUGUAUACAUCAUGAGAUGAGGUGGCUGUCCAGUGCCUUAUAGGCGUUGGUUCAUGUUCAUCUCCUACAUCGUCGUCCAUACCAUCGAUGUCUUCAGAGUCAAAGUCGAGCACGUCGUUUAAAUUAUCGACAGUGGCUACGAAGUGGGUGGUGGGUGGGCUUUGAAUUUCUUCAUCAUCCACAUCCCAACCUUGUUGACCAUAGUCCGGCCAGGGCACUCCUGAUAAAGAGAGAGACUUUAGUGAAUUCAGAAUAUCGCCGAAGGGCGAGUGCUGAAAGAUGUCUGCGGCGGUUAACUCCAUGAUCGGUGCCCAAUCGGGGUUGAUCGGUCGGGGCGCGGAGGGCUCGGAGUCUGGAGAGGAGUCUGGCUCCUUGGAGUCACAGGCUUCACAGAGAAUAGGGCUGGUGUUCGGCUCGAUCGCCGUAGAGAUUGCAACCCACAAGGCGGUGUCUAACCACCCAUCCUCGAUUGGUGUGAUCGGCUCCGAGCUAGGGGUCAGAGCGGACAUAGGUGCGGCCUCCAGGGCACUGUUCGGCGACUGAGCUAAAUCAUGCCCAUCGUGACAAUGCGGCGCGCCCGGCUGUGGCUCGAAUCCGUCGAAGAUUAAGUCUCCGUGGAUGUUGGCCGUGUAGUUCAAACUUCCAAAUCUGACCUGAUGGCCAGGGGCGUAGCUUUCGAUCUGCUCUAGAUGACCAAGCAAAUUGGCCCACAGUGCAAAGCCGCCGAAUACGAAGAUCUGUCCGGGGAGAAAAGUCUCACCCUGGAUCGCAUCGCUGUUGAUGAUCGGAGAAGCCAUCGGGCCUAAAAGUGACGACACAGAGGAACUCUCAAUGAAAGCACCAAUGUCGGUGUCAAAACCGGCGGAUCUCGGGUAGGGGGUCCCGAACUGUGCAUCUAGGCCGGAUGGUAACAGGAGGCAGGGGACACGAUGUUUUACCCAGGUUCGGGCCCUCUUGAUGGAGGUAAAACCCUAUGUCCUGCUUGAUUAAUAUUGAUGAUAUGGGUAGUACAAGAGUAGAUCUACCACGAGAUCAAGGAGGCUAAACCCUAGAAGCUAGCCUAUGGUAUGAUUGUUGUUCGUCCUACGGACUAAAACCCUCCGGUUUUAUAGACACCGGAGAGGGCUAGGGUUACACAGAGUCGGUUACAAUGGUAGGAGAUCUACAUAUCCGUAUCGCCAAGCUUGCCUUCCACGCCAAGGGAAGUCCCUUCCGGACACGGGAUGAAGUCUUCAAUCUUGUAUCUUCAUAGUCCAGGAGUCCGGCUGAAGGUAUAGUCCGGCCCUCCGGACACCCCCUAAUCCAGGACUCCCUCAUUAGUAUUGUUGUGGCAAAUUUUCGUUGGAUCUAUCCCCAUUUUGCGGAUUGUGUCCUGAUAUAUCAGGUUUAGACUGCUGCCACCGUCCAUCAGGACUCGUGUGAAGUGGUAUCCGUCAAUUAUUGGAUCUAAUACUAAGGCAGCCCAUCCUGCGCGCCGGAUACUUGCCGAGUAAUCCUGAUGGUCGAAGGUGAUCGGUUGAGACGGCCAGUGGCAGAACUCCGCGGUGAUAGGCCCUUGGGCAUAUUUAUCUGGGAGUGCCGCUUUGUUUCUCCCCUUUAUCACGUGUAACACAUUUACUGUUUUGACUUCUGGUGGAAAUUUCUUCUGUUCCCCAGUGCUUUGCUUGCGAGGCUCAUCCUCGUCUUCGCUUGGUGUAUCCUGCCCCUUAUGUUCGGCGUUGAGCUUGCCGGACUGCUUGAAGACCCAACAUUCUCUGUGGGUAUGAUUUCCAGGUUUAUCGGGGGUGCUAUGGAUCUGACAUAUUUGGUCCAGAAUUUUGUUUAGGCUGGACAGUUCAUCUCUGGCGCCUUUAGAGGGCGGCUUUUGCUGACCUGGCCGAGAGCUUCUGAAUCCGGCGUUUACUGCCGCGCUCUUCGAGCUGUCUUCUUUAUUCCGGCACUUAUUUUUUUUGCCGCGUCGUGAUUUCCCGUUUCCAUCUCUAACUUUGGAUGUACUUGGGUCGCUGGUGCUGAAUCGAGCUAGCCAGCUGUCCUCGCCCGCGCAAAAGCGGGUCAUGAGGCUUGAUAAUGCUGCCAUUGUUCUUGGAUUUUCUUGGCUGAGGUGUCUGGCAAGCCAUUCGUCUCGGACGUUGUGUUUAAAAGCUGCCAAGGCUUCGGUGUCCAGACAGUCGACUAUUUGGUUUUUUAGUAAGAAACCUGUUCCAAAGCUUUCGGGCUGACUCUCCGGGCUGUUGAGUUAUAUGACUCAAAUCGUCCGCAUCCGGAGGUCGGACAUAAGUCCCUUGAAAAUUUGCCCGAAAAGCGUCUUCGAGCUCUUCCCAGCUUCCAAUGGAGCUUUCGGGGAGGCUUUUAAGCCAGUGCCGAGCUGGCCCUUUGAGCUUGAGGGGUAAGUACUUGAUGGCAUGGAGAUCAUCUCCUCGAGCCAUAUGGAUAUGGAGGAUAUAGUCCUCAAUCCAGACCCCAGGGUCUGUUGUUCCGUCGUAUGCCCCUAUGUUUACGGGUUUGAAUCCCUCUGGAAAUUCAUGGUCCAGCACCUCGUCGGUGAAACAUAGGGGGUGUGCGGCACCCCUGUAUCUGGGUGUACCGCGUUGUUCGGAUGUUUGUUGUGUUGCACCAUAUGCUGGAGCGCGCUUGCGUGGUCCAUAGAUGGAUCUGGUUGCGCCGUCCUUUUGAUGCGAGCCCUCACGUGGAUCGUGUAUUGGUUUAUGUGCAGUGUUGUUUGCCGCUCUAUGUUGGCCGUGAGGUCGUCUAUCCGGCCAGAUGCCCGUUUUAAUUUUUGGUUGCGGGGGAUCUAAGGCCUCCUCAUCAAAUUCAGGUAGCAACUUCUGCUUCGGGUAGCUCUUGGUGGGGCAAUUACUGCCGUACUUCGCUGCUGUGUUGAGUACUUUACUCCAUCUGAUUCUGAGUGUGUCUUGCGCAGCCUUGAGCCUUUGCUUCUGCUUUUUUAGACUCCUCGCGGUGGCAACAAGCCUUUGACGGGCAUUCUGUUGCUCCGGGUGUCUGUCCGGUGUGAUGUCAUCCGGACUAUUAUCUUUGACAGAGUCGGGUUGUUCGGUUUAAUUCUCCGUGUUGCUGUGGUCCGGUGAUGGUUCACCCUGCUCUAAUGCUGGGUCUAUAUGAUCGUUGUUUCUGCCGAGGCAGGAUUUGGAGCGGCGCUUACGCCGCCGCUUUGACUGCUUCUCGAGGGGACAACCCUUCGUUGUGUCCUUCCGUUCCUCGUCGUCGUUUUCUUUUGGUGUGUCCACCAUGUAUACGUCAUGUGAUGAAGUGGGCGUCGAGUGCCCUGUGGGCAGUGGUUCCUCUUCGUCUCCUGCAUCGUCUUCCAUACCGUCGAUGUCUUCGGAGUCGAAGUCGAGCAUGUCGGUUAAGUCAUCGAUAGUGGCUACUAAGUGGGUGGUGGGUGGGCGGCGAAUUUCUUCGUCAUCCGCAUCCCAAUCCUGCCGGACAUAGUUCGGCCAGGACUCUCCUGACAAGGAGAGAGACUUUAAUGAAUUCAGUAUGUCGCUGAAGGGCGAGUGCUGAAAGAUAUCCACGGAGGUGAACUCCAUGAUUGGCGCCCAGUCGGAUUUGAUAGGCACGGGCGCAUGCGGUUCGGAGUACGUGGCCGGGGAAGGAUCCAGCAGUUUGGCAACACGGCUCUCGUGAAGGGUAAGGUCGAUAUUCGGCUCGAUCGCCGCUGAGGAUACGGCCUCCAUGACGGGGACUAUCCACCCGUCCAUGGAUGGCGCAACUGGCUCCGAGUUGAGGCUCAGAGCGGCUGCCGGUGCGAUCUCCUGAAUACAGUCCGAUGGUAGAGCUAAAUCAUACUCAUCGUGACCGCGUGGUGCACAAGGCAGGGGCUCGAAUCCGUCGAAGAUCAAGUCUCCGCGGAUAUCGGCCAUGUAAUUUAAGCUUCCAAACCUGACCUGAUGGCCAGAGGCGUAGCUUUCGAUCUGCUCCAGAUGGCCAAGCGAGUUGGCCCGCAGUGCGAAGCCGCCGAACACAAAGAUCUGUCCGGGGAGAAAAGUCUCACCCUAGACUGCAUCGCUAUCGAUGAUAGAAGGAGCCAUCAAGCCUAACGGUGACAACAUAGAGGAACUCUCAAUGAAAGCACCAAUGUCGGUGUCAAAACCGGCAGAUCUCGGGUAGGGGGUCCCGAACUGUGCGUCCAAGGCGGAUGGUAAUAGGAGGCAGGGGACACGAUGUUUUACCCAGGUUCGGGCCCUCUUGAUGGAGGUAAAACCCUACGUCCUGCUUGAUUUAUUCUUGAUGAUAUGAGUAUUACAAGAGUUGAUCUACCACGAGAUCGGAGAGGCUAAACCCUAGAAGCUAGCCUAUGGUAUGAUUGUAUAUUGUCCUAAGGACUAAAACCCUCCGGUUUAUAUAGACACCGGAGAGGGUUAGUGAGGGAGUCUUGGGUUAGGGGGUGUCCGGAUGGCCGGACUAUACCUUCAGCCGGACUCCUGGAUUAUGAAGAUACAAGAUUGAAGACUUCGUCCCGUAUCCGGAAGGGACUUUCCUUGGCGUGGAAGGCAAGCUUGGCGAUACGGAUAUGUAGAUCUCCUACCAUUGUAACCGACUUUGUGUAACCCUAAACCUAUCCGGUGUCUAUAUAAACCGGAGGGUUUUAGUCCAUAGGCCAACAUACAGAACAACAAUCAUACCAUAGGCUAGCUUCUAGGGUUUAGCCUCUCCGAUCUCGUGGUAGAUCUACUCUUGUACUACCCAUAUCAUCAAUAUUAAUCAAGCAGGACGUAGGGUUUUACCUCCAUCAAGAGGGCCCGAACCUGGGUAAAACUUUGUGUCCCUUGCCUCCUGUUACCAUCCGGCCUAGACGCAUAGUUCGAGACCCCCUACCCGAGAUCAGCCGGUUUUGCCACCGACAUUGGUGCUUUCAUUGAGAGUUCCUUUGUGUCGUCGCCAUCAGGAAGGAUGCCUCGCCCCGUCUUUAAAGACGGCACCGUUCCUAAGGGAGCUCUGGCUGUCGGCCAAACCCUCCGGCUAGGUGGUUUUCUCAUGACCGCCUGUUCGGCUUCUGCGCCGACGAUGACCUCUCGAGCCAUCAGAAACAAUCUUCAUGUCAGCUCGGAACUCGCCGAGCAGUUAGAUCCAAUGGAGCUCUCCUCCAUAAACGAGCUCUUGGAUCGCAUCGCCGCCCUGGGAGUCGCUACGGAUUACGACCAAAUUGGGCCUAAGCCCGAUCUGAGAGAGAUUAACUCUCCCCAAGUCACCCAUCACGUUGCUGUGGUAGAGGGACAGUGCGGCGACCCUUCAUCUAUCUUAAGGACUAGCUACGUCCAGAUUCCUGAUCCCUCCAAGCCGGAUACCCGUGGAGGGGAGGAUAUCACUCAAGACCUGAACUCAGAGUCAGGCGACGGGUUGGAUUCAUUGGACAACAUCCAGGAAUCCAAAUUUCUGAGUUCGGAAAUUCCUCGGUCUCUGAGCCUCAGAUGGGGUGAGGCUUCGGAUUUAAUUCCACCCACCCACCCGAACAUAAGCGAUAUAUCCCAAAUUAGGCAAGAGCCCGAAGAAAUAGUACAUCAUUACUAGGCCAGAUUCCUCCUGGUUAGGAACAUGAUAAGGGACUGCCGCGAGGAAGACGCAAUCUCAAUCUUCUGCAAUAAUUGCACGGACAAUGGAAUCCUCAAUGCCAUAAGUCGCCGUGAUAUUACACGCUUCGCUGACUUGGCGUCCAUUGUACGAAAAUACUGUGCGAUGGAAAGCGCCUGGAAAACCAAAAUAAAAUUUUGGGACGAUCCGACCCUGAAUACAAACCCAGUCCGAAAUAAAAGGGUGCAUCAUCGCCAGACACCCAGGUCAAACACCAAAAAGCAAAAACCCUCUACAGGGCAUGGAACCAUACUGGAAGGAUGGCUUAAUGGACCCUGUAAAAUUCACAGUACAUAGGAUGCCACACCAACUCACAGCCUUAGAGCAUGUUGGAUACUCUGGCAGGUGGCCAAAAUUGGCGAAGCUCUCCUAAUUCCGAAGGCCACAGAAAGCCACCCCAGAGACACCAAUACGGUAUUAACAGUCUUCGAGACUUUCGCAUAAAAUAAUAUGCGAAAAAGGACACUCCGCAGCCUUGCCGAAGUCUACCAAGUAGCAACAAUAAACCCAUGGAGUGACAUGGCUAUUACCUUUAACGCCAGUGAUGAACCUAAAUUCCGAACAGCCCGAGCACCAGCCGCAUUGGUCCUCAGUCCAAUAGUGGACGACUUUCAUCUUACCAAGGUACUCAUGGACGGCGGCAGCGGAUUGAACCUCAUUUAUGAGGAAACCCUUCAAAAAAUGGAAAUAGACUGGAACCGCAUUGAGCGAAGCAGCACAACCUUUAGAGGAAUAAUCCCCAGUCGAGAAGCGCGCUGUAUAGGAAAAAUCACACUAGAUGUGGUGUUCGGCACGCCGGAUAAUUACAGGUCCGGAAAGCUCUUGGGCUUCAUUGUAUCCGGUAGAGGAUUUGAAGCAAAUCCAGCCAAGAUCCAAGCUCUGUCACAAUUAGAUAUCCCAAAGGACCUCAAACAAAUACAAAAGUUAACCGGAUGCGUGGCGGCUCUAAGCCGCUUUAUCUCCCACUUGGGAGAAAAGGCCCUACCCCUUUACCGCCUCCUUCGGCGCACCGAACACUUCGAAUGGACGGAUGCAUCCACGGCCGGACUCGACGAAAUAAAAGCCAUAUUGGCAACAAACCCAGUCCUGGCCGCGCCAAACAUUGGCGAACCAAUGCUAUUGUACAUUGCAGCAACACAUCAGGUUGUAAGCGCAGUGCUCGUUGUCGAACGAGAAACGGACGAACACAAAUCCCCCCUUCAAAAACCGGUCUAUUAUGUGUCCAUUGUCCUCACUCCAUGCAAAUCACGUACCCGCAUUAUCAAAAGAUCGCUUACGCGGUAUUCAUGGCAUCCUGGAAGCUACGACACUACUUUCAAGAGUGUUCAAUAACAGUAGCCUCGGAAGUACCACUUAACGAUAUUAUAAACAACCGCGACGCAAUGGGUCGGAUUGCAAAAUGGGCCAUUGAGCUCCUCCCGUCCGACAUAACUUAUAAGCCACGGCGAGCCAUCAAGUCGCAAGUUUUGGCCGACUUCGUCGCAGAAUGGACGGAGGCCGAACUCCCUAAAGAGUAUGACACAUAUUCAAAUUGGAUCAUGCAUUUCGACGGCUCCAAGAUGUUGGCCGGACUAGGGGCUAGCAUCGUUUUAACGUCCCCCAUAGGAGACACUGUUCAAUACAUACUCCAGAUUAUGUACACAGACUCCAACAAUGCAGCCGAAUAUGAGGCCCUUUUACAUGGUCUCCGGAUGGCAGUAUCCAUGGUCAUUCAACGCCUAGAGGUGCGCGGGGACUCGAACCUCGCAAUAUCCCAAAUAAAUGGAGACUUUGAUGCCAAGGAUCCAAAAAUGGCAGCUUACCGCAAUGCCAUCCUAAAAAUGUCACCUCGGUUCGAAGGGCUUGAAUUUCACCAUAUAGCCCGGGAAAAUAAUCAGGCGGCAGAUGUCCUGGCACGCAUCGGCGCAAAACGCGAUGUAGUCCCCCCCCAACAUCUUCUUGGAAAGGCUGUUCAAGCCAUCCGUAGUAUGGGAAGGGGAGCCAAACAAUAACAGCCCGGACCCAACCGCACUGCCCGACACCGAACAUUCUGACACAAUCGGAGGCUCUGCCAAUGAAAUAACACCUUCAGCCCACGUAAUAAUGGUCGUCAUCGCCCCGUGGACAGAACCAUUCCUCGCCUACCUUACUAGGCAGGAACUCCCCGAGGACCAAAAUGAGGCAUGCUGCAUAGUGCGGCAAUCCAAAGCCUACAAAGUCCACGAGGGAGAGCUUUAUAAGAAAAGCACCACCGGAGUCCUUCAAAGGUGCAUCUCCGAAGAGGAAGGGCGGAACCUCCUGGCUAAAAUUCAUGCCGGACUCGGCGGUCAUCACGCUGCAGCCCGGUCCCUUGUAAGCAAGGCCUUCCGUACAGGCUUUUAUUGGCCGACGGCCCGGGCAGACGCCCAGAACUUAGUCCAGCGAUACAUCGGUUGCCAGCUCUUUGCAAACCAAAGCCAUAUGCCACCCACCGCCCUCCAAACUAUCCCCAUCACUUGGCCCUUCGUGGUUUGGGGGCUUGACAUGGUUGGACCCCUUAAAGGCGGAACCCACAAGCAAAAAUACUUACUGGUCAUGGUGGAUAAGUUCACCAAAUGGAUAGAAGCCAAGCCUGUUAAGACGGCCGAAUCCGGACCGGUGAUAGACUUUAUAUCCGGGCUUGUACACCAUUACGGCGUCCCCCACAGCAUCAUCACUGAUAAUGGCACGAACUUUACGGCCGACGAGGUAAAACUCUGGUGCAAAAACAUGGGCAUCAAGCUUGAUUAUGCUUUCGUCUAUCACCCACAAACUAACGGCCAGGUCGAACGUGCAAAUGGUCUUAUCAUGAGCGGCAUCAAACCCAGAUUAGUGCGGUCCCUCAAGGAAUCUAACACACACUGGGUAGAGGAGCUCGACUCCGUACUCUGGGGGCUGCGGACCACGCCGAAUUGCACCACCGGAUACACACCAUUCUUUAUGGUGUACGGCGCAGAGGCAGUUUUGCCUUGCGACAUAAUUCAUGACUCACCUCGAGUGCACAUGUACGAAGAAAGAGAAGCCGAGCUCGAUCGGCAGGACAGUUUGGACGCAUUGGAGGAGGAGCGUGACGUGGCAAAAGCCCGUUCCGCAUUCUAUCAACAGCAGGCUCGAAGAUACCAAAGCAGAGAAGUACGGGCCAAAAAUUACAAUGUUGGCGAAUUAGUUCUACGCCUGCCGGACAAGAAAAAGGACAAACUCAAGCCAAAGUGGGAAGGUCCCUUCAUAAUUGACCAAGUCCUGACUGGUGGAGCGUACCACCUGCGAGAUGCAUCGGAUAACCGACUCGAGCCGAACCCAUGGAACGCAGCCCAUCUCCGAAGAUUCUAUGCCUAGCGCCGGACUCUGUGUUCGUCUCCUUCCUCUGUCCAUUUUUUAUAUAUCCUUUCUGUCUUAGAUUUCUCUCCUUCUCCCCUUCCUUUCUCUUAUAUCCUUUAAAGGCUCAUCAAAUGACGUGCUAUUCGCACUCAUUGAACCUGGGGGCUUCUUUUACCAGAAGCUUAUUUAUACGGGCUUCAUGCCCAACACAUGUGUGACACUUCUGCAUGUACCUUUUAUUUCACCAUUAUAUGCAUUGAUAUGACUUAAGUUUUGGCCAAGCUGGGUUGCCUGGCUCCUGUGCUUACCCCUACGUUCCCGAUUAUUUGGCUAGGCGGUAAAGGGAGCACCUCUGCGAUUGUUACUGCCGGAUCAGCCGGAUGUGUACCUCAGAUUGGGUGAAGCCAAAAGCUAGCGUUCUUAAGGGAAUAUUCGGUCGGUGACCUAAAAGAUGAUCUUUUUACUUAUUUAUUUAUGCGCCCCCAGAUGCUUUUUCCUGCAUCUUUUUCGCAGAAUGGGCAUGCACUUUAGGGCAUGCCUCCCAGGGAAAGGAACCCCUAACGGAACUAUUCUCCCUGGAAGAUGUUUCUUACUAACCAUGUAAUAUAACAUAACUAGUCGGGCACUUGUCUGUUCACGCACUAAUGACCCCUACGCCUGGUCUCCAUGCAUUCCCCGGUUCUUAUAUAACCGCAUGGGAAUUCGGACACACUCCGGACCGCCAGGUCCCGAGGCUGAAGCGAAAAGGUCGGCCAUGACAAACGAUCUACAAUCCGGCUAGAAGGCAUUAUAAAUGUCAAUUAAAUUACAUAGUCAUUCUGACUGAUUGUAUUCCUCUUCAAUACCAUCUAACAGGCUGUCUAAUUUACAGUCCCGCCGGGAAUACUUUGCGGCCAAUUCUACUUGGCCGUAUACUAAGCUUACACGGAUCUCCUUCCCAUCGGGCCCCACAGGACCGACCUCGGCCAUGUGGUUGGGGUCAGCCUUUGUGUACCGCGUCUUCACCAUGGCCCAGGCCUCCCUAGCGCCUUGACGGCAAGCCGAUAUCUUCCACAAUCGGAAGCGCCGCCAUGCUCCCGUUAGCUUCUCUACAAGCUCUCCAAGACCUUCGGGCACGGAGAUGGAUGGCCACAGGGCCUGGGCGACGCCUCGCAUCGCCUUCCGAACUCGCUCGAGCAGUUGCGAGAGCUCGGGAAGAAGGUCACCCGUAGAACCGGGCAUCUCCUCUGCAGGACGACCUGUUAGCACACCUACAGACAUUACUCUGUUAGUCGACUUCCCCGCCGAACUUUUUUUCCCAAAGGUUCGUUCAAGCACUUACUAAAUAUGCUGCGCCGAAGCCGCUGAUUCUCCUUAACGGAGUCUGACAACUGGGCACGAACAUCUUUCAGUUUGACGCCCAGCUUGGUGUUGGCAUCUUGGAGAUCGUUCUUCUCCCGCCUCACCUUUGUCAGCACCUUCUCACCAGCCUUCAGCUGGCGUAGGAGGUGUUGCCUUUCCGGAUUCAAUCCGGUGCCAUCUGCAAUUUCAUUUGUCAGAUUCGCACCCAUGCCGUGCUUCGCAAAAUACUUAUCUUUCGAAGUGUAUAUUACCAGAGGGGGUCUCCUUGGGCUCCCCUGCCGCGGCUAGUGCGGCCUCAAGUUGGGCUUUGCACUCUUCCAGCUCCUGGGACAGUAGGGAAUUCUUUUCUGUAAGAACCUGCAUAACAUAUGAUCCUUGAAUCAGUUGUUCUAACUGUUUCAAGUCUUGGGGGCUACUGGUAUAUAUAUAUAUAUAUAAUUACCAAAAUUUUCUUACCCGUAUGUCUUUUACAUAUUGCUCCGUGGCUCUGGCUAGACCAUUUUGAGCGGCACGGAGGUACGCAUCUCCCAAAUUGAAGGCAUCUAAUGCCUCUCGGGAGAAACAAGCGUCGCGAAGAAUUGUCCAGCGACGCCUGUGGUUCAUGGCACUCUCCACCUCAGAGUUGGUGGCAGACAACCUGUCCACGUCCUCCGUCGAAGGAGCGUCCGGUGCGCGCCUUGUGUUCACCUCCGCCUCCGACCAGGCUUUGGAGCCUGGCUGGUGGAGGUGCGAUUGGCAGCCUCUCCGGAUAUAGUCCGGCGAGGUCUCUUUGUCCUGAAGAGAGCAUGAAUGUUAACAUGCCUUGAAGGUAUAACACCUGGGAUAAGGGGGCACGCCGUACCUUUGCGCUGACGUAUCGAUCCGGACUGCACCUCUUUUCUGCCCACGGGGCCCUGCGGCCCCUCGUUGGCUUGUCGCCGCAGGUUCGGCCUCCCGUCUCAAAAACCUCCCCUGCAAAACUCGGUUGUAAUCAGGAAACUGAAAACACGAGAGGGCGGACCCCUAUUCAGGGUACUGGGACUUCGAUCUCAGUUACCUGGGAGGCCGGGAUUAUCCCUGGGUAAUUGACCGUGAUGGCCACCAAGGCGUUGUCCUUGCUCAAUUGAUGAAACACUCCAUCAAUCAGCUCCACGGAUACGUCCGGAUCCUCUUGAGAGGCCGGGUUGAGGGACCGUCCUGGGUCCUCGGGUUGUGGAGGAGGGCUGAUUAUUUCUUUAACAGCCUGGCGCAGUUCCUGCGUUGAAGUUGCUAGACUGAAUAUUUAACGAUGGGGAUAUAAAACGGAUGGGCAAGACGCGCCCACUUACCCAGCUUGGAGGAUUGUACAUAGAAAAUCCACCCUUCGGAUCAAAGCGGAGAAAAUCCUCCUCUUCUCCCUUGUACAAAGCGGACAAGGUCUUUGUUAGAGAUGCAGCCGAAUCCGGUCCCUUUCGGCCAUAGCGGGUGGCGUCGUCCUCCCCGUUGAAGUCCCACAUGGGGUGGCCUCCAUACUGUAGCGGCUGCACCCCUCGCAUGAUGCAUGCGGCCAUGACCCCGAUCAUGGUCAGUCCGGAAUGAGCUAACAAUCUUAUCCGGCCCAUCAGGUAAAUAAUGUCCUUGUCACUUUCCCUCUGAGGGCUCCGUGGACGCCAACUUACACGCUUCUUUAGUGGGGCACUGUCGAACUCAGGGAGGCCGAUCCAGAUAGGAUCCGGCAGCGGGACAUCCUCUAUGUAAAACCAUUCCGAAGGACAGUCCUCGGACGCCUUCUUUGGGGUUCCGGAUAGAUAUCCGGUCCCGGCGAUGCGCCACACUUCGGCUCCGCCCACUUGAUAUAUUGACCCCUUCUUAGAACGAGGCACGAGGCAGAAUAGCUCUUUCCACAGCCCGAAAUGAGCCUCAACACCCAAAAAUAGCUCGUAGAGGGCUACGAAGCCCGCGAUAUGCAAUACGGAGGCAGGUGUAAGAUUGUGUAGCUGGAGGCCAUAGAACUCCAGGAGGCCCCGGAGAAACGGAUGGAUUGGAAAUCCGAGCCCUCUUAUUAAAUAAGGGACAAGGCAUAGCCGCUCUCCUUUGGAGGGAUUAGGGGCACUCUCCGCUUGCUCUCCGCCAUUAUAGAUGGCAAGACUGGCUCAAACCGGGACCAUAUAGGCCGGGGGGAGAAAUCCCUUGGUCUGGAGCGUCACUAGCUUGCUAUGCAGGAUGGAGCAUCUCUCCCAAAAUCCAGGCUUAGGGAUGGAAGGGCGAAGGGAGGAAUUGCGACGGCUGGCCAUGGUGGAAUGGACCUUUGUCGGAUGCGCUCUGAUGAACACUCGCGAAGGGGAGAAGGUGUGGUAUGGAUCUAAAUCCUCGUCCCCUUAAAUGGGCGGCUCAUUUACGCGGCUAGGGGUGUGGAUGUAAAAACACUCAGACUUUUCAUAUUCGUUUGACACGUGGGAGACGGCCAUUAUUGGGUGUGGAAGCCGAGGAGCGCAACAUUUACAAGAAACCGGACUUUAUUCGACAGGUACACGGAAUUUGAAGAAGAACCCGCCUUGCAAUGCCGAAGACAAUCUGCGCGCUGGACUUAUCAUCAUUGAAGCCUGGUUCGGGGGCUACUAAGGGAGUCCUGGGUUAGGGGGUGUCCGGAUGGCCGGACUAUACCUUCAGCCGGACUCCUGGACUAUGAAGAUACAAGAUUGAAGACUUUGUCCUGUGUCCGGAAGGGACUUUUCUUGGCGUGGAAUGCAAGCUUGGCGAUACGGAUAUGUAGAUCUCCUACCAUUGUAACCGACUUUAUGUAACCCUAACCCUAUCCGGUGUCUAUAUAAGCUGGAGGGUUUUAGUCCGUAGGCCAACAUACAGAACAACAAUCAUACCAUAGGCUAGUUUCUAGGGUUUAGCCUCUCCGAUCUCGUGGUAGAUCUACUCUUGUACUACCCAUAUCAUCAAUAUUAAUCAAGCAGGACGUAGGGUUUUACCUCCAUCAAGAGGGCCCGAACCUGGGUAAAACUUCGUGUCCCUUGCCUCAUGUUACCAUCCGGCCUACAUGCACAGUUCGGGACCCCCUACCCGAGAUCCGCCGGUUUUGACACCGACAGUUAGGGUUACACAAGGUCAGUUACAAAGGAGGAGAUAUCCAUAUCCGUACUGCCUAGAUUGCCUUCCACGCCAAGUAGAGUCCCAUUCGGACACGAGGCGAAGUCUUCAAUCUUGUAUCUUCAUAGUCCAACUGUCCGGCCAAAGGAUAUAGUCCGGCCGUCCGGAGACCUGUAAUCCCAGACUCCCUCAGAGAGUUUCGUCAGCAAACAGCAUGGUGACGGUGAUGGUGAUGUGAUCCGCGCAGGGCUUCGCCUAAGCACUAUGACAGUAUGACCGGGGGAGUAAACUGUGGAGGAGGGCACCGCACACGGCUAAGAGAAUAACUGUUGUGCUAUGGGUGCCCCCCGCCCCCGUAUAUAAAGGAGGAGGGGAGGAGGCCGGCCACAAGGGGCGCGCCAUAGGGGGAAACCGACUAGGACUCCCGAUCCUAGUCGGCCCCCCUUUCCUUUCUAUCAGAGGGGAAAAGGGAAGGAGAGGGAAAGAGGAAAGGGGGCCGCGCCCCUUGUCCAAUUCAGACUCCCUUGGGGGGGGGGGCGCCACCCCUUGCGGGCUCCCCUCUUUCUCCCGUGUGGCCCAUGAAGGCCAAUUACUUCCCCGGGGGGUUCCGGUAACCCCUUAGUUCUCUAAUAAAUAUCUGAAAUGUCCUGAAACCAUUCCGGUGUCUGAAUACCUUCGUCCAAUAUAUCAAUCUUUACCUCUCGACCAUUUCGAGACUCCUCGUCAUGUCUGUGAUCUCAUCCGGGACUCCGAACUAUCUUCGGUCACCAAGACACAUAACUCAUAAUACAAAUUGCCAUCAAACGUUAAGCGUGCAGAUCCUACAGGUUCGAGAACUAUGUAGACAUGACCAAGACACAUCUCCGAUCAGUAACCAACAGCGGAACCCGGAUGCUCAUAUUGGUUCCUACAUAUUAUACGAAGAUCUUUAUCGGUCAAACCCCAAUGACAACAUAUGUCAUUCCCUUUGUCAUCGGUAUGUUACUUGCCUGAGAUUUGAUCGUCGGUAUCAUCAUACCUAGUUCAAUCUCGUUACCGACAAGUCUCUUUACUCGUUCCAUAACGCAUCGUCCCGCAACUAACUCAUUAGUCACAUUGCUUUCAAGGCUUAUAGUGAUGUGCAUUACCGAGAGGGCCUAGAGAUACCUCUCCAAUACUCGGAGUGACAAUUCCUAAUCUCGAUCUAUGCCAACCCAACAAACACCUUCAGAGACACCUGUAGAGCAUCUUUAUAAUCACCCAGUUACGCUGUGAUGUUUGAUAGCACACAAGGUGUUCCUCUGGUAUUCGGGAGUUGCAUAAUCUCAUAGUCAGAGGAAUAUGUAUAAGUCAUGAAGAAAGCAAUACCAAUAAAACUUAACGAUCAUUAUGCUAAGAUAACGGAUGGGUCUUAUCCAUCACAUCAUUCUCCUAAUGAUGUGAUCUCGUUCAUCAAAUGACAACACAUGUCUAUGGUCAAGAAACUUAACCAUCUUUGAUUAACGAGCUAGUCAAGUAGAGGCAUACUAGUGACACUAUGUUUUGUCUAUGUAUUCACACAUGUAUCAAGUUUCCGGUUAAACAAUUCUAGCAUGAAUAAUAAACAUUUAUCAUGAUAUAAGGAAAUAUAAAUAACAACUUAUUGCCUCUAGGGCAUAUUUCUUUCAGUCUCCCACUUGCACUAGAGUCAAUAAUCUAGAUUACAUUGUAAUGAUUCUAACACCCAUGGAGUCUUGGUGUUGAUCAUGUUUUGCUCGUGGAAGAGGCUUAGUCAACGGGUCUGGAACAUUCAGAUCCGUGUGUAUUUUGCAAAUCUCUAUGUCUCCCUCCUUGACUUGAUCGCGGAUGGAGUUGAAGAAUCACUUGAUGUGUUUGGUUCUCUUGUGAAAUCUUGAUUCCUUCGCUAAGGCAAUUGCUCCAGUAUUGUCACACAAAAAAUUCAUUGGACCCGAUGCACUAGGCAUUACACCUAGAUCAGAUAUGAACUCCUUCAUCUAGACUCCUUCAUUUGCUGCUUCCGAAGCAGCUAUGUACUCCGCUUCACACGUAGAUCCCGCCACGACGCUCUGCUUGGAACUGCACCAACUGACAGCUCCACCAUUCAAUAUAAAUACAUAUCUGGUUUGUGAGUUAGAGUCAUCUGGAUCAGGGUCAAAGCUAGCAUCGACGUAACCAUUUACGACAAGCUCUUUGUCACCUUGAUAACCCACAAGUAUAGGGGAUCGCAACAGUUUUCGAGGGUAGAGUAUUGAACCCAAAUUUAUUGAUUCGACACAAGGGGAGCCAAAGAAUAUUCUCAAGUAUUAACAGUUGAGUUGUCAAUUCAACCGCACCUGAAAGACUUAAUAUCUGCAGCAAAGUAUUUAGUAGCAAAGUAAUAUGGAAGUAAUGGUAACGGUUGAGGGAGUCCUGGACUAAGGGGUCCUCGGGCGUCCAGCCUGUUGGACAUGGGCCGGACUAAUGGGCUGUGAAGAUACAAGACCGAAGACUCUCUCCCGUGUCCGGAUGGGACUCUCCUUGACGUGGAAGGCAAGCCUGGCGAUCAAAUAUGAAGAUUCCUUUCUCUGUAACCGACCUUGUACAACCCUAGUCCCCUCCGGUGUCUAUAUAAACCGGAGGGCUUAGUCUGGAUCGAGAGAUAGAUAAUCGUAGUCAGACAGGCUAGACUUUUAGGGUUUAGCCAUUACGAUCUCGUGGUAGAUCAACUCUUGUAAUACUCAUAUUCAUCAAGAUCAAUCAAGCAGGAAGUAGGGUAUUACCUCCAUAGAGAGGGCCCGAACCUGGGUAAACAUUGUGUCCCCUGUCUCCUAUUACCAUCGACCUUAGACGCGCAGUUCGGGACCCCCUACCCGAGAUCCGCCAGUUUUGACACCGACAUUGGUGCUUUCAUUGGGAGUUCCACUAUGCCGUCCUCAAAAGGUUUGAUGGAUCCUUCAAUCAUCUACAACAACGCUGUCCAAGGGGAAGUCUUCCUCCCUGGACAGAUCUUCAUGUUCGGUGGCUUCGCAAUGCGGGCCAACUCGCUUGGCCAUUUGGAGCAGAUCGACAGCUACGCCCCUGGCCGUUAGGUCAGAUUCGAGAGCUUGAACUACGUCACGGAUAUCAAUGAAGACUUGAUCUUUGACGGAUUCGAGACCACGGAAGUCGCUCCCCGUCACCUCGAUGAACAUGACUUAGAUCUGUCAUCGGGCCAUACCCAGGAAAUUGCACCUAUAACCGCUCUGGCCUUAGAUCUGGAGCAGGUCACGCCAUCCAAGGACAGGGAGCUCAACCCCGCUAUGGAGGCCGCAGACCCUACGGCAUUGCAGCCACACAUAGACCUAACCUCUGGUAAUGCCUGUGUCACCGGAACCUCGGACUUGUUUCCGGCUGUAAGUUCCAAACUACGUGCGUCCGCGCAUGUCGAGCAUGAUCGUUCAUCGAUCGCCGAAUUCAGCGCCACGGAUAUCUUCCGGCACUCGCCUUUGGGAGAUGUGCUGAACUCAUUAAAAAAUCUAUCCUUAGCGGGGGAUUCACAGCCGAACUGUAUCCGGUUCAAACUAGAAGCUGAUGACGGGGAAUUUCGCUUCCCACCCGCCACCCACUUUAUAGCCACUAUUGAAGACUUAACCGAUAUGCUCAAUUACGGCUCCGAAGACAUCGUCGGUAUGGACGACGAUGCAGAUGAGGAGCACGGCCAAAACCCGCCGUUCAUCGGAUGCUGGAUGGCCACUUAUUCGUACCACGUGUACAUGGUGGAUACACCUAAAGAAUGUAACAACGAUGACAAAGAAGAUCCAGUCGAGGAUAAACCUCCUGGGACACAGCCCAAGCGCCGACGUCAGCGGCGCCGCUCUAAGUCACGUCGUGCAAAAGAUAGCAAUGAAGGAAAUAUGCCCAAGAGGCAAUAAUAAAGUAAUUAUUUAUUUCCUUAUAUGAUGAUAAAUGUUUAUUAUUCAUGCUAGAAUUGUAUUAACCGGAGACAUAAUACAUGUGUGAAUACAUAGACAAAUAGAGUGUCACUAGUAUGCCUCUACUUGACUAGCUCGUUGAUCAAAUAUGGUUAUGUUUCCUAGCCAUAGACAUGAGUUGUCAUUUGAUUAAUGGGAUCACAUCAUUAGGAGAAUGAUUUGAUUGACUUGACCCAUUCCGUUAGCUUAGCACUUGAUCGUUUAGUUUGUUGCUAUUGCUUUCUUCAUAACUUAUACAUGUUCCUAUGACUAUGAGAUUAUGCAACUCCCGUUUACCGGAGGAACACUUUGUGUGCUACCAAACGUCACAACGUAACUGGGUGAUUAUAAAGGUGCUCUACAGGUGUCUCCGAAGGUACUUGUUGGGUUGGCGUAUUUCGAGAUUAGGAUUUGUCACUCCAAUUGUCGGAGAGGUAUCUCUGGGCCCUCUCGGUAAUGCACAUCACUCAAGCCUUGCAAGCAUUGCAACUAAUAAGUUAGUUGUGGGAUGAUGUAUUAUGGAACGAGUAAAGAGACUUGUCGGUAACGAGAUUGAACUAGGUAUUGAGAUACCGACAAUUGAAUCUCGGGCAAGUAACAUACCGAUGACAAAGGGAACAACGUAUGUUGUUAUGCGGUCUGACCGAUAAAGAUCUUCGUAGAAUAUGUAGGAUCCAAUAUGAGCAUCCAGGUUCCGCCAUUGGUUAUUGACCGGAGACGUGUCUCGGUCAUGUCUACAUAGUUCUCGAACCCGUAGGGUCCACACGCUUAAAGUUCGGUGACGAUCGUAAUUAGGGUUUUUGUGUUUUGAUGUACCGAAGGUUGUUCGGAGUCCCGGAUAUGAUCACGGACAUGACAAGGAGUCUCUAAAUGGUCGAGACAUAAAGAUUGAUAUAUUGGAAGCCUAUAUUUGGAUAUCGGAAUCGUUUCGGGUGAAAUCGGGAUUUUACUGGAGUACCGGGGGGUUACCGGAACCCCCCGGGGGUUAGUGGGCCUACAUGGGCCCUAAGGGAGAAGAGGAGGGCUGGCCAGGGCAGGCUGUGCGCCCCCUCCUCCCUAGUCCGAAUAGGACAAGGAAGGAGGGGGGGGGGGCGCCCCCCUUUCCCAUUUCCCCCUUCCCCUUUCCUUCUCCAACAAGGCAAGAGGGGGAGUCCUAGUCCCGGUGGGAGUAGGACUCCUCCAGGAGCACCCCUAGGGGCCGACCGCACCUCCCCUGUCAGUGUCAAAACCAGCGGAUCUCGGGUAGGGGGUCCCGAACUGUGCAUCUAGGCCGGAUGGUAACAGGAGACAAGGGACACGAAGUUUUACCCAGGUUCGGGCCCUCUUGAUGGAGGUAAAACCCUACGUCCUGCUUGAUUAAUAUUGAUGAUAUGGGUGUUACAAGAGUAGAUCUACCACGAGAUCAGAGAGGCUAAACCCUAGAAGCUAGCCUACGGUAUGAUUGCAUGUUGUGAUUGUUGUCCUACGGACUAAAACCCUUCGGUUUAUAUAGACACCGGAGAGGGUUAGGGUUACACAAGGUCAGUUACAAAGGAGGAGAUAUCCAUAUACGUAUUGCCUAGCUUGCCUUCCACACCAAGUAGAGUCCCAUCCGGAUACGAGACGAAGUCUUCAAUCUUGUAUCUUCAUAGUCUAACAGUCCGGCCAAUGGAGAUAGUCCGGCUAUCCGGAGACCCCCUAAUCCAGGACUCCCACAGUAGCCCCUGAACCAGACUUCAAUGACAAUGAGUCAAGCGCGCAGUAUUGUCUUCGGCAUUGCAAGGCGGGUUCCUUCUCCGAAUACAUGACAGAAGAAGUUGAAUACGAGGAUAGUGUCCGACCCUGCACAAUAAAUUCCACAUUCCACCGCAGAGAGAAUAACAUUUUCGCAGAUCUUAUUUGCUGGCUUGUUUUGGCAACAUGACGUUAUGUCAUGUCCCGGUGAUUAUUCGAACCGUUUCUUUUAACCAGCCCCACACAUAAUGUGAGGCAGUUUCUCGACACGUCUUGUCAAAGCAGAGAUCGUGUCCCCUUAUUACGGGAUUCUCAUCAAUAUGGGCGUGGGUAACCCAACCGCGCCAUCAAUUGCGACACUUGGGGGAUAAGCGAGUUUUACCAGGCAAGUGGGGACGUUUAAUUUUGUCCGCCCAUAUAAAGGGAUAAGGAUUCACCUUUCUAUCCACGCCUUCCUCCUCCUCUGCUCAUCUGCUCCCGCACACUCGAGCUCUAGCGCCCAAGCUCUCACUUCCAUCUCAACCUUCUCCGACCAUGUCCGGAGCGAGAGGAGCACCGCACUAUUAUGAGUGCGGUGAUCCAGAAGGUGUUGGGGAACUUUGCAGAAAACAAAAAUUUUCCUACGGUUUCACCAAGAUCCAUAUAGGAGUUCAUCUAGCAACGAGUGAUCGGAUUGCAUCUACAUACCUUUAUAGAUCACGCGCAGAAGCGUUCAAAGAACGGGGAUGAGGAAGUCGUACUCGACGUGAUCCAAAUCACCGGAGAUCCUAGCGCCGAAUGGACGGCACCUCCGCGUUCAACACACGUACGGUCAGCAUGACGUCUCCUCCUUCUUGAUCCAGCAAGGGGGAAGGAGAGGUUGAGGAUGAUGGCUCCAGUACCAGCACGACGGCGUGGUGGUGGUGGAGCUGCAGUACUCCAGUAGGGCUUCGCCAAGCUCUAUGGAGGAGGAGGUGUUGGAGAGGGAGAGGGAGGAACCAAAGGCGUAGGUGAGAGGCCCUCCCCCCACUAUAUAUAGGGGGCCUAGGGGGGGCACCGGCCCUAGGAGAUGCAAUCUCCUAGGGGGGCGGCGGCCAAGGGGUGGGGGGCUUGCCCCCCAAGCAAGGGGGUGCCCCCCCUUUAGGGUUUCCCCUACCCUAGGCGCAUGGGCCCUAGGGGGAAGUGGCGCCCCAGCCCACUUUGGGCUGGAUCCCUUCCCACUUCAGCCCAUGGGGCCCUCCGGGAUAGGUGGCCCCACCCGGUGGACCCCUGGGACCCUUCCGGUGGUCCCGGUACAAUACCGGUGACCCCGAAACUUGUCCCGAUGGCCGAAAUAGCACUUCCUAUAUAUAAUUCUUUACCUCCGGACCAUGCCGGAACUCCUCGUGACGUCCAGGAUCUCAUCCGGGACUCCGAACAACUUUCGGGUUACUGCAUAUACAUAUCCCUACAACCCUAGCGUCAUCGAACCUUAAGUGUGUAGACCCUACGGGUUCGGGAGACAUGUAGACAUGACCGAGAUUGCUCUCCGGUCAAUAACCAACAACGGGAUCUGGAUACCCAUGUUGGCUCCCACAUGCUCCUCGAUGAUCUCAUCGGAUGAACCACGAUGUCGAGGAUUCAAGCAACCCCGUAUACAAUUCCCUUUGUCAAUCGGUACGUUACUUGCCCGAGAUUCGAUCAUCGGUAUCCCAAUACCUCAUUCAAUCUCGUUACCGGUAGGGAUGAAAAUGGAGUGGAAAGUUUCCGAUUUUCCAGAGGAAAAAUGGAAACAGAGAGGAAAUAUGAAAACGGAAACAGAAAUUUGCAAAAUGGAAAUGGAAGUGGAAUUUUUUAUGCGGAAACGGAAACAAAAACGGAACGGUGUUUUCCGGUGGAACAGACGCGGAAACAGAACUUUCCGUUUCCGUGAAUAUGAAAUUUCCGUUUCUACUAUAGGCCCAUGGCUGCUUUGUAGCCCAAUUACUAAACAACAGACAAUGACACAAUGAGCAGACUGGAUCAUUUGAGGACCAACUUUUACUUCCACACACAUUCUCAACUAGACACAAUACGGAAUUGUCAUGUACUAUUACAAUACUACCCUAUGUUACCAACACAACCAUAUUAUCAUGUAGCCAUGUUAACAAUUUCUUAAAUUUCUUUGUUUUUGUGUGUAUUUCUCUAUGAUUCAAGGGGGUUUUAAGUUCUAGUCAACACACCGUUCUGUUUUCAUGUCCGCUCUGUAUUCGCUCCGUGUCUGUUUCCGGUAGUAUUUGUUUCCGUAUUCAUUUCCGGGGUUUCCGUAUUCAUUUGCACUUCUGCAAAAAAAUAUGAAAACAAAUAUGGUAGCACCCAGUUCCGUCCGUUUCUGCUUCGUUCUCAUCCCUAGUUACCGGCAAGUCACUUUACUCGUACCGUAAUGCAUGAUCCCGUGACCAGACACUUGGUCACUUUGAGCUCAUUGCGAUGAUGCAUUACCGAGUGGGCCCAGAGAUACCUCUCCGUCAUACAGAGUGACAAAUCCCAGUCUUGAUCCGUGUCAACCCAACAGACACUUUCGGAGAUACCCGUAGUAUACCUUUAUAGUCACCCAGUUACGUUGUGACGUUUGGUACACCCAAAGCACUCCUACGGUAUUCGGGAGUUACACAAUCUCAUGGUCUAAGGAAAAGAUACUUAACAUUGGAAAACUCUAGCAAACGAACUAUACGAUCUUGUGCUAUGUUUAGGAUUGGGUCUUGUCCAUCACAUCAUUCUCCUAAUGAUGUGAUCUCAUUAUCAAUGACAUCCAAUGUCCAUAGUCAGGAAACCAUGACUAUCUGUUGAUCAACGAGCUAGUCAACUAGAGGCUUACUAGGGACAUGUUGGUGUCUAAGUAUUCACACAUGUAUUACGAUUUCUGGAUAACACAAUUAUAGCAUGAAUAAAAGACAAUUAUCAUGAACAAGGAAAUAUAAUAAUAAUCCUUUUAUUAUUGCCUCUAGGGCAUAUUUCCAACAGAAGGUUCAGUCCGCCAAGAGCGGAUUGACUGAAGCCUGUACUAGCCUUCUAACAGGCUUCGAGGUAAGUGUUUUUAAAAUGUAGUAGAAAUAUUACCGCAUAGACAGUAGCCCCUGAUGCUUUGUUCGGUGUUCACAAAGAAAAGCCGAACAGAGGAUCAAAUAAUAUCGCAGGAGUCUAAUAUAAGUAUGUCAAUAUGCAUAUGCAGGCUUCGCUGCUGGCGUCCGCCGCACUAAUUGCGGAGGUCGCCGUACUGAAGGAGGCCCUCGAGGGGUCCUAGAAAGAGAUCGGCCUUGCUAAGAGGCAGCUCGAGGAGAACAAGGGUAAGUAAUACCCCGUCUGUAGAUGAGAAAAAGGACGCAAUUGCUAAAUGACAGGAUCAUUGUAUGUUUGCCAGGGGCCACGACCGAGGUGGCGACCCUAAAGCAAGCACUGUCCCAGUCCGAAGAAAAGGCGGCACAGGAGCGCACCGAGCGAGAGAGGCACGAGGCUCGGGUGGGCGAGGUGCAACAAGAGCUCCAGGCUCUCGUGACAAAGCACGAGGGGUUGGAGCUUGACUUGAAGACGAGAGAGUCUGAGCUUUCCGCGACCCGUGAGAGCGCAAAGAGUGCCAAGGCCGAGGCCCAGAAGGCCCUUCAGGAGAUCAACACGAUGAAGAAGAUAGCGGCGGGUAAGGCUUUCUAUAUGCAAAGCAAGCAUGUAAAGGUGAAUUACCGAUUACUUACCCAAAUCCGGAGCUCUUCAGGAGCAUUCGCAGAUUUGCCCCGCAGUGUGUCCGAUGCCGCACUAUUCUACCAGGCCAAGGACAGAAGCUCGAUGGAGAAGCUGUUCUGUUCUCAGUAUGCUAAGGCCGAACAUCCGGUGCCAAUGAGCGACCAGCUGAAGCAGAUGGCCGAGCUACAUAAGGCGGCCGAUCAGGCCAUGAAGGGCUUCAUAGUCCGGUUGUGGCCUGGCGAUGCCCUUCCAAACAGCUUCUUUGGCCUGGUGAGGCGGCUUGUGGAUGCCUGCCCAUGGUUGGAGGUCGUCAAGCGAUCCGUCUGCAUUGAAGGUGCACGCCGGGCCUUCGCCCGUGUAAAAACAUAGUGGGUCAAGCUAGACGCCGUGAAGCUGAUCAAGGGGGGGCCGCCGGAGGGGAAGGAGCACCGCCACCCCGAGAUGUACUACGAGGGUGUUCUGCCAGGCGCCCGUCUUAUCGCGGAUGAGUGUUCGAAAAAUGUGAUAUUUGAAUGAGACUUGCUCGUUUUGUCUUGUAUGUAUGAAAACUUUUAUCGUAUUCGCUAUGCAACGCUUGUGUGAAUUUAAAAUAUUACCUUCUGUUUGGCAGUUUAUCAAAUCUGAGAGAUGGCUAGUCCUCGGCUUCUGCCCCCAUGCCACAAGUGCUAGGGUGUUCGGGAUAAACCUGAGCACUCUUGUUCCCAUGUUUGGGUCCUUCGAGGGAGGUGCUCAGCACAACGAACAAGGCAACCGGACUAAUAAUGCUUUAUCACUCUCACUUAGCCAUAGAAUUCUAUAAUUUUAAAUUUUGGCGAAGCCCCUAGUAUUCGGAAGGCCGAAUUCGGGGCACGAUACACGCCUGUAAGACGGACGGAGCCGGCCCCUCGCCCUAAGCGGCAUAAGUCUUUAGGGACUCAAAAAACCUCGCCGAACAGCGACCAGUCUCUCGCCUUAUCAUGACAGUCAGUUUUAGCUUUCUCUACUGAGGUGCUCGGCCCGGCAUAACCGGGGCACAAUCGCAGUAGUUCUCCUAGCGCUACCUUAGCCGAUAGAGCGGAACGUAAGGUACCAAAACAUAGGAGCCGGACAAACCCAACAUUUGACCAAAGACAUGAUUUGGAGCUGAUGCAUAUAAUGCUAUAAGUUUGGGGUGCCGCACUUGUGAAAGUGUUCAGACUUUUCACACCAUAUUGUGGGUACGUAAGCCCCUGGUGCAUUGGCCGUACCAGAGUGUACGGUUGCUAGGCGUCAUUAAUGAACACAUAGAUAUGUAUAUAUAUAUAUAACAAAAAUGCGAUAAUAGUCGUAAUGUCAUGUAUUGUAUAUGAAAAAAUUGCAUUAGAGUAGAGUGAUACAGAUAGUGUAAUAAGCAAAAGAGUAGGACUACGUCCCUUCCAAGGGCGAGCUGAGGAAUUAUAUGAAAUCUGUAAACCACCUGGGAAUUCCGUAGUUGUCGGCCUCCUUGGUUGCUGUAUCAUGUGUUCGGCAAUAGAGCUGCCGGACAGUGUUUCCAGAGAUUGAAGUCCUGAAAGAAAAAGAAAAAUAACCAAAUGGGAAGCCCCUGGUGCGGUUUAGGCCGCGUUUUGGGGCGUGCCGUAGUUGUGCCCCCCUUCCCCACCUGUGCCCAUGGUAUUUUUAAUGUGUAAUUAUGUACGCGCGGCACGAACGACGCCGUUCGGCUGGGAUUGGGGUGGCCGCCGUAUUGCUACGCGAGCUCGGAUCGCGCCAGGCGGUCUGUUUACCGAUUGCCUCGAGCGCGCUUGAAGGUGUCUGGGCUUUGAAAUGCCGAACUGGUAGAUUGCCUUGAGAGGCUGCUUUGCACUUCUGCUGCGAGGGCCGCGGUGUGCUCCUCUGUUCGGAGAGAGUGCUCUGUGUUUCCAUUGACUAUAAUAACUCCGCGAGGUCCUAGCAUCUUGAGCUUGAGGUAUGCAUAAUGUGCUACCGCAUUGAAUCUAGCAAAUGCGGUUCAUCCGAGCAGCGCGUGAUAACCACUGCGGAACGGGACUAUAUCGAAGAUUAACUCUUUGCUUCGGAAGUUAUCCGGGGAUCCGAAGACCACUUCCAGUGUAAUUGAGCCUGUGCAAUGGGCCUCUACGCCUGGAAUGACGCCCUUAAAGGUCGUCUUUGUGGGUUUGAUCCUUGAGGGGUCUAUACCCAUUUUGCGCACUGUGUCCUGAUAAAGCAGGUUCAGGCUGCUGCCGCCGUCCAUAAGGACUCGAGUGAGGUGAAAUCCGUCGAUGAUUGGGUCUAGGACCAGUGCGGCGAAUCCACCGUGAUGGAUACUAGUGGGGUGGUCCCUGCGAUCGAAGGUGAUCGGACAGGAGGACCAAGGGUUGAACUUUGGGGUGACUGGCUCCAACGCAUAUAUGUCCCUGAGCGAACGCUUCCGCUCCCUCUUGGGGAUGUGGGUUGCGUAUAUCAUGUUCACCGUCCGCACUUGUGGGGGAAACCUCUUCUGUCCUCCAGUGUGCGGCUGCUAGGGUUCUUCCUCGUCAUUGCUAUGUGGCUCCUUGUCCUUGUUUUCGGCAAUUAACUUGCCGGCCUGCUUGAACACCCAGCAAUCCUUGUUGGUGUGAUUGGCUGGCUUGUCUGGGGUGCCGUGUAUUUGACACAAGCGAUCGAGUAUACGGUCCAAGCUGGACGGACCUGGCAUACUUUGUUUGAAUGGCUUUUUCCGCUGACCGGGUUUAGAGCCUUUGAAUCCGGCAUUGACUGCCAUAUCCACAGUACUUUUGCCGUUAAUGCGACGCUUAUGCUUGUUGCGACGUGACCUGCUAUUGCCGUCCUUGGUAUCUGAGGUACCAUGGUUCUUUGAUAUGUUAUUACUGCGAGGCAACCAGCUGUCUUCUCCCGCACAAAAGCGGGUCAUGAGCGUCGUGAGGGCUGCCAUAGAUUUCAGCUUUUCCUGACCGAGGUGUCGGGCUAGCCACUUGUCUCGGAUGUUGUGCUUGAAAGCCGCUAAGGCCUCCGCAUCCGGACAGUCGACGAUUUGAUUUUUCUUUGUAAGGAACCGAGUCCAGAAUUGCCUGGCCGACUCUUCUAGCUGCUGAAUUAUGUGGCUCAAGUCAUCGGCGUCUGAUGGUCGCACAUAAGUGCCCUGAAAGUUGUCGAGGAAUGCGCUUCCAGAUCUUCCCAACAACUAAUGGAGUCUGCUGGCAAGCUAUUAAGCCAAUGCCGCGCUGGUCCUUUGAGUUUUAGUGGGAGGUAUUUGAUGGCAUGUAAGUCAUCACCGCGGGCCAUGUGGAUGUGGAGGAGGAAGUCCUCAAUCCAUACUGCGGGAUCUGUUGUGCUGUCGUAUGAUUCAAUGUUUACAGGUUUGAAACCUUCUGGGAAUUGAUGUUCCAUUACUUCGUCUGUGAAGCAUAAGGGGUGUGCGGUGCCUCUAUAUUGGGCUAUAUCGCGACGCAGCUCAGAGGGGUCCUGCCCACUGUGUUCAGCCCGGCCGGAUUUGCUUUUACUGUAUCCGGCGUGACGUUUAUCGUCUCGUAGAGUGGUGCACCCUCGUGAUCUGUAGAUCAAUCUUGAAUGCUUUGCUUUGUCCUCCAAUAUGUCUCGCAGGUCUGGCGUAUCUCCCCAUGCCUUUUUAUUUGAAUGGCGUUGGGGUGGAGGCUGAGCUUUUGGCUGGAAUGCCUCUCUAUCGCGGCCACGGGGUGGCCGAUCAGCCGUUUCAUACGCUUCUUCCUCCAGUCGGGGAAGCAACCUACGCCUUGGAUAACUCUUGGAGGGACGCUCGAGUUUAUAUUGCUCGUCCACGAGGACUUCAGUCCAUUUGUCAGCUAGCAGAUCUUGGUCAGCUUGAAGCUGCUGCUGCUUUUUCUUCAGGCUAUUUGCUGUGGCCAUAAGCCUGCGCUUGAAGCGCUCUUGUUCGAUGGGAUCCUCUGGAACGGCGAAUUCAUAGUCGCCGAGGCUUGCCUCGUCUUCGGAGGGGGGCAUGUAAUUGUCAUCCUCCUCCUCUCCGCCAGGUGCUCUCUCAGGAGAGCUGGCUCCUUCAUCCUCCUGCUCUACAUCUUGCUGGAGGGGAUUGUUUUUGUCUUCGGCGCUAUCCGGAGUGUUAUUAUCUCCUGUGCCGGUAUCACCACUUUUGCUUUGGCGGGACUUAGAGCGGCGCCGCUGACAUCGGUGCUUGGGUUGCUUCAUGGAGGGGUCAUCCUCCGUUAUCUCGUCGCCGUUGCCUUCAUUGGGUGUAUCCACCAUGUAUAUGUCAUAUGAUGAGGUGGCUGUCCAGUGCCCUGUAGGUGCUGGUUCAUGUUCGUCUCCUACAUCGUCGUCCAUACCGUCGAUGUCUUCGGAGUCGAAGUCGAGCAUGUCGGUUAAGUCAUCGACAGUGGCUACAAAGUGGGUGGUGGGUGGGCGUCGAAUUUCUUCGUCGUCCGCAUCCCAAUCCUGUUGGCCAUAAUCCGGCCAGGGCUCUCCUGACAAAGAGAGAGACCUUAGUGAGUUCAGAAUGUCGCCGAAGGGCGAGUGCUGAAAGAUAUCCGCGGCGGUGAAUUCCAUGAUCGGUGCCCACUCGGAUUCGAUUGGCAGGGCCGUGGAUGGUUCGGGGUCCGGAAGAGAGUUCGGCACCUUGGAGUCAUGGGCUGUGCAGAGGAUUAUGCUGGUGUUCGGCUCGAUCGCCGUCGAGACUGCAGCCCCUGAGGCAGUGUCUAGCCACCCGUCCUCGAUUGGCGCAGUUGGCUCCAAGCUAAGGGUCGGAGCUAAUGCGGGCGCGGCCUCUGGAGUACCGUCCGGUGGCAGAGCUAGGUCAUACCCAUCGCGACCGUGCGGCGCGCCCGGCUGUGGCUCGAAUCCGUCGAAGAUCAAGUCCCCACGGAUAUUGGCCAUGUAAUUCAAACUUCCAAAUCUGACCUGAUGGCCAGGGGCGUAGCUUUCAAUCUGCUCCAGAUGGCCAAGCGAAUUAGCCCGCAGUGCAAAGCCGCCGAAUACGAAGAUUUGUUCGGGGAGAAAACUCUCACCCUGGACCGCAUCGCUAUCGAUGAUAGUAGGAGCCAUCAAUCCUAACGGCGACGACACAGAGGAACUCUCAAUGAAAGCACCAAUGUCGAUGUCAAAACCGGCGGAUCUCGGGUAGGGGGUCCCGAACUGUGCGUCUAGGCCGGAUGGUAACAUGAGACAAGGGACACGAAGUUUUACCCAGGUUCGGGCCCUCUUGAUGGAGGUAAAACCCUACGUCCUGCUUGAUUAAUAUUGAUGAUAUGGGUGUUACAAGAGUAGAUCUACCACGAGAUCAGAGAGGCUAAACCCUAGAAGCUAGCCUAUGGUAUGAUUGUAUGUUGUGAUUGUUGUCCUACGGACUAAAACCCUUCGGUUUAUAUAGACACUGGAGAGGGUUAGGGUUACACAAGGCCGGUUACAAAGGAGGAGAUAUCCAUAUACGUAUUGCCUAGCUUGCCUUCCACGCCAAGUAGAGUCCCAUCCGGAUACGAGACGAAGUCUUCAAUCUUGUAUCUUCAUAGUCUAACAGUCUGGCCAAUGGAGAUAGUCCGACUAUCCGGAGACCCCCUAAUCCAGGACUCCCACACCCCUCCCUCCUUUAUAUACGGGGGCAGGGGGGCACCCCAUGACACACAAGUUGAUCUUCGUGAUCGUUCCUUAGCCGUGUGCGGUGCCCCCUUCCACCAUAUUCCACCUCGGUCAUAUCGUAGCGGUGCUUAGGCGAAGCCCUGUGUUGGUAGAACAUCAUCACCGUCAUCACGCCAUCGUGCUGACGAAACUCUCCCUCAACACUCGGCUAGAUCAGAGCUUGAGGGACGUCGCCGAGUUGAAUAUGUGCAGAACUCGGAGGUGCCGUACGUUCGGUACUUGGAUCGGUCAGAUCGGGAAGACGUACGACUACUUCCUCUAUGUUGUGUCAACGCUUCCGUUGCCGGUCUACGAGGGUACGUAGACAACACUCUCCCCUCUCGUUGCUAUGCAUCACCAUGAUCAUGCGUGUGUGUAGGAUUUUUUUUGAAAUUACUACAUUCCCCAGCAGUGGCAUCAGAGCCAGGUUUUAUGCGUUGAUGUUAUGCACGAGUAGAAUACAAGUGAGUUGUGGGCGAUAUAAGUCAUACUGCUUACCAGCAUGUCAUACUUUGGUUCGGCGGUAUUGUUGGAUGAAGCGGCCCGGACCGACAUUACGCUUACGCUUACGCGAGACUGGUUCUACCGACGUGCUUUGCACACAGGUGGCUGGCGGGUGUUAGUUUCUCCAACUUUAGUUGAAUCGAGUGUGGCUACGCCCCAUCCUUGCGAAGGUUAAAACAACAGCAACAUGACAAACUAUCAUUGUGGUUUUGAUGCGUAGGUAAGAACGGUUCUUGCUAAGCCCGUAGCAGCCAUGUAAAACUUGCAACAACAAAGUAGAGUACGUCUAACUUGUUUUUGCAGGGCAUGUUGUGAUGUGAUAUGGUCAAGACAUGAUGCUAAAUUUUAUUGUAUGAGAUGAUCAUGUUUUGCAACCGAGUUAUCGGCAACUGGCAGGAGCCAUAUGGUUGUCUCUUUAUUGUAUGCAGUGCAAUCGCGCUGUAAUGCUUUACUUUAUCACUAAGCGGUAGGGAUAGUCGUGGAAGCAUAAGAUUGGCGAGACGACAACGAUGCUACGAUGGAGAUCAAGGUGUCGCGCUGGUGACGAUGGUGAUCAUGACGGUACUUUGGAGAUGGAGAUCACAAGUAUAAGAUGAUGAUGGCCAUAUCAUAUCAGUUAUAUUGAUUGCAUGUGAUGUUUAUCUUUUAUGCAUCUUAUCUUGCUUUGAUUGACGGUAGCAUUAUAAGAUGAUCUCUCACUAAAUUUCAAGAUAAAAGUGUUCUCCCUGAGUAUGCACCGUUGCCAAAGUUCGUCGUGCCCAGACACCACGUGAUGGUCGGGUGUGAUAAGCUCUACGUCCAUCUACAACGGGUGCAAGCCAGUUUUGCACACGCAGAAUACUCAGGUUAAACUUGACGAGGCUAGCAUAUGCAGAUAUGGCCUCGGAACACUGAGACCGAAAGGUCGAGCGUGAAUCAUAUAGUAGAUAUGAUCAACAUAUUGAUGUUCACCAUUGAAAGCUACUCCAUUUCACGUGAUGAUCAGUUAUGGUUUAGUUGAUUUGGAUCACGUGAUCACUUAGAAGAUUAGAGGGAUGUCUUUCUAAGUGGGAGUUCUUAAGUAAUAUGAUUAAUUGAACUUAAAUUUAUCAUGAACUUAGUACCUGAUAGUAUCUUGCUUGUCUAUGUUUGAUUGUAGAUAGAUGGCCCGUGCUGUUGUUCCAUUGAAUUUUAAUGCAUUCCUUGAGAAAGCAAAGUUGAAAGAUGAUGGUAGCAAUUACACGGCGGGGUCCGUAACUUGAGGAUUAUCCUCAUUGCUACACAGAAGAAUUACGUCCUGGAAGCACCGCUGGGUGCCAGACCUGCUGCUGGAGCAACACCAGAUGUUAUGAACGUCUGGCAGAGCAAAGCUGAUGACUACUCGAUAGUUCAGUGUGCCAUGCUUUACGGCUUAGAAUCGGGACUUCAACGAUGUUUUGAACGUCAUGGAGCAUAUGAGAUGUUCCAGGAGUUGAAGUUAAUAUUUCAAGCAAAUGCCCGGAUUGAGAGAUAUGAAAUCUCCAAUAAGUUCUAUAGCUGCAAGAUGGAGGAGAAUAGUUCUGUCAGUGAACAUAUACUCAAAAUGUCUGGGUAUCAUAAUCACUUGACUCAACUGGGAGUUAAUCUUCCUGUUGAUAGUGUCAUUGACAGAGUUCUUCAAUCACUGCCACCAAGCUACAAGAGCUUCGUGAUGAACUAUAACAUGCAAGGGAUGGAUAAGAUGAUUCCCGAGCUCUUCGCAAUGCUAAAGGCUGCAGAGGUAGAAAUCAAGAAGGAGCAUCAAGUGUUGAUGGUCAACAAGACCGCCAGUUUCAAGAAAAAAGGCAAAGGGAAGAAGAAGGGGAACUUCAAGAAGAACAACAAGCAAGUUGCUGCUCAGGAGAAGAAACCAAAAUCUGGACCUAAGCCUGAAACUGAGUGCUUCUACUGCAAGCAGACUAGACACUGGAAGCGGAACUGCCCCAUGUAUUUGGCAGAUAAGAAGGAUGGCAAGGUGAACAAAGGUAUAUGUGAUAUACAUGUUAUUGAUGUGUACCUUACUAGAGCUCGCAGUAGCACCUGGAUAUUUGAUACUGGUUCUGUUGCUAUUAUUUGCAACUUGAAACAGGGACUACGGAUUAAGCGAACACUGGCGAAGGACGAGGUGACGAUGCGCGUGGGAAAUGGUUCCAAAGUCGAUGUGAUUGCAGUCGGCACGCUACCUCUACAUCUACCUUCGGGAUUAGUAUUAGACCUAAAUAAUUGUUAUUUGGUGCCAACGUUGAGCAUGAAAAUUAUAUCUGGAUCUUGUUUGAUGCGAGACGGUUAUUCAUUUAAAUCAGAGAAUAAUGGUUGUUCUAUUUAUAUGAGUAAUAUCUUUUAUGGCCAUGCACCCUUGAAGAGUGGUCUAUUUUUGAUAAAUCUCGAUAGUAGUGAUACACAUAUUCAUCAUGUUGAAGCCAAAAGAUGCAGAGUUGAUAAUGAUAGUGCAACUUAUUUGUGGCACUGCCGUUUAGGUCAUAUCGGUGUAAAGCGCAUGAAGAAACUCCAUACUGAUGGACUUUUGGAAUCACUUGAUUAUGAAUCACUUGGUACUUGCGAACCGUGCCUCAUGGGCAAGAUGACUAAAACGCUGUUCUCCGGUACUAUGGAGAGAGCAACAGAUUUGUUGGAAAUCAUACAUGCAGAUGUAUGUGGUCCGAUGAAUAUUGAGGCUCAUGGCGGAUAUCGUUAUUUUCUCACCUUCACAGAUGAUUUAUGCAGAUAUGGGUAUAUCUACUUAAUGAAGCAUAAGUCUGAAACAUUUGAAAAGUUCAAAGAAUUUCAGAGUGAAGUUGAAAAUCAUCGUAACAAGAAAAUAAAGUUUCUACGAUCUGAUCGUGGAGGAGAAUAUUUGAGUUACGAGUUUGGUCUACAUUUGAAACAAUGCGGAAUAGUUUCGCAACUCAUGCCACCCGGAACACCACAGCGUAAUGGUGUGUCCGAACGUCGUAAUCGUACUUUACUAGAUAUGGUGCGAUCUAUGAUGUCUCUUACCAAUUUACCGCUAUCGUUUUGGGGUUAUGCUUUAGAGACGGCUGCAUUCACGUUAAAUAGGGCACCAUCGAAAUCCGUUGAGACGACGCCUUAUGAACUAUGGUUUGGCAAGAAACCAAAGUUGUCGUUUCUGAAAGUUUGGGGCUGCGAUGCUUAUGUGAAAAAGCUUCAACCUGAUAAGCUCGAACCCAAAUCGGAGAAAUGUGUCUUCAUAGGAUACCCAAAGGAGACUGUUGGGUACACCUUCUAUCACAUACCCGAAGGCAAGACAUUCGUUGCUAAGAAUGGAUCCUUUCUAGAGAAGGAGUUUCUCUCGAAAGAAGUGAGUGGGAGGAAAGUAGAACUUGAUGAGGUAACUAUACCUGCUCCCUUAUUGGAAAGUAGUACAUCACAAAAACCGGUUUCUGUGACACCUAUACCAAUUAGUGAGGAAGCCAAUGAUAAUGAUCAUGAAACUUCAGAUCAAGUUACUACCGAACCUCAUAGAUCAACCAGAGUAAGGUCCGCACCAGAGUGGUAUGGUAAUCCUGUUCUGGAAGUCAUGCUACUAGAUCAUGAUGAACCUACGAACUAUGAAGAAGCGAUGGUGAGCCCAGAUUCCACAAAAUGGCUAGAAGCCAUGAAAUCUGAGAUGGGAUCCAUGUAUGAGAACAAAGUGUGGACUUUGGUUGACUUGCCCAUUGAUCGGCAAGCAAUUGAGAAUAAAUGGAUCUUCAAGAAGAAGACUGACGUUGACGGUAAUGUUACUAUCUACAAAGCUCGACUUGUUGCAAAAGGUUUUCGACAAGUUCAAGGGAUUGACUACAAUGAGACCUUCUCACCCGUAGCGAUGCUUAAGUCUGUCCGAAUCAUGUUAGCAAUUGCCGCAUUUUAUGAUUAUGAAAUUUGGCAGAUGGAUGUCAAAACUGCAUUCCUGAAUGGAUUUCUGGAAGAAGAGUUGUAUAUGAUGCAAUCGGAAGGUUUUGUCAAUCCAAAGGGAGCUAACAAAGUGUGCAAGCUCCAGCGAUCCAUUUAUGGACUGGUGCAAGCCUCUCGGAGUUGGAAUAAACGCUUUGAUAGUGUGAUCAAAUAAUUUGGUUUUGUACAGACUUUUGGAGAAGCCUGUAUUUACAAGAAAGUGAGUGGGAGCUCUGUAGCAUUUCUGAUAUUAUAUGUGGAUGACAUAUUACUGAUUGGAAAUGAUAUAGAAUUUCUGGAUAGCAUAAAGGGAUACUUGAAUAAGAGUUUUUCAAUGAAAGACCUCGGGGAAGCUGCUUACAUAUUGGGCAUUAAGAUCUAUAGAGAUAGAUCAAGACACUUAAUUGGACUUUCACAAAGCACAUACCUUGACAAAGUUUUGAAGAAGUUCAAAAUGGAUCAAGCAAAGAAAGGUUUCUUGCCUGUGUUACAAGGUGUGAAGUUGAGUAAGACUCAAUGUCCGACCACCGCAGAAGAUAGAGAGAAAAUGAAAGAUGUUCCCUAUGCUUCAGCCAUAGGCUCUAUCAUGUAUGCAAUGCUGUGUACCAGACCUGAUGUGUGCCUUGCUAUAAGUCUAGCAGGGAGGUACCAAAGUAAUCCAGGAGUGGAUCACUGGAUAGCGGUCAAGAACAUACUGAAGUACCUGAAAAGGAAUAAGGAUAUGUUUCUCGUAUAUGGAGGUGACAAAGAGCUCAUCGUAAACGGUUACGUAGAUGCAAGCUUUGACACUGAUCCGGACGAUUCUAAAUCACAAACCGGAUACGUGUUUAUAUUGAACGGUGGAGCUGUCAGUUGGUGUAGUUCUAAACAAAGCGUCGUGGCGGGAUCUACAUGUGAAGCGGAGUAUAUAGCUGCUUCGGAAGCAGCAAAUGAAGGAGUCUGGAUGAAGGAGUUCAUAUCCGAUCUAGGUGUCAUACCUAGUGCAUCGGGUCCAAUGAAAAUCUUGUGUGACAAUACUGGUGCAAUUGCCAUGGCGAAGGAAUCCAUAUUUCACAAGAGAACCAAGCACAUCAAAAGACGCUUCAAUUCCAUUCGGGAUUUAGUCCAAGUGGGAGACAUAGAAAUUUGCAAGAUACAUACGGAUCUGAAUGUUGCAGACCCGCUGACUAAGCCUCUUCCACGAGCAAAACAUGAUCAGCACCAAGGCUCCAUGGGUGUUAGAAUCAUUACUGUGUAAUCUAGAUUAUUGACUCUAGUGCAAGUGGGAGACUGAAGGAAAUAUGCCCUAGAGGCAAUAAUAAAGUUAUUAUUUAUUUCCUUAUAUCAUGAUAAGUGUUUAUUAUUCAUGCUAGAAUUGUAUUAACCGGAAACAUAAUACAUGUGCGAAUACAUAGACAUACAGAGUGUCACUAGUAUGCCUCUACUUGACUAGCUCGUUGAUCAAAGAUGGUUAUGUUUCCCAGCCAUAGACAUGAGUUGUCAUCUGAUUAACGAGACCACAUCAUUAGGAGAAUGAUGUGGUUGACUUGACCCAUUUCAUUAGCUUAGCACUUGAUCGUUUAGUUUGUUGCUAUUGCUUUCUUCAUAACUUAUACAUGUUCCUAUGACUAUGAGAUUAUGCAACUCCCGUUUACCGGAGGAACACUUUGUGUGCUACCAAACGUCACAACGUAACUGUGUGAUUAUAAAGGUGCUCUACAGGUGUCUCCGAAGGUACUUGUUGGGUUGGCGUAUUUCGAGAUUAGGAUUUGUCACUCCGAUUGUCGGAGAGGUAUCUCUGGGCCCUCUCGGUAAUGCACUUCACCCAAGCCUUCCAAGCAUUGCAACUAAUAAGUUAGUUGCGGGAUGAUGUAUUACGAAACGAGUAAAGAGACUUGCCGGUAACGAGAUUGAAGUAGGUAUUGAGAUACUGACGAUCGAAUCUCGGGCAAGUAACAUACCGAUGACAAAGGGAACAAUGUAUGUUGUUAUGCGGUCUGACCGAUAAAGAUCUUCGUAGAAUAUGUAGGAGCUAAUAUGAGCAUCCAGGUUCCGCUAUUGGUUAUUGACCAGAGACGUGUCUCGGUCAUGUCUACAUAGUUCUCGAACCCGUAGGGUCUGCACGCUUAAAGUUCGGUGACGAUCGUAAUUAGGGUUUUUGUGUUUUGAUGUACCAAAGGUUGUUCGGAGUCCCGGAUAUGAUCACGGACAUGACGAGAAGUCUUGAAAUGGUCGAGACAUAAAGAUUUAUAUAUUGGAAACCUAUAUUUGGAUAUCGGAAUCGUUUCGGGUGAAAUCGGGAUUUUACCGGAGUACCGGGGAUUUCCGAAACCCCCUUGGGGGUUAAUGGGCCUACAUGGGCCCUAAGGGAGAAGAGGAGGGCCGGACAAAGCAGGCCGCGCGCCCCCUCCCCCCUAGUCCGAAUAGGACAAGGAAGGGGGGGACAGCGCCCCCCUUUCCUAUUUCCCCCUUCCCCUUUCCUUCAACAAAGCAAGAGGGGGAGUCCUACUCCCGAUGGGAGUAGGACUCCUCCAGGCGCACCCCUAGGGACCGGCCACACCUCCCCCUCCCUCCUUUAUAUAUGGGGGCAGGGGGUACCCCAUGACACACAAGUUGAUCUUCGUGAUCGUUCCUUAGCCGUGUGCGGUGCCCCCUUCCACCAUAUUCCACCUCGGUCAUAUCGUAGCGGUGCUUAGGCGAAGCCCUGAGAACAUCAUCACCGUCAUCACGCCGUCGUGCUGACGAAACUCUCCCUCAACACUCGGCUGGAUCGGAGCUCGAGGGACGUCACUGAGUUGAACGUGUGCAGAACUCGGAGGUGCCGUACGUUCGGUACCUGGAUUCGGUCGGAUUAGGAAGACAUACGACUAGUUCCUCUAUGUUGUGUCAAUGCUUCCGUUGCCGGUCUACGAGGGUACGUAGACAACACUCUCCCCUCUCGUUGCUAUGCAUCACCAUGAUCUUGCGUGUGCGUUGGAAUUUUUUUGAAAUUACUACGUUCCCCAACAAGCAAUACUGACACAAGAGAAGAUAAUACUCCGGACGGUGCCGAAGAUAAUGAAGACCCCAUUGAAGCAACUUCCGAACAAGAAGAACGGGAAGAUGGGCAAGUUAGCCCCGAUGAACAGGCCAUAAACGAAGACUCGGAGGACAGUAAUUAUCUUCCGCUCUCCGAGGAUGAGGUGAGCCUCGGCAACGAGGAUUUCAUUGUGCCUGAGGAACCUCUUGAGUAGGAGCGCUUUAAGCGUCAGCUAAUAGCCACUGCAAGGAUCCUGAAAAAGAAGCAGUAGCAGCUUCAAGCUGAUCAAGAUAUGCUAAAUCAUCGAUGGACUGAUGUCCUAGCAGCCGAAGAAUAUGGCCUUAAGCGCCCGGCCAAAAGUUACCCGAAGCGCAAAUUUCUACCUUAGUUUGAUGAUGAGGCGCUGGAGCCCAUACCAUCAUCACGCAAUGGGGCUAACCGACCACCACGUGGUUGGGAUAAAGCGGCAACUCAAGCCGAAUACCAGCCCGCCCUCCCUCAUUAUAAAGGCAAAGAUCAAACAGCUCGUGGUCACACAUAUGACCUUCGGCAGGACCUGAACAACAGAGCAGGACAUACCAGAUCAAUCUACGGAUUGCGAGGACGUGCCUCGACACAUGUCGACGGCUAUCUAUUCGGACGUGACAAACCUAGUCAUGCACAAGCCGAACGCCGCAGACGGACUCCAUCGGAGCUAUGUCGCAAUGCGACCCGAUAUAGAGGCGCCGCACACCCUCUUUGCUUCACUGACAAAGUAAUGGAUCACUGUCACAGCCCUAGAAUUUGCUUGCCAUUAGUUCCCUUAAAGCAUCCAUGCAUCAUGUUAAUUUUUCAAUUAAAGUUGAAAUGGGGAUGAAAAACCCUAGCACCAAAAUUAAAUCAAAUAGGUUCAACUUAAAAACAUUUUCAAGAACCCAGAAUGCUCUUUAGAAAAGUUCAUCAUUUUUGAAUUGGUCUAGAACCUCUGACAAAAAUGGUGCACACCUUUCUAGGUCAUUUUUGGAUUUUUGAAUUUAAUCAUAAGUACUUGCAUUUGGACAUUUAAAUCCUCUAAAUAAUUUUAAAUGUCCAAAUAAUCUUGAAAGUAUUUUAAGGUUGUUGGAAAUAAUCCAAACAUAUGCCACAAUCAUUUUCAAGAUUUUACAAAAUGAAUUAGUAUUUCUACUAAUUCAAAACAGACUAAAAGUAAUAGAAAAACUGAAACAGAAAUGGGAAAGAGAGAGAGAGAGAGAGAGAGAGAGAGUAAAUACCUGGCGCCUAACUUCAGCCCAGAGGCCCAACACUGUGCAGCCCAGCAGCAGCCCAGCCCACCACAGCCGCCACCGUCUUCAACCUCCUGCUAGUAGGCAGGAGGGCGUGUGCCCAACGCGCGUGCGCACGCGCCGGCCACCUCCUCCCUGCCUGGCUGCUCCCUCGCCGCCCUGGACGCCUCCUGCAUCGCCAUGCAACGCCUUUGGUCUUCUCUCACCCUCCCCGUGCUCCUCCUCCCCUCAGUCUCUCUCCCUUUCGCACGGUCCGAGCGCCACCGUCGCCGCUGACAAGCACCACCGCGGCCACCGCCUCCCCCUCGCUUCUCUGACCGGCCCAGAGGCUCCGCCUCGACCCCCUCUUUCUUCCACCCCGAGCCAUGCCACCGCGGGAGCCCCACAUCACCGCCACGAGUCAUCUUCCCCGAGCACGGCCGCCGGACUCCAUCGACGGAUUCGUCGCCUUUCGGUCGUCCCCGAGCCAGCUGAGCCUGUCGUCAGCCUCACCAUGAUCUCGCGGUCCUUUCCCCCUUAACCACGUCGUCGUUUUCGUCCCGUAGCCACUGCCCCGCGAGUAACCGGAGCCUCCGUCCGCCAAGGACGUUGAGCCACGUGCUCCCGAGCUUCGCUUGCUCACCCUAGUGGCACAGACGUGCUCCUGGUGACCCCAUGACACCGUCUAUGCCCUUGGUUGAGCUUCCCAUGCUCCACCACGCCGCGCCCGUGCAAACCCGUAGCUGCGCCGCCGCCAAAGCUCGUCGCCGGCGAGAUUCCGGCCGCCCUGCGACCCCCUGUCUGGCCUAUUCGAUGCACCCGAGAAAGGGCUUCUCCCCGACGCUUUCUGCACGACAAACUGCGGCCCCUAGCGCUUUCCCGACGCACGUCCACCGCGACAAAUGGUCGCCGGCGGCUGAACGCCGGCGGGCUGACGUGGCAACGUCGUUAACUGCUAAUGACGGGGCUAACUAACCCCCACUCUCACUGACUAUUGGGCCCCACGCCCUUAACUAACACCAGUUUAAUUUCUGUUUAGUUUUACUUAAUCACAGUGGCCCCAUGCGUUGGCAUUGACCUCGCUGACAUGGCCAUUGACUGGCCCCACCUGUCUGUGACCUAGGCAUCACUUGGUCACUUACCAGUGGACCCCACUGGUCAGGUUUGACCCGGACCAGCCCCUGUUGACCUGCUGAUGUCAGCAUGACCUGAUGCUGACGCAGUAAUACAUUUUCUAGAUUUAUUAAUAAUCAGGAAAUUCCAAAAGAAUGUUCAAAACUUCUAAAAAUCAUAGAAAAUCAUCUAUAACUCAGAUUAAAAAGAUAUAUAUAUAUAUAUAUGACAAAUGAUCAGAAAAAUCCAAAGAAUCUGAAUCUGGCAUUUUCAUGCAUGUUAGAACAACUUAAAGUUCCUGUUUAGGACAAUCCAAUUAAAUGGCAUUUAAGAAAUCACAUAUGGAGUUUGAAUUUGAACUUAGGGUUCAAACCAACUCCAUUUAACCUGUUGCUAGUUGCAUUAGCUAAAAACACAACAUAUUGACAUGUGAUGAUCAUGCAUCAUAUUAUGCACUGCAUUGAUUGUGUUCUUUCUGUGUUUGCUGGUGGUUGUCCCCUCUCGAUAGACGUGUUCCGACGAUGAGUUCGAUGACACCGAUGAAGAGCUAUACUAUCUUCAGAAGUGCCAGGCAAGAAAAAACCCCUUUGUUCAUUCCGAUACAAUCCCACUCUCUCGCUCCUGCUCUCUUUUACUGCAUUAGGACAACAACGAUUCAACUGUUACAUGCUGCGGUAGUUGAACCCCUUUCCUCUGCAUGACGUGUCAUUGCCACAGUAAAUAGAUGAAACCCACUAGCAUGAGUAGGAGUUGUUUGAGCCCUGAUGUGCCUACUCAUUCAUGCUUGUUUAUCAUGCCUGCUACUGCUUAGAGUUGAGUCGGGUCUGAUUCAUCGGGGAUGAAUUGGAAUGACGAUGAACAUGUCCUACUAUGUGUGAGCUAAGUGUGUGAACACGAUUUGGUAAAGGUAGCGGUGAGAGGACAUGUAGGAGUACAUGGUGGGUUGUCUCAUUGAAACCGUCCUCAGGAACUGAGUUAUGUGUUUGUGAUCCAUGAACAACUACUACCACUCAUUGGGAUCCUUAAUUGACCCUCUCGACUUAUUAACUGCCCUAGUCCUCUGUCCAGGAGUUGCAACUAGUUUCUGGUGCUUGUAGGAUAUGUGUUGGCGGCCGUGCAUAGCACUGAACCUAGGGGUAGGCUAUGAUGCGGUAGAUACACCGUGGCAUGGUGUAUCGGGCGCCCGUUUGGUGUCUCGGGAACCCUGCACACAUCGUUUGGGGCUGUGAGCGAAACUCCGGCCGGAUCUCCUCGUGGAUGGAACCCGAAUAGGCGAUAAACCUGGACUAGAGACUUGUGUGGUUAGUCAGGUCGUGGCCGACACCCUCGCCAGGCUUCCGCUUGAAGGUUGCCGAGAUACAUGACGUGUAUAUGGUGAUAAGUGGUGGGAGCGUGUGUGAAGAAGUACACCCCUACAGGGUUAUCAUUAUCUAUUCGAAUAGCCGGAUUCCUCGGAUAUGGAAACUUGGACCCCUUGCAUAGUUCAUAGACAAGUGAAAGUGGAUACUCUAAAAUGCGCAAGAUAAGCAUGAGUGCUAUGGAUGGCGUUCUCGUAGGGAGACAGGAGUGGAUCCAUAGUGGUGUAUUGAUAUGGUGAAUAUGUGGACUCGUGUGCGCCACCUCAAAGAGUUGCUUGCAGUCGUAGUUCAGGUUAGCCACCGAGUCAAAGCUGGCUUGCUGCAGUUAAACUCCACUACUUUGUUGAUACCGAUGCAUAUGUAGUUAGUUCUGAUGUAAGUCUUGCUGGGUACAUCUGUACUCAUGUUUGCUUAAUUUAUGUUUUGCAGAGAGACUUCAGUCUCGCUAGUAGUUCCAUGUGGACUUUGAUGUUUAGCUUGAUACCUCAGCUAUGAUCUCGUGCCCUCGGCAGGAUCUGGUAGAUAGUUAAGCUUCUAAACCUUUUUCAUUUGUAGAUGUCUGUACCCAGACAUGUUAAGCUUCCGCAUGUGCCUUGAUUUGUAUGCUCUGAAUGAUGGGUCAUGUGACCCAUGUUUGUAAUAUCUCGCUCCUCGGAGCCUAAUGAAUAAAUACUUGAGUCGUAGAGUUAUGUUGUGAUGCCAUGUUGUAUUUACCCAUAUCGAGCAUAUUGUGUGUAUGAUUGAAAUGCUUGGUAUGUGUGGGAUCCGACAAUCUAGUUGUUUAUCCUUGGCAGUCUCUCUUAUGGGGAAACAUAGUCUAGUGCUUCCAUGAGCCAUAGUAGUCCGCUACAGCCCGGUUCAUCGGAGUCCUGCUAGCCUAGCACUACUGCUCAGGACACUUGACUGGCCGGCAUGUGUUUCACUUCAUUCCUGUGUCUGUCCCUUCGAGGAAAUGUCACAUGGUGACAUCCGGAGUCCUGCCUAGCCUGCUACAGCCCGGUUUUCCGGAGUCCUGUUAGCCCAAUGCUACAGCCCGGAUUCACACGCUGCUGACCGACAUGCUCGAUGUGAUUCAUGUAUGCCUGUCCCCAUAGGUUGGUGCCGCUUUGGGUUCACGACUAGCCAUGUCGGCCCGGGUUCUCUGUCAUAUGGGUGCUAGCGACACUAUCAUAUACGUGAGCCAAAAGGCGCAAACGGUCCCGGGCCAUGGUAAGGCGACACCCGUGGGAAUACCGUGCGUGAGGUCGCAUAGUGAUAUGAGGUGUUACCGGCUAGAUCGAUGUGACUUGGAAUCAGGGUCCUAACAGCUUUGGUAUCAGAGCCUGACUGCCUGUAGGAUUACCUAGCCAAACUAGUCGAAGUUGUGUCUAGAAAUGCUUUAGUUAUGUAGGGGAAUUGAUUGUGGAAGGGAACAUAAGGCUCUUUUUACUUCUUAUACCCUAUGCCCUUCUGAUCUGAGUCACCCUCUUCUUUUCUGCGGGGGUUAAGAACUAGGCUUCUCUUCUAUCUCUCAGGAUGACGUGUUACUAAACCGUAGUUGCCUAGGAUUGUUGAGUUCAAGCCUCAGUUUAGUUCCUACUACUUCCAUAUGUCAUAGCUGGCCUCAGAACUUUGAUAUUGUGAUGUUGAGUGGUUAUGCCACCAUUUUGCAGGAUGUCUCAAAUCAUUUUGAGCAUUUACAGCCGUUAUGCUGUCCGAGUCAUCCUAGAUUUCUAAAUAGUCUGAUGCACUUGCAAAUCUUUCCUCCAUGUUCCCGUUGUAUUUUUGGGCCAGAUUAAGCACACUAAUAGGUGUGUUGAGGUACUCCGUUGCCUUGACGUGUAUGUUGGAGUUAGUAUUACGACCCUAGGUAUCCUCGAGAAUUUAGCAAUGCUUCCGUAUCCCCAGUGUGAUGAUUUUGGCCAUCAUUCUUGAAAGCAUCCCGUGAUGCCAUUUAGUAAUAGGCGUUCUACUCCUAGGUUUUGAACCCAAGAUUCACCCUACUUCAUGGUGUUAGUAUUUGCUAGUUCCCUUAAGAUAUUAGUAACCUUGUGAUAGUCCUCGAUGUCCGUGGUAUUUCCUUCUUCCAAAUACCAUGAACCAUUAAGGCAGAAGUUCUUUGAACCAAAAGAUCACCAUUAGAGUACUCCUGAGGAGUUCUCCAUUCAUAAUUGUGAUUCUGCCAGUUCUACCUUUCUGCAUGGGUUAUCCGGAAGAAAUAUGAUGAACUUGUUCGACAUACUAAUCUAUGCAUCCACAACUCAGAAAGUUAUAUGUUCCUUUGAGUUGUCCCCCUUCAUUUGUAUUUCGACCAUCACCUAUCAAUUGAUAGUCAGGAGUAAUUGUGCAUCCGUGUUAUCGAUGCUUAUUAUUCUUGUGGUCUGUCAAGCCAUUCUAUCUCGGAAUGACUAGGAGAAACAAACUCCAGUACCUCAUCCAUAUCCAGGAUUGGGUCAAAGUAGUUGUGUUCUGCAGAUCAAAUGUCCAUCCAGCUUUUGCUCUGUUCUACCCUAGAGUAUUACCCCCUUUAUGUCAGGAUUGUCAUAAGAAUUGCACCAUCUCUCAUGAAUUCUUGACGCAGUGAUACUUCGUGCCAUCAUUUUUCAUUCCUCGGUUCCGUGUUGUCGCAACCGGAAUGCCGGCAAGUGAACCAUGAUGUGUGAAAUCAAUACUCCUAGCAACCGUGUUGCUUGGUAGUUAAUGGACACUAAUAUCAUUCUUAGCGUGUUGGUCAUCGAAACACUAUCCUAGGAUUGAUUGUGCUACCUUGUCCUUAUUUCCGGUGCACUCUUCGAUCAAUGAGUUAGGAUUAUUCAAUCCCUUGCUUAUUUUUCCAUAUCGUCUUGCUCUGAAAAGCAAGAUUGUUCUCGAGCUUAGUAACAUAUCGGUGGUUCGUGAUUUUCUGAAUAUCUUCUCGGAAGCAUUACCAGGUUGUCCCGUGACUGUUAUGUUGAGUUCGUGAUCAAGUUGGUUUUCCAAUAAAUCACUCCUUCUCCAAGAAUCUAUGUUGGAUAUCCCUGAGCUAGUUGGUUGAGCUAGACAACAACUUGGAGAGUUGGAAGAUAAAAGCUUGGCUGACUUAGUCCAUGUUAAGGGAUAUCUUUUUGUGUGUGUGCGUUGAAGAAAGAUAAUAUCUCCAUCGAUUGGUCCUCGUGAUCAGUUGUUGGAUCUAUUGCCUUGUCAAAACUUUGACUUGAGUAUGGGCUAUCGUCAAAUCAAGCCAGAACCAAUGAUGUUCGUAAUGUUGUCUUACUCGUGGUUGAUCCCUUGAGCAUACACCAUUACAUCUUUUGGUCUGACCAAUGCUAUCGCCGUGUUCACAUAAUGGUGGAAGUCCAGUGAUAUGGAAAUUCCGAUGAGUCGCUGUUGAGCCCAUCAGCAACAUUUUGUCUCCUCCAUGAUUUGUGUUGAACAUCCAUCUAGUGUUGGAAACUUGUGUAAGCAUUUUCUUCAUGCCCCUUUCAUGAAGUAUAUGUUUGGAUGAAAUAAGUGACCUCCUUUGAUUCACGUGCAUUUGAUGUAAGCUGCCGCCGUGAAUCCGAGAAAGUUUGUUUUGCUUCCCCUGGAAUCAUCCCAAGUCAGUCAUGCAUGUGCGAAGUAUUCUAUGGUCUGAUAGACUGAUCAUCUUCAUUCCAUAUGUAUCCCCUAGCACACCAAGCCACUGAUUGAUUGGUUCAAGGAAAGGAAGUACCUUCUUAAGAGCAUGCCUUAUGCAAGGACCUCAAUAUCCUUGAUUAUGGUUCCCCACCUAAACUCGGCAGUGUUUUAUUAUAAGACUACCACGUGGUCACCCUUGUCUAGGACAGUGUGUUCACAGGUGUGUAGCAAAACCUGCUCAUGUUUUGGAGCUUGCUAUCGUAGUUCAUCUCCCGAGAGUCUCGCAACGUUAUCUCAUCGACUUGUGUUGAAACUCUUCUUUUUACACAUGUGAGUUUGAAGUAUCCUGUUUCUAACCAGAUGUGAAUCUCAGGCAGAUAUGAUGGUUGGAACAUUCCCGACAUUGCAUUUUGUUCCCAGCUUGCACUGCCUUCUGUCAAUCUCCCAUGGACUGCCCUUCUCAGCAAUUGUUGUUCAGGAUCAUCUUCAGAAGUGGUCCUACCAUGGGUCCCAUCCAUUCCAGAUGAUAAGAAAAAAUCAUCCAUUGUGUUGUCUUCAACAAUGUAGUCCACAUCAUCCAUUCUAGUCCGAGUAUGUCAUUCUCUCGAACUCCUUCAAAAGAUCGAUUGUGAUUGCCUUAGGCUGGUAUAAAGGGUUUCAAUGAUCUUUGUAUCAAAAGUAAUUCUUUUUGCCACUUAAGGGAAUAGCUCUACGAGUCACCUUCCCUAAGAUGCCCCGUUAUAGAAUCAUGGCAAUUCAAAUCCUCGCUACGUUGACAACCGUUCACCACCCUCUUAGGUGUGGAAUUAUUGUCUACCAAUUCGAACCCUUGUCAUCCGCUUCUUUCCAUCACCCCUGAUGUGUGUUUUGUCUCUCAGCUCAAGAGAUGUUUCUACAUCUCAUUCCGAGUUGAUCCUAAAUUGUUCGAUCCUCGAGAAGAUCAAUUCUUCUAGAGUUUUCCUUUUCUCUCUCUCGUUGUCGUGUUGGUUGAAGUUUCCGAAGCAAGAUGUCGGGACAAAGAUGGUGACAAAUCAACGUUCUUACAAAGUGCAACCUGGAUCGUGAAGAUUGUGUUAGCUUUGUGUCCCCUCUGUCUUCUUACCUCACGUCUUGAAUCUCGGGAUGAGAUUCUUGUUUAGUAGGGGUGAGUUGUCACAGCCCUAGAAUUUUCUUGCCAUUAGUUGCCUUAAAGCAUCCAUGCAUCAUGUUAAUUUUUCAAUUAAAGUUGAAAUGGGGAUGAAAAACCCUAGCACCAAAAUUAAAUGAAAUAGGUUCAACUUAAAAACAUUUUCAAGAACCCAGAAUGCUCUUUGGAAACUUUUCAUCAUUUUUGAAUUGGUCUAGAACCUCUGGCAAAAAUGGUGCACACCUUUCUAGGUCAUUUUUGGAUUUUUGAAUUAAAUCAUAAGUACUUGCAUUUGGACAUUUAAAUCCUUUAAAUAAUUUUAAAUGUCCAAAUAAUCUUGAAAGUAUUUUAAGGUUGUUGGAAAUAAUCCAAACAUAUGCCACAAUCAUUUUCAAGAUUUUUAAAAUGAAUUAGUAUUUCUACUAAUUCAAAACAGAAUAAAAGUAAUAGAAAAACUGAAAGAGAAAUGGGAAAGAGAGAGAGAGGAAAUACCUGGCGCCUACCUUUAGCCCAGAGGCCCAACACUGUGCAGCCCAGCAGCAGCCUAGCCCACCAUAGCCGCCACUGUCUUCAACCUCCUACUAGUAGGCAGGAGGGCGUGUGCCCAACGCGUGCGCGCACGCGCCGACCACAUCCUCCCUGCCUGGCUGCUCCCUCGCCGCCCUGGACGCCUCCUGUAUCGCCACGCAACGCCUCUGGUCUUCUCUCACCCUCCCCGUGCUCCUCCUCCACUUAGUCUCUCUCCCUUUCGCACGGUCCGAGUGCCACCGUCGCCGCCGACAAGCACGACCGCGGCCACCGCCUCCCCCUUGCUUCUCUGACCGGCCCAUAGGCUCCGCCUCGACCCCCUCUUUCUUCCACCCCGAGCCACGCCACCGCGGGAGUCCCACAUCGCCGCCACGAGCCGUCUUCCCUGAGCAUGGCCGCCGGACUCCAUCGACGGAUUUGUCGCCUUCCGGUCGUCCCCGAGCCAGCUGAGCCUGUCGUCAGCCUCACCAUGAGCUCCCGGUCCUUUCCCCCUUAACCACGUCAUCGUUUUUGUCCCGUAGCCACUGCCCCGCGAGUAACCGGAGCUGCCGUCCGCCAUGGACAUUGAGCCACACGCUCCCGAGCUUCGCUUGCUCGCCCUAGUGGCACAGACGUGCUUCUGGUGACCCCACGACGCCGUCUAUGCCCUUGGAUGAGCUCCCUGUGCUCCGCCACGCCGCGCCCGUGCAAACCCGUAGCUGCGCCGCCUCCAAAGCUCGUUGCCGGCGAGAUUCCGGCCGCCCCACGACCCCCUGUAUGGCCCAUUGGAUGCCCCCGAGCAAGGGCUUCUCCCUGAUGCUUUCUGCACGACAAACCGCGGCCCCUAGCGCUUUCCUGACGCACGUCCGCCGCGGCAAAUGGUCGCCGGCGGCUGAACGCCGGCGGGCCGACGUGGCAACGUAGUUAACUGCUAAUGACGAGGCUAACUAACCCCCUCUCUCACUGACUACUGGGCCCCAUGCCCUUAACUAACACCAGUUUAAUUUCUGUUUAGUUUUAUUUAAUCACAGUGGCCCCACGCAUCGGUGUUGACCUUGCUGACGUGGCCAUUGACUGGCCCCACCUGUCUGUGACCUAGGCAGCACUUGGUCACUUACCAGUGGACCCCAUUGGUCAGGUUUGACCCGCACAAGCCCCUGUUGACCUGUUGACGUCAGCAUGACCUGAUGCUGACGCAGUAAUACAUUUUCUGGAUUUAUUAAUAAUCAGGAAAUUCCAGAAAAUGUUCAAAACUUCUAAAAAUCACAGAAAAUAAUCUAUAACUCAGAUAGAAAAGAUUUAUGUAUGAAAAAUGAUCAGAAAAAUCCAAAGAAUCUGAAUCUGGCAUUUUCAUGCAUGUUGGAACAACUUAAAGUUGCUAUUUAGGACAAUCCAAUUAAAUGGCAUUUAAGAAAUCACAUAUGGAGUUUGAAUUUGAACCUAGGGUUCAAACCAACUCCAUUUAAUCUGUUGCUAGUUGCAUUAGCUGAAAACACAGCAUAUUGACAUGUCAUGAUCAUGCAUCAUAUUGUGCAUUGCAUUGAUUGUGUUCUUUUUGUGUUUGCCGGUGGUUAUCCCCUCUCGAUAGAUGUGUUCCGACGAUGAGUUCGAUGACACCGAUGAAGAGCUAUACUAUGUUCAUAAGUGUCAGGCAAGCAAAAACCCCUUUGUUCAUUCCGAUACAAUCCCACUCUCUUGCUCCUGCUCUCUUUUACUGCAUUAGGACAACAAUGAUUCAACUGUUACAUGCUGCGGUAGUUGAAUUCCUUUCCUCUGCAUGACCUGUCAUUGCCACAGUAAAUAGAUGAAACCCACUAGCAUGAGUAGGAGUUGUUUGAGCCCUGAUGUGCCUACUCAUUCAUGCCUGCUACUUCUUAGAGUUGAGUCGGGUCUGAUUCAUUGGGGAUGAAUUGGAAUGGCGAUGAACAUGUCCUACUGUGUGUGAGCUAAGUGUGUGAACACGAUUAGGUAAAGGUAGCGGUGAGAGGCCAUGUAGGAGUACAUGGUGGGUUGUCUCAUUGAAACCGUCCUCAGGAACUGAGUUCUAUGUUCGUGAUCCAUGAACAACUACUACCACUCAUUGGGAUCCUUAAUUGACCCUCUCGACUUAUUAACUGCCCUAGUCCUUUGUCCAGGAGUUGCAACUAGUUUCUGGUGUUCAUAGGAUAUGUGUUGGCGGCCGUGCGUAGCGCUGACCCUAGGGGUGGGCUAUGAUGCAGUAGAUACACCGUGGCACGGUGUACCGGGUGCCCGUUUGGUGUCUCAGGAACCCUGCACACAUCGUUUGGGGCUGUGAACGAAACUCCGGCCGGAUCUCCUCGCGGAUGGAACCCGAAUAGCGAUAAACCUGGACUAGAGACUUGUGUGGUUAGUCAGGUCGUGGCCGACACCCUCGCCAGGCUUCUGCUUGAAGGUUGCCGAGACACAUGACGUGUAUAUGGUGAUAAGUGGUGGGAGCGUGUGUGAAGAAGUACACCCCUGCAGGGUUAUCAUUAUCUAUUCGAAUAGCUGGAUUCCUCGGAUAUGGAAACUUGGACCCCUUGCAUAGUUCAUAGACAAGUUAAAGUGGAUACUCUAAAUGCGCAAGAUAAGCGUGAGUGCUAUGGAUGGCGUUCUCGUAGGGAGAAGGGAGCAGAUCCAUAGUGGUGUAUUGAUAUGGUGAAUAUGUGGACUCAUGUGCGCCACCUCAAAGAGUUGCUUGCAGUCGUAGUUCAGGUUAGCCACUGAGUCAAAGCUGGCUUGCUGCAGUUAAACUCCACUACUUUGUUGAUACCGAUGCAUAUGUAGUUAGUUCUAAUGUAAGUCUUGCUGGGUACAUUUGUACUCACGUUUGCUUAAUUUAUGUUUCGCAGAGAGACUUCAGUCUUGCUUGUAGUUCCAUGUGGACUUCGACGUUUAGCUUGAUACCUCAGCUAUGAUCUUGUGCCCUCGGCAGGAUCUGGUAGAUAGUCAAGCUUCUCAACCUUUUUCAUUUGUAGAUGUAUGUACCCAGACAUGUUAAGCUUCCGCAUGUGCCUUGAUUUGUAUGCUCUGAAUGAUGGGUCAUGAGACCCAUGUUUGUAAUAUCUCGCUCCUCAGAGCCUAAUGAAUAAAUACUUGAGUCGUAGAGUUAUGUUGUGAUGCCAUGUUGUAUUUACCCAUAUCGAGCAUAUUGUGUGUAUGAUUGAAAUGCUUGGUAUGUGUGGGAUCUGACAAUCUAGUUGUUUAUCCUUGGCAGCCUAUCUUAUGGGGAAAUGUAGUCUAGUGCUUCCAUGAGCCAUAGUAGUCCGCUACAGUCCGGUUCACCGGAGUCCUGCUAGCCCAGCACUACUGCUCAGGACACUUGACUGGCCGGCAUGUGUUUCACUUCAUUCCUGUGUCUGUCCCUUCGGGGAAAUGUCACGCGGUGACAUCCGGAGUCCUGCCUAGCCUGCUACAGCCCGGUUUUCCGAAGUCCUGUUAGCCCAGUGCUACAGCCCGGAUUCACACACUGUUGACCGACAUGCUCGAUGUGAUUCAUGUAUGCCUGUCCCCAUAGGUUGGUGCCGCUUUGGGUGCACGACUAGCCAUGUCGGCCCAGGUUCUCUGUCAUACGGGUGCUAGCGACACUAUCAUAUACGUGAGCCAAAAGGCGCAAACAGUCCCGGGCCAUGGUAAGGCGACACCCGUGGGAAUACCGUGCGUGAGGCCGCAAAGUGAUAUGAGGUGUUACCGGCUAGAUCGGUGUGACUUGGAAUCGGGGUCCUGACAUCACGAAUUCCCAGAAGGGUUUAAACCCGUAAACAUCGAAUCAUACGAUGGAUCAACUGACCCCGCGGUGUGGAUCUAGGACUUUAUUCUCCACAUUCACUUGGCUCGUGGAUAUGACCUCCACGCCAUCAAAUACCUCCCGUUAAAACUGAAAGGGCCAGCUCGACACUGGUUAAACAGUCUGCCUGGAAAUUCUAUUGGCAGCUGGGAGGACUUGGAAGAAGCCUUCCUCGACAACUUCCAAGGUACAUAUGUCUGGCCACCAGAUGCCGAUGACUUAGGUCACAUAGUUCAACAGCCUGGGGAGUCAGCCAGGAAAAUCUGGACUAGGUUCCUAACUAAAAAGAACCAGAUCAUCGAUUGUCCGGAUGCUGAAGCCCUCGCGGCCUUUAAACAUAGCAUCCGUGACGAAUGGCUUGCCCGCCACCUCGGCCAGGAAAAGCCGAAGUCCAUGGUAGCCCUCACGGCACUCAUGACCCGCUUUUGUGCGGGCGAGGACAGUUGGCUGGCCCAUAGCAAAAAUACAGCAAAUGAAACGGGCACCUCCGAGGCCAAAAAUAGCAGCGGCAAGCUCCGACGCAGUAGGCACAAACGUCGAAGCAAUAGCGAUAACACCGAUGACACCGCAGUCAACACCGGUUUCAGUGGCUCCAAGUCCGGUCAGCGAAAGAAGCCAUAUAAAAGAAACAAUCAAGGACCAUCCAGCUUGGACCGCAUACUCGAUCGUCCGUGCCAGAUCCAUGGCACCCCAAACAAACCAGCCAAUCAUACCAACAUAGAUUGUUGGGUUUUCAAACAGACCAGCAAAUUAAACACCGAGAAUAAGGAAAAGGGAUCGCAAAGCGAGGACGAUGACGAAGAGCCCCGGCAGCCAAACAUAGGGGGACAAAAGAAGUUUCCCCCUCAAGGUCAAAACGGUGAACAUGAUAUACGCUACACACACCCCCAAGAGGGAGCACAAGCGCGCGCUCAGGGACGUCUAUGCGAUAGAGCCAAUCGCCCCAAAAUUCAAUCCAUGGUCAUCAUGCCCAAUCACUUUUGAUCAUCAGGAUCAUCCGACCAGUAUCCGUCAUGGUGGUUCAGCCGCAGUGGUCCUCGACCCAAUCAUUGAUGGAUUCCACCUGACGCGAGUCCUCAUGGACGGCGGUAGCAGCCUCAAUCUGCUCUAUCAGGACACAAUGCGCAAAACGGGCAUUAAUCCAUCACGGAUCAAGCCCACAAAGACUACCUUUAAAGGAGUCAUACCAGGCGUAGAGGCCCGCUGUAUGGGCUCAAUCACAUUGGAGGUUGUCUUUGGAUCGCCGGACAACUUCCGAAGCGAGGAGUUAAUCUUCGAUAUUGUCCCCUUUCGCAGCGGCUAUCACGCACUGCUCGGACGAACCGCAUUUGCCCGAUUCAACGCUGUACCACACUAUGCCUAUCUCAAGCUCAAGAUGCCAGGACCACGCGGCAUCAUAAGAGUUAAUGGAAACACGGAACGCUCCCUCCGUACUGAGGAGCGCACUGCUGCCUUAGCAGCAGAAGUACAGAGCGGCCUUUUCAAACAGAACCUCAAUUUGGCGGCCGAUCCCCCGGACACGGUUAAGAGAGUCCGGACUACUCUGCAGCAGGACAGCUCAGCUCGUCAAGAGCUCCACUAGCAAUUCGGCCUCCGUCCCAGUCCCGAUCAAGUAGUGGCGCUCGUACCGCGCGUACAUAACUACACACUCAAGAUACCAUGGGCAUAGACAGAGGCAUAACUAGCCUGUGAUCCACAAUACGGCUCGACCGCUCCCAGACACACAUACCCUCACUGUUUCCUUUUCUCCUUUUUAGGUUUUCUUUCCACAAGUUCCCCCUGGUGGCCCAAUCAACGGUUCUUUCAAAGGAUAAAUAUACCAAGAUGGCAUGAAGCACAGACGUAUAAUGGAAUUUUUAGGUGGUUUCUUUAACAACCACUGUACCUGUUCUCAGGACCCACACGCAACUCUCUCUUCAUCAUGGCUUAGCCCGUUGCUUAUUGCACUAUUUGUAUUAAUGUGCUUCAACCUAUUAAUCAAAUUAUAAUGAAAACAGUUUGCGGCCCAAAUUCUGCGGCCUUGGCUCAUUACCCUUGCUCUUUUUUCUGUUUUCAUUUUUCUAUUGAUAACCUUAUCAAAUAGCACCCGUACACUUUGGUACGUUCCAAUUUGCCAGGGGCUUCAUAGCGCCCCACAACACGGCAACAAAGUCAAACACUUUCUACUGUUCGGACGCCGAAUUUAGCACUGGCUCCAAAUCAUGUCUUUGGUCAAUAGUGGGUUGCCCGGCUCCUGUGCUUGCUACCCUAUGUUCCGCUACAUCGGCUAGGGUAGUAAAGGGAGAACUACUAUGAUUGUCCCCUGGUUUAUCCGGAUGAGCACCUUAGUAGAGAAAGCCGGAAACUGACUGUCAUGAUGUGGCGAGAGCCGGUCAGCUCUUUGGACGUCUCAAAUCGUUAGAGAUUUUUUCCGCAUUAUGCGAAGGAUUGGUACUUGCCCGAUCAGGUGUUUAUAGCUUACUAUUUCGGAUACUAGGGGCUGCACCUAAAUUUUUAUCGUCAAACUCCUAUGGAUAAGUGAGGGUGUUCAAGCCGAAUAGUCCGAUUGCCUGGUUCGCUGCGCUAAACACCUCCUUCAAGGACCAAACAAAUUGGAUCAAGAGUGUUUAUAUUAUAUCCCGAACACCCCCGUACUUCCUACGUGGGGGCAGAAGCCAACGACUGGCCAACUCUUAGAUUUCACACAAUACGGCCGCACAGGAGGUGGAAAUUUUUAAACAAACAUUAUAUUACAAAAUUUGUUUCAUCAUACAAGGCAGAGACAACAUGAAUAUAUUCAUUCAAAAAUAAUGUCUUGCGCACAUUGUGUCACCACAAUGCGGGACCCCUCUAGGACGUCUUCAAAAUACCACUCCGGCUUGCGAUGCUCCUUGCCUUUAGGUGGCCUCUCGGUCAGAAGCUUGACGGCAUCCAUCUUCGCCCACCACACCUUGACGCGGGAGAAGGCCAUGCGCACGCCCUCGAUGCAGGCCGACCUCUUGACGAUGUCCAGCCGAGGGCAGGCACCUAUCAGUCGCUUCACGAGUCUGAAGUAGCUGCCGGGCAUAGCUUUGGCAGGCCACUCCCAGAUUAUCAAAACCUUCAUGGCCAGUUCGGCCACCCUAUGCAGCUCGACCAGCUGUUUUAGCUGAUCGGUGAAGGGCACUGGAUGCUCUGGCACAAGGUAUUGCGACCAGAACAACUUCUUCGUCGAGCUCCCUUCUUCGGCUCGGAAGAACUCCGUAGCGUCGGACACACUGCACGGAAGAUCUACAAACGCCCCUGGAGAACUCCAAAUCCGGGUUAGUAAGAAAUACUUCUCCUUCACACACUUGCUUUGCAUACUAAACGCCUUACCCACCGCGAUCUUCUUGGCCUCCUGUAUCUCCGGGAGGGCACCCUGGGCUUCAACUCGGGCCGCUUCCGCGCUUUGACGAGCCUUGGCGAGUUUGGUCUCUCGAGCCGAAACAUCGCCCUCCAAGGUCUCAUACUUCUUCACAGUGUCCUAGAGCUCUUGCUGGACCUCGUUCAGCCUGGCCUUAAGCUUCUUAUGAGCGGCCUGCUCCUUGACAGCUUUCCCCUCGGCCUCGGCCAGGGCCUUUUUAAGGGCCUCGACCUCGGUCGUCGCUCCUACACAUACCAUGACACUACGGUCAAUAUACAUCAUUUAUUCUUUCCUAAUAUAUAGCGAGUCAUUGCAUACCUUGCUGGUCUUCCAGCUGCUUCCUCGCUUGGCCGAGCUCCUCCUCGCCCCGCUCUAGUCUCUGCUCUAGUCCGGAGACUUCGGCAGUGUGUGAGGUCGCAACGAGGACAAAGGAGAUCCAGUUGCGAAUAAACCUUCUGAGACACAGUCCAAGCGCCGGCGCCCUAAACGCCGCUCUAAGCCUCGUCGCUCAAAUGAUGGCAACACUGGCACCAGAGAAAAUAGUACUCUGGGCGACGCCGAAAACAAUGAAGACCCUGUCGGGGCUGCAUUCGAACAAGAGGAAUAAGACAACGGGCAAGAUAACCCUGAUAAACAGGCCAUGCCCAAUGACCCAGACGAUGAUAUUUAUCGUCCAGUCUCCGAGGAUGAUGAGAGCCUCGGCAAUGAGGACUUCAUCGUGCCUGAGGCACCCCUCGAGCAGGAGCGCUUCAAGCUCCAGCUAAUAGCCACUGCAAGAAGCCUGAAGAAGAAGAAGCAGCAGCUCCAAGCUGAUCAAAACCUGCUGAUUGACAGGUGGACUGAUGUCCUGGCAGCCAAGGAAUACGGCCUCGAGCGCCCAGCCAAGAGUUACCCAAAGCGCAGACUGCUACCUCAGUUCGAUGAGGAGGCACCAGAUCCCAUACCUCCCUCACGCAAUGCGGACCGACCACCACGUGGUCGGGAUAGUGCGGUGGACCGACCACCCCGCGGUCGGGAUAAAAUGGCAACUCAGGCCGAACAACAGCCCGCCCCAUCGCCUCGCAAAAACAGGGACAUAACAGCUCGGGACCAUACAUACGACCUUCGGCAGGAGCUGGAUAGUAGAGCAGGGCACACCAGAUCAAUCUACGGAUUGCGAGGACGCUUCCUGUCUCGGGAUGACGGCUACCUAUUUGGACGUGACAAACCUAGUCACACCCGGGCUGAUAACCACAGACGGACUUCAUCGGAGGUGCACCGUGACACGGCCCGAUAUAGAGGCGCCGCACACCCUCUCUGCUUCACAGAUGAGGUGCUGGAUCACGAAUUCCCCGAGGGAUUCAAGCCCAUCAAUAUUGAAUCAUACGACGGAACAACCGAUCCCGCCGUAUGGAUUGAGGACUUUAUUCUACACAUCCACAUGGCCCGUGGAGACGACCUCCACGCCAUCAAAUACCUCCUACUAAAGCUCAAAGGGCCAGCUCGACACUGGCUAAACAGCCUGCUGAUACGUCUCCAACGUAUCUAUAAUUUUUGAUUGCUCCAUGCUAUAUUACCUACUAUUUUGGACUAUAUUGGGCUUUAUUUUCCACUUUUAUAUUAUUUUUGGGACUAACCUAUUAACCGGAGGCCCAGCCCAGAAUUGCUGUUUUUUGCCUAUUUCAGUGUUUCGGAGAAACCAAAUAUCAAACAGAGUCCAAACGGAAUGAAACCUUCGGGAAUGCGAUUUUCUCAUUAGAUAAGACCCAGGAGACUUGGACCCUCCGUCAAGAAAGCCACGAGGCGGUCACGAGGGUGGAGGGCGCGCCCCCUACCUCGUGGGCCCCUUGAAGCUCCACCAACAUACUCCUUCCUCCUAUAUACACCUACGUACCCCCAAAGAUCAGAUACGGAGCCAAAAACCUAAUUCCACCACCGCAACUUUCUGUAUCCACGAGAUCUCAUCUUGGGGCCUGUUCCGGAGCUCCGCCGGAGGGGGCAUCGAUCAUGGAGGGCUUCUACAUCAUCAUCCAAGCCCCUCCGAUGAAGUGUGAGUAGUUUACUUCAGACCUACGGGUCCAUAGUUAGUAGCUAGAUGUCUUCUUCUCUCUUUUUGGAUCUCAAUACAAUGUUCUCCCCCUCUCUCGCGGAGAUCUAUUCGAUGUAAUCUUCUUUUUGCGGUGUGUUUGUUGAGAUCGAUGAAUUGUGGGUUUACGAUCCAGUCUAUCUAUGAAUAAUAUUUGAAUCUUCUCUGAAUUCUUUUAUGUAUGAUUGGUUAUCUUUGCAAGUCUCUUCGAAUUAUCAGUUUGGUUUGGCCUACUAGAUUGGUUUUUCUUGCCAUGGGAGAAGUGCUUAGCUUUGGGUUCGAUCUUGCGGUGUCCUUUCCCAGUGAUAGAAGGGGCAGCAAGGCACGUAUUGUAUUUUUGCCAUCGAGGAUAAAAAGAUGGGGUUUUUAUCAUAUUGCAUGAAACUAUCCCUCUACAUCAUGUCAUAUUGCUUAAGGCGUUACUCUGUUUUUAACUUAAUACUCUAGAUGCAUGCUGGAUAGUGGUCAAUGAGUGGAGUAAUAGUAGUAGAUGCAGGCAUGAGUCGAUCUACUUGUCUCGGACGUGAUGCCUAUAUACAUGAUCAUACCUAGAUAUUCUCAUAACUAUGCUCAAUUCUGUCAAUUUCUCAAUAGUAAUUUCUUCACCCACCGUAGAAUACUUAUGCUCUUGAGAGAAGCCACUAGUGAAACCUAUGCCCCCCGGGUCUCUUUCUCAUCAUAUCAAUCUCCAUCACUUUAUUAUUGCUUUGCUUUUUUACUUUGCCUUUUACUUUUCACUUUGCAUCUCUAUACCAAAAAUACCAAAAAUAUCAUUUAUCAUCUCUAUCAGAUCUCACUUUCGUAAGUGACCGUGAAGGGAUUGACAACCCCUAAGCGCGUUGGUUGCAUUGAGCUAUUGUUUUUGUGUAGGUACAAGGGACUCGCGCGUAGCCUCCUACUGGAUUGAUACCUUGGUUCUCAAAAACUGAGGGAAAUACUUACGCUACUUUGCUGCAUCAUCCUCUCGUCUUCGGGGAAAUCCAGCGCAGUGCUCAAGAGGUAGCAAGAAGAAUUUCUGGCGCCGUUGCCGGGGAGUCUGUGCAAAAGUCAACAUACCAAGUACCCAUCACAAUCCCUAUCUCCCGCAUUACAUUAUUUGCCAUUUGCCUCUCGUUUUCCUCUCCCCCACUUCACCCUUGCCGUUUUAUUCGCCCUCUCUCUCUCUAUCCUCCCUCUCUAUUUGCCUCUUUUGCCCGUUUGCUUUUUGUUUGCUCAUGUGUUGGAUUGCUUGUUUGUCACGAUGGCUCUUACUAGAUUCAGUGAUCUUCACCUUAAAAGGUUAGAGGAGAUCGAAAACAACGUCAGGAAGUUUAUCGUUUUGCAAUUUGAGCAUAAUAAUUUGUUUAGAAAUGAGCUUAAGGAACAAAAAGUUUUAUGAGUUAUAUGAAUAAAGAGCUCGAUGAUAUGUCUAAAGAAUUUGAUGGUAUAAGAUCCCAAAUUGCUCGUCUUGAAAAAUUAACUGCUGAAAUUUCGGAUAUGCAAGCUACCUUAGUCAAUAAGAUGGCCGCUAAACCAGAUUCCUAUGAAAAUCAAGUUGAAGAUCUAAAAGUUAUUGAUGUAUCUCCUAUUAAAUCUUUGUUUUGCAAUAUUAAUCUUGAUAAUGAUGGGACUGAAUAUGAUCCACCUUUACCUAGAAGGCGUUCUAAAAAUUCGGAGUAUUUAGAUCUUGAUGGUGAAAUUGAUAAAAGUGGGAUUAAAAGAAAUAAAACCCUAGAUGAUGCUAAACCCACUAUAUUGGAUUUCAAGGAAUUUAAUUAUGAAAAUUGCUCUUUAAUUGAUUGUAUUUCCUUGUUGCAAUCCGUGCUAAAUUCUCCUCGUGCUUAUAGUCAAAAUAAAGCCUUUACUGAACAUAUCGUUGAUGCCUUGAUGCAAUCUUAUGAAGAAAAACUUGAGUUGAAAGUUUCUAUCCCUAGAAAACUUUAUGAUGAGUGGGAACGUACUAUUAAAAUUAAAAUUAAAGAUUAUGAGUUUUAUGCUUUGUGUGAUUUGGGUGCUAGUGUCUCUACUAUUCCCAAUUUUUUUUGUGAUUUGCUAGAUUUCCGUGAUUUUGAUGAUUGCUCUCUAAACUUGCAUCUUGCGGAUUCCACUAUUAAGAAACCUAUGGGAAGAAUUAAUGAUGUUCUUAUUUUUUCAAAUAGGAAUUAUGUGCCCUUAGAUUUUUCGUUCUUGAUAUAGAUUGCAAUCCUUCUUGCCCUAUUAUUCUCGGUAGACCUUUCCUUAGAACGGUUGGUGCAAUUAUUGAGAUGAAGAAAGGGAAUAUUAGAUUUCAAUUUCCAAUAAAAAAGGGCAUGGAACACUUCCCUAGAAAUAAAAUAAAAUUACCAUAUGAAUCUAUCAUGAGAGCCACUUAUGGAUUGCCUACCAAAGAUGACAAUACCUAGAUCUAUUCUUACUUGUCAUGCCUAGCUAGGGGCGUUAAACGAUAGCGCUUGUUGGGAGGCAACCCAAUUUUAUUUUUAUUCCUUUCUUUUUGCUCCUGGUUAGUAAUAAAUAAAUUAUUUAGCCUCUGUUUUGGUUGUGUUUUUUUGUGUUUAAUUAGUGUUUGUGCCAAGUAGGACCGUUGGGAAGACUUGGGGAAAGUCUUGUAGAACUUGCUGUGAAAAACAGAAACUUUAGCGCUCACAAGAACUGCUGUAAUUUUUAUUUGGAGAGUGAUAUUUAGUUAAUUCUUUUUGCAGAUGAUUAAUAGAUAAAUUCCUCACGUCCAUAAAUUUAUUUUAGAAUUUUUGGGGUUCCAGAUCUUGCGCUAGAUACAGAUUACUACAGAGUGUCCUGUUUUUGACAGAUUCUGUUUUUCGUGUGUUGCUUAUUUUGAUGAAUCUAUGGCUAGUAAAAUAGUUUAUAAACCAUAGAGAAGUUGGAAUACAGUAGGUUUAACACCAAUAUAAAUAAAGAAUGAUUUAAUUACAGUACUUUGAAGUGGUCUUUUGUUUUCUUUCGCUAACGGAGCUCACGAGAUUUUCUACUUUAAGUUUUGUGUUGUGAAGUUUUCAAGUUUUGGGUAAAGAUUUGAUGGAUUAUGGAACAAGGAGUGGCAAGAGCCUAAGCUUGGGGAUGACCAUGGCACCGCCAAGAUAAUCCAAGGACACCAAAAAGUCAAAGCUUGGGGAUGCCCCGGAAGGCAUCCCCUCUUUCGUCUACUUCUAUCGGUAACUUUACUUGGAGCUAUAUUUUUAUUCACCACAUGAUAUGUGUUUUGCUUGGACCGUCUUUUAUGAUUUGAGGCUUUGCUUGUUAGUCUACCACAAUCAUCCUUUCUGUACACACCUUUUGAGAGAGCCAUACAUAAUUUGGAAUUUGAUAGAAUACUCUAUGUGCUUCACUUAUAUCUUUUGAGCUCUAUAGUUUUACUCUAGUGCUUCACUUAUAUCUUUUGAGUUUUAUAGUUUUGCUCUAGUGCUUCACUUAUAUAUUUUAGAGCAUGGUGGUGGAUUUGUUUUAUAGAAACUACUGAUCUCUCAUGCUUCACUUAGAUUAUUUUGAGAGUCUUAAUAGCAUGGUAAUUUGCUUAAUAAUAAUAUGCUUGGUAUUCAAGAUUUGUAAAACUUUCUUUUGAGUGCGUUGAAUACUAAGAAAAAAAUUGGUGCUUGAUAAUUGUUUUGAGAUAUGAGGAUGGUGAUAUUAGAGUCAUGCUAGUUGAGUAGUUGUGAAUUUUAGAAAUGCUUGUGUUAAAGUUUGUGAUUCCCGUAGCAUGCACGUAUGGUGAACCGUUAUGUGAUGAAGUCGGAGCAUGAUUUAUUUAUUGAUUGUCUUCCUUAUGAGUGGCGGUCGGGGAUGAGCGAUGGUCUUUUCCUACCAAUCUAUCCCCCUAGGAGCAUGCACGUAAUACUUUGCUUUGAUAACUUCUAGAUUUUUGCAAUAAGUAUAUGAGUUCUUUUUGACUAAUGUUGAGUCCAUGGAUUAUACGCACUUUCCUUCCUUCCACCAUUGCUAGCCUCUCUAAUACCGCACACUUUUCGCUGGUAUCAUACACCCACCAAAUACCUUCCUCAAAACAGCCACCAUACCUACCUAUCAUGUCAUUUCCAUAGCCAUUCCGAGAUAUAUUGCCAUGCAACUUUCCACCAUUCCGUUCAUUAUGACACGCUCCAUCAUUGUCAUAUUGCUAGCAUGAUCAUGUAGUUGACAUCGUAUUUGUGGCAAAGCCACCGUUCAUAAUUCUUUCAUACAUGUCACUCUUGAUUCAUUGCAUAUCCCGGUACACCGCCGGAGGCAUUCAUAUAGAGUCAUAUUUUGUUCUAAGUAUUGAGUUGUAAUUGUUGAGUUGUAAGAAAAAUAAAAAGUGUGAUGAUCAUCAUUUUUAGAGCAUUGUCCCAAGUGAGGAAAGGAUGAUGGAGACUAUGAUUCCCCCACAAGUCGGGAUGAGACUCCGGACGAAAAACAAAAAAAAAAGAGAGAAAAAGAGAGAAGGGACAAUGUUACUAUCCUUUUACCACACUUGUGCUUCAAAGUAGCACCAUGAUCUUCAUGAUAG